UUUGUUCCUGUUUAGUAAUAAAUAAUUUAUCUAGCCUCUGUUAUGAUUGAUUUUUUAUGUUUUAGUUAGUGUUUGUGCCAAGUAGAACCGUUGGGAAGACUUGGGGAAAGUCUUGUCGAUCAUGCUGUGUAAAACAGAAACUUUAGCGCUCACGAGAACUGCUGCCAUUUUUAUUUGGAGAGUGCUAUUUAUUUUAAACAUGAUUAAUAGAUAAAUUCCUCACGUCCAGCAAUUUAUUUUAGAAUUUUUGGGGUUCCAGAAGUUUGCGUUAGUUACAGAUUACUACAGACUGUUCUGUUUUUCACAUAUUCUUUUUUUUGUGUGUUGUUUGCUUAUUUUGAUGAAUCUGAAUCUAUGGCUAGUAAAAUAGUUUAUAAACCAUAGAUAAGUUGGAAUACUGUAGGUGUAACACCAAUAUAAAUAAAGAAUGAGUUCAUUACAGUACCUUGAAGUGGUGUUUUCUUUUCUUUCGCUAACGGAGCUUACGAGUUUUCUGUUAAAUUUUGUGUUGUGAAGUUUUCAAGUUUUGGGUAAAGAUUUGAUGGACUAUGGAAUAAGGAGUGGCAAGAGCCUAAGCUUGGGUAUGCCCAAGGCACCCAAAGAUAAUAUUCGAGGACAACCAAGAGCCUAAGCUUGGGGAUGCCCUAGAAGGCAUCCCCUCUUUCGUCUUCGUUCAUCGGUAACUUUACUUGGAGCUAUAUUUUUAUUCGCCACAUGAUAUGUGUUUUGCUUGGAGCGUCAUUUUAUUUUGUUAGGAUUUGCUUUCUGUUAUUUAGAACAAUGUUUUGCAUCUUUUAUUUCAAUAAAAGUGGCAUUGAUAGCCUUUACCAUGCCUAUGUUACAAGUACAUGUUGUUGUUUGAAAACAGAAAGUUUACCGCUGUUGCAAUAAUUCCCUUGAAAAGUCAGAAUGUGAUAAAAUGUUGAAAACUUUUGCAUAUUAAGCUCUGAUUAAUUUACUACAAUGGGAAUUUUCUUUCAUAAUUUUUUGGAGCUAGGGAAGUAUGGAUGUUGUAGCAUUCUUUACAGACUAUCCUAUUUAGGCAGAUUGCUGUUAUGUUUGCAUAUGUUUGCUCCUUUAAUGAUUAUAUUUGAGGAUAGGACUAUUAAAUAUGCAGAGGCAUUUAGUUUGUAAUGUUGAAUAAUAAUUUUAGUGAUUUGCUACAGUAGAGUAUGAUAAGGUUUUUGCAAUGGUUUAUACUAACUUAUCUCACGAGUCCUUGUUGAGUUUUGUGUGGAUGAAGCUUUUGAGAUUUAGGGAGACCGUGAUAUGAGAGGAAUUAAGGAGACACAAAAGCUGAAGCUUGGGGAUGCCCAAGGCAUCCCAAGAUAAUAUUUCAAGAAGUCUCAAGCAUCUAAGCUUGGGGAUGCCCCGGUUGGCAUCCCACCUUUCUUCUUCAACAACUAUCGGUUAGUAUCGGUUGAUCCUAAGUUUUUGCUUCUUCACAUGAUGUUUUCCAUUCUUAGAAUGUCAUUUUAUUUUGCUUUUCUUGCUGUUUCAAUAAAAUACCAAGAUCAGAAAUUCUUAAAUGUUAGAGAGUCUUCACAUAGUUGCAUAAUUAUUCAACUACUCAUUGAUCUUCACUUAUAUCUUUCGGAGUAGUUUGUCAUUUGAUCUUGUGCUUCACUUAUAUCUUUUAGAGCAUGGUGGUAGUUUUAUUUUGAAGAAAUAGAUGAACUCUCAUGCUUCACUUAUAUUAUUUUCAGAGUCUUAAAUAGCAUGGUAAUUUGCUUAAAAUCCUAAUAUGCUAGGUAUACAAGAUUAGUAAAAACUUUCUUAUGAGUGUGUUGAAUACUAUGAGAAGUUUGAUAUUUGAUAAUUGUUUUGAGAUAUGGAGAUGGUGAUAUUAGAGUCAUGUUAGUUGAGUAGUUGUGAAUUUGAUAAAUACGUGUGUUAAAGCUUGUGAUUCCGGUAGCAUGCACGUAUGGUGAACCGUUAUGUGAUGAAGUAGGAGCAUGAUUUAUUUAUUGAUUGUCUUCCUUAUGAGUGGCGGUCGGGGACGAGCGAUGGUCUUUUCCUACCAAUCUAUCCCCCUAGGAGCAUGCGUGUAGUACUUUGUUUUGAUAACUAAUAGAUUUUUGCAAUAAGUAUGUGAGUUCUUUAUGACUAAUGUUGAGUCCAUAGAUUAUACGCACUCUCACCCUUCCACCAUUGCUAGCCUCUCUAAUACCGCGCACUUUUCGCCAGUAUCAUACACCCACCAAAUACCUUCCUCAAAACAGCCACCAUACCUACCUAUUAUGACAUUUCCAUAGCCAUUCCGAGAUAUAUUGCCAUAAAACUUUCCACCGUUCCGUUUAUUAUGACAUGCAUCAUCAUUUUCAUAUUGCUUGCAUGAUCAUGUAGUUGACAUUGUAUUUGUGGCAAAGCCACCAUUCAUAAUUCUUUCAUACAUGUCACUCAUGCAUCAUUGCACAUCCCGGUACACCGCCGGAGGCAUUCAUAUAGAGUCAUAUCUUGUUCUAAGUAUCGAGUUGUAAUUCUUGAGUUGUAAGUAAAUAAAAGUGUGAUGAUCAUCAUUAUUAGAGCAUUGUCCCAGUGAGGAAAGGAUGAUGGAGACUAUGAUUCCCCCACAAGUCGGGAUGAGACUCCGGACGAAAAAAAUAAAUAAAAGAGAUCAAAGAAGCCCAAAUAAAAAAAGGAGAAAAAAAGAGGCCAUAAAAAAGAGAAAGGCCCAAAUAAAAAUUUAAAAAUUAAGAAAAUGAGAGAAAAAGAGAGAAGGGGCAAUGCUACUAUCCUUUUACCACACUUGUGCUUCAAAGUAGUACCAUGAUCUUCAUGAUAGAGAGUCUCCUAUGUUGUCACUUUCAUAUACUAGUGGGAAUCUUUCAUUAUAGAACUUGGCUUGUAUAUUCCAAUGAUGGGCUUCCUCAAAAUGCCCUAGGUCUUCAUGAGCAAGCGAGUUGGAUGCACACCCACUAGUUUCUUUUGUUGAGCUUUCAUACAUUUAUAGCUCUAGUGCAUCCGCUGCAUGGCAAUCCCUACUCACUCACAUUGAUAUCUAUUGAUGGGCAUCUCCAUAGCCCGUUGAUACGCCUAGUUGAUGUGAGACUAUCUUUCCCUUUUUGUCUUCUCCACAACCACCAUUCUAUUCCACCUAUAGUGUUAUGUCCAUGGCUCACGCUCAUGUAUUGCGUAAAGAUUGAAAAAGUUUGAGAACAUCAAAAGUAUGAAACAAUUGCUUGGCUUGUCAUCGGGGUUGCGCAUGAUUUAAAUAUUUUGUGUGGUGAAGAUGGUGUUGGGGAACGUAGUAAUUACAAAAAAUUUCCUACGCACACGCAAGAUCAUGGUGAUGCAUAGCAACGAGAGGGGAGAGUGUUGUCUACGUACCCUCGUAGACCGGCAACGGAAGCGUUAACAUAACAUAGAGGAAGUAGUCGUACGUCUUCCCGAUCCGACCGAUCCAAGUACCGAAUGUACGGCACCUCCGAGUUCUGCACACGUUCAACUCGGUGACGUCCCUCGAGCUCCGAUCCAGCCGAGUGUUGAGGGAGAGUUCCAUCAGCACGAUGGUGUGAUGACGGUGAUGAUGUUCUACCGACGCAGGGCUUCGCCUAAGCACCGCUACGAUAUGACCAAGGUGGAAUAUGGUGGAAGGGGGCACCGCACACGGCUAAGGAACAAUCACGAAGAUCAACUUGUGUGUCAUGGGGUGCCCCCUUUCCCCCGUAUAUAAAGGAGGGAGAGGGGAGGUGCGGCCGGCCCCUAGGGGUGCGCCUGGAGGAGUCCUACUCCCACCGGGAGUAGGACUCCCCCUUCUUGCCUUGUUGGAGAAGGAAAGGGGAAGGGGGAAAGAGGAAAGGGGGGCGCCCCCCCCCCCUUCCUUGUCCUAUUCGGACUAGGGGGGAGGGGCACGCGGCCUUCCUUGGCCGGCCCUCCUCUUCUCCAUUAGGGCCCAUGUAGGCCGAUUAACCCCCGGGGGGGUUCCAAUAACCCCCCGGUACUCCGGUAAAAUCCCGAUUUCACCCAGAACGAUUCCGAUAUCCAAAUAUAGGCUUCCAAUAUAUCAAUCUUUAUGUCUCGACCAUUUCGAGACUCCUCUUCAUGUCCGUGAUUACAUCCGGGACUCUGAACAACCUUCGGUACAUCAAAACACAAAACCCUAAUUACGAUCAUCACCGAACUUUAAGCGUGCGGACCCUACGGGUUCGAGAACUAUGUAUACAUGACCGAGACACGUCUUCGGUCAAUAACCAAUAGCGGAACCUGGAUGCUCAUAUUGGUUCCUACAUAUUCUACGAAGAUCUUUAUCGGUCAAACCGCAUAAGAAUAUACGUUGUUCCCUUUGUCAUCGGUAUGUUACUUGCCCGAGAUUCGAUCAUCGGUAUUCCAAUACCUAGUUCAAUCUCGUUACCGGCAAGUCUCUUUACUCGUUCCGUAAUACAUCAUUCUGCAACAAACUCAUUAGUUGCAAUGCUUCCAAGACUUAAGUGAUGUGCAUUACCGCGUGGGCCCAGAGAUACCUCUCCGACAAUCGGAGUGACAAAUCCUAAUCUCGAAAUACGCCAACCCAACAAGUACCUUCGGAGGCACCUGUAGAGCACCUUUAUAAUCACCCAGUUACGUUGUGACGUUUGGUAGCACACAAAGUGUUCCUCCGGUAAACGGGAGUUGCAUAAUCUCAUAGUCAUAGGAACAUGUAUAAGUUAUGAAGAAAGCAAUAGCAACAAACUAAACGAUCAAGUGCUAAGCUAACGGAAUGGGUCAAGUCAAUCACAUCAUUCUCCUAAUGAUGUGAUCUUGUUAAUCAAAUGACAACUCAUGUCUAUGGUUAGGAAACAUAACCAUAUUUGAUCAACGAGCUAGUCAAGUAGAGGCAUACUAGUGACACUCUGUUUUGUCUAUGUAUUCACACAUGUAUUAUUUUUCCGUUUAAUACAAUUCUAGCAUGAAUAAUAAACAUUUAUCAUGAUAUAAGGAAAUAAAUAAUAACUUUUAUUAUUGCCUCUAGGGCAUAUUUCCUUCAGUCUCCCACUUGCACUAGAGUCAAUAAUCUAGAUUACACAGUAAUGAUUCUAACACCCAUGGAGCCUUGGUGCUGAUCAUGUUUUGCUCGUGGAAGAGGCUUAGUCAACGGGUCUGCAACAUUCAGAUCCGUAUGUAUCUUGCAAAUUUCUAUGUCUCCCACUUGGACUAAAUCCCGAAUGGAAUUGAAGCAUCUCUUGAUGUGCUUGGUUCUCUUGUGAAAUCUGGAUUCCUUCGCCAAGGCAAUUGCACCAGUAUUGUCACAAAAGAUUUUCAUUGGACCCUGAUAACCCACAAGUAUAGGGGAUCGCAACAGUUUUCGAUAAGUAAGAGUGUCGAACCCAACGAGGAGCUAAAGGUAGAACAAAUAUUCCCUCAAUUUCUAUGGACCACCGAUACAACUCUACGCACGCUUGACGUUCGCUUUACCUAGAACAAGUAUGAAACUAGAAGUACUUUGUAGGUGUUGUUGGAUAGGUUUGCAAGACAAUAAAGAGUAUGUAAAUAAAAAGUAGGUGCUAUUUAGAUAAAAGAAACAAUAAAGUAAAUAUAGCGAGUGUGGAAAAGUGGUGGUAGGAGUUGCGAAAUUGCACCUUAAGCAAUUGACUACUUUAUUAGACCGAUAGCAAGUAUUAUGUGGGAGAGGCCACUGCUAGCAUGUCAUCCCUUACUUGGAAUUCUAUGCACUUAUGAUUGGAACUAUUAGCAAGCAUCCGCAACUACUAAUGUUCAUUAAGGUAAAACCCAACCAUAGCAUUAAGAUAUAUUGGUCCCCCUUCAAUCCCGUAUGUAUCAAUUUCUAUGCUAGGUUGAAGCUUCUGUCACUCUUGCCCUCCAAUACAUAAUCCUAUCAACAUACAAACUAACCCUAGGGUGUGAUCCACGCGCGCAAUCAUAUGAUGGGCACCAAAGGACAGCAACAUAACCACAAGCAAAUUAAAUCAAUCAUAGCAAUUCAUCAACCACCGAUAGGACAACGAAAAUCUACUCAGACAUCAUAGGAUGGCAACACAUCAUUGGAUAAUAAUAUGAAGCAUAAAGCACCAUGUUCAAGUAGAGGGUACAGUGGGUUGCGGGAGAGUGGACCGCUGUAGAUAGAGGGGGGAAGGUGAUGGAGAUGUUGGUGAAGAUGGCGAAGGUGUUGGUGUAGAUCGCGGUGAUGAUGAUGGCCCCCGGUGGCACUUCGGUGCCACCGGAAGCGAGGGGGAGAGAGCCCUGUCCUUCUUCUUCUUCCUUGACCUCCUCCCUAGAUGGGAGAAGGGUUUCCCCUCUGGUCCAUGGCCUCCAUGGCACAGGAGGGGCGAGAGCCCCUCCGAGAUUGGAUCUGUCUCUCUGUCUCUCUCUGUUUCUGCAUUCUGUUCUGGCUCUGUUUCACCAUUUCAUAGAUAUAUGGAGAUCUGUAACUCCGAUUGACCUGAAACCUUUGCCAUGAUUUUUUUUCCGAAUAUUAGCUUUCUUGCGGCAAAAGAAGAGCGUCAACCGCCUUAUGGUGGGCUCACGAGGGUAGGGGCGCGCCCUAGGGGGGCGCCCCCUGCCUCGUGACCACCUCGGGCACUGGUUCGCGUUGAUUUUCCUUCCAAAUUUUCCAUAUUUUCCAAAAAUAAGCUCCGUCCGUUUUUAUCCCGUUUGGAUUCCAUUUGAUAUAGAUAUUCUGCGAAACCAAAAACAUGCAACAGACAGGAACUGGCACUGGGCACUGGAUCAAUAUGUUAGUUCCAAAAAUAAUAUAAAAAGUUGCAGAAAAGUAUAUGAAAGUUGAAUAAUAUUGGCAUGGAAUAAUCAAAAAUUAUAGAUACGACGGAGACGUACAAGCAUCCCCAAGCUUAAUUCCUGCUCGUCCUCGAGUAGGUAAAUGAUAAAAAAAUAAUUUUUGAUGUGGAAUGCUACCUAGCAUAAUCUUGAUCAUAUGUCUAAUCAUGGCAUGAAUAUUAAGAUACGAGUGAUUCAAAGCAAUAAUCUAUCCUUUGACAUUAAGACAAUAAUACUUCAAGCAUACUAAUAAAGCAAUCAUGUAUUUUCAAAACAACAUGGCCAAAGAAAGUUAUCCCUACAAAAUCAUAUAGUCUGGCUAUGCUCCAUCUUCACCACACAAAAUAUUCAAAUCAAGCACAACCCCGAUGACAAGCCAAGCAAUUGUUUCAUACUUCUGACGUUCUCAAACCUUUUCAACUUUCACGCAAUACAUGAGCGUGAGCCAUGUACAUAGCACUAUAGGUGGAAUAGAAUAUGAUGGUGGAGGAGACAAAAAGGAGAAGAUAGUCUCACAUCAACUAGGCGUAUCAAUGGGCUAUGGAGAUGCCCAUAAAUAGAUAUCAAUGUGAGUGAGUAGGGAUUGCCAUGCAACGGAUGCACUAGAGCUAUAAGUGUAUGAAAGCUCAACAAAAGAAAGUAGUGGGUGUGCAUCCAACUUGCUUGCUCCUGAAGGGCAUUUGAGGAAGCCCAUCAUCGGAAUAUACAAGCCAAGUUCUAUAAUGAAAAUUCCCACUAGUAUAUGAAAGUGAUAACUCAAGAGACUCUCUAUAUGAAGAACAUGGUGCUACUUUGAAGCACAAGUGUGGAAAAAGGAUAGUAGCACUGCCCCUUCUCUCUUUUUCUCUCAUUUUUUUUGUUUUUUUUGUUUUUUUGGUGGGCUUCUUUGGCCUCUUUUUUUUAUUUGGGCUUCUUUGGCCUCUUUUAUUUUUUUGUUAAGUCCGGAGUCUGAUCCCGACUUAUGGGGGAAUCAUAGUAUCCAUCAUCCUUUCCUCACUGGGGCAAUGCUCUAAUAAUGAUGAUCAUCACACUUUUAUUUACUUACAACUCAAUAUUACAACUCAAUGUCUAGAACAAAGUAUGACUCUAUAUGGAUUCCUCCGGCGGUGUACCGGGAUGUGCAAUGAUCUAGCGUAGCAAUGACAUCAAAAAACGGACAAGCCAUGAAAACAUCAUGCUAGCUAUCUUACGAUCAUGCAAAGCAAUAUGACAAUAAAUGCUCAAGUCAUGUAUAUGAUGAUGAUGGAAGUUGCAUGGCAAUAUAUCUCGGAUUGGCUAUGGAAAUGCCAUAAUAGGUAGGUAUGGUGGCUGAUUUGAGGAAGGUAUAUGGUGGGUUUAUGGUACCGGCGAAAGUUGUGCGGUACUAGAGAGGCUAGCAAUGAUGGAAGGGUGAGAGUGUGUAUAAUACAUGGACUCAACAUUAGUCAUAAAGAACUCACAUACUUGUUGCAAAAAUCUAUUAGUCAUCGAAACAAAGUACUACGCGCAUGCUCCUAGGGGGGGAUAGAUUGGUAGGAAAAGACCAUCGCUCGUCCCUGACCGCCACUCAUAAGGAAGACAAUCAAUAAAUAAAUCAUGCUCCGACUUCGUUACAUAACGGUUCACCAUACGUGCAUGCUUCGGGAAUCACAAACUUCAACACAAGUAUUUCUACAAUCCACAACUACUCACUAGCAUGUCUCUAAUAUCACCAUCUUUAUAUCGCAAAACUAUUGCAAGGAAUCAAACAUAUCAUAUUCAAUGAUCUACAAGUUUUAUGUAGGAUUUUAUGACUAACCAUGUGAAUGACCAGGUCCUGUCAUCUCUCUAAAUAGAUAUAAGUGAAGCAAGAGAGUUUAAUUCUUUCUACAAAAGAUAUGCCCGUGCUCUAACAAAUAUAAGUGAAGCAAAAGAGCAUUCUGCAAAUGGCGAUUGUCUAAGUGAAGAGAAACAGGCAAUCCAAACUUCAAAUGAUAUAAGUGAAGCACAUGAAGCAUUCUAUAAAGCCAUACUCAAAAGAUAUAAGUGAAGUGCAUAGAGCAUUCUAUAAAGUCAUACUCAAAAGGUAUAAGUGAAGUGCAUAGAGCAUUCUAUAAAUAAACCAAGGACUAUCGCAUGAACGAAACGAAUCCGAAAACAUACCGAUACUUGUUGAAGAAAGAGGGGAUGCCUCCCCAGCAUCCCCAAGCUUAGACGCUUGAGUCUCCUUGAAUAUUUACUUGGGGUGCCUCGGGCAUCCCCAAGCUUGAGCUCUUGCCUCUCUUCCUUCUUCUCACAUCGAGACCUUCUCAAUCAUCGAACACUUCAUCCACACAAAACUCCAACAGAAAACUCGGUAAGAUCCGUUUGUAUAAUAAAGCAAAUCCUACUCUAAGUACUGUUGCAAACCAAUUCAUAUUUUGUUUUUGCAUUGUGCCUACUGUAAUAUAACUUUUUCAUGGCUUAAUCCACUGAUAUGAAUUGAUAGUUUCAUCAAAACAAGUAAACUAUGCAUCAGAAACAGAAUCUGUCUAAAACAGAACAGUAUGUAGCAAUCUGAACAUUAACCAUACUUAUAAUACUUGAAAAAUUCUACCAAAAUUAGGAAAAAAUAAACAAUUUGUAUAGUAAGACAGUUCAAAAAUAAUCAGAACCAUUUGACGUUCCAGCUAAAAAUGUAAAAUCACGCACUACAGCCAAAGUUUCUGUCCUGCAUCGUACAAACCAUCAAGCAAAUGUAAACAUCCUAAAGGCAAACCUUGGCACAAUAUUUUUAUAAUACAAUGGAAUUGUACGAGGGGAUAAUUAUUUUUGUUGAAAAGUUCUGUAAUCAAGAUUCACAAAGUUGCCGUGAGCAUGAACAAAGUUCAAGGAGCUCUCCCACUUCAACAGUGCUUGUCUUUCUCACUUUCACUUUCCUUUUUGAAAAGUUUUGGGUUCCCCUCUUUAUUUUUGUUGUUUUUAAACUAUAUAAAAGCACUCAAUAGAAAUAAAUGACUCUCUAAAACUUCCGGGUUGUCUCCCUGGCAGCGCUUUCUUUAAAGCCAUUAAGCUAGGCAUAUAGUGCUCAAGUAAUGGAUCCACCCGGAUCCCAAGGUAUAUCAAAGCAAAUUUUAAUUAACAAUGAUUUGUAAUUUAGUCGUGAGCACAAAGCAACAUAUAUCAAGAAAUGGCGAAGUCUAAGUCUCUUUCUAUGCAUCGGCAUGUCAUAAAAGAACAAUUCAUGCACACCUAGUAAAGGCCAAUGCAUAGUAUAAACAGUUUCUUGCAAUUUUAUCAUGUUGGAAACAUAGAGAGGUGGAGAUAUAGUUCCUCUCUCAUAAUAAUUGCAAGUAGGAGCAGCAAGCACAUGCAUAUUAUACUCAUCAAAAUCAUCAUGUGUAUCGGUAAAAGGCAACCCAUCAAUAUAAUCCUUAAUAAGUGCAAACUUCUCCGAUAUAGUGUAAUCGAGAGAAUUCAAAAAGAUAAUAGGACUAUCAUGCGUGGGUGUAAUAGCAACAAUUUCAUGUUUAACAUAAGGAACUAUAGCAAGUUCAUCUCCAUAAGCAUAAUUCAUAUUGGCAUCUUGGCCAUAAGCAUAGCAAGCAUCAUCAAAAAGGGAUAUUUCAAAAGAAUCAUAGGGAUCAUAUCAGUCAUCAUAGCAAUCAUCCUCCGGUAAGCACGAAGGGGAAUUAAACAAUGUAUGAGUUGAAGAGUUACUCUCAUUAGAAGGUGGGCACGGGUGAUCAAUCCGCUCUUCCUCCUUUUGCUCUUCGCUCUCCUCAUCAUCUUUUUCAUCCAAUGAGCCCACAGUUUCAUCAACUUCUUCUUCCAUAGAUUCCUGCAAAAUAUUAGUCUCUUCUUGGACAGCGGAGACUUUCUUAAUAAGCGCAUUAAUUUCGUAAUUGUAUUCAUAAUUCUCAUAACAAUAUUUCAGGAUAGCUAAAUUUUCAUGUCUAUAAACAGCAUCAUCAAAAUCUUCAAACUCUUUAAACAUAGAUUCAAUUUCAUAAGCACCCAUAAAAGCAACAAAUUCUUCUAUUUGUUCCACAUCAUAGUAAUCAUAUAUACCAUUAGCAUAAGAAGCUAAGGUUUCAUUAUCAUUAAAUUCACAUGAAAAGGGAAGGUGUGGAUCCUUCACCUUAGAGCAACAAGUAUAAUCAUAUCUCAAGCAUAGUUGCCUAGCAUACCAAUUCAAUAUAUGAAUUUGAUCCCAUAAUAGUUUCCCUUUUUGUGUCAAGCAGUAAUCCCUAAAGUAUUCACGUUGAUCCAAUGUUACUCCCAUUACAUAAUUGAAUGGGGUUUUCUCAGGAUUAUUAAAGUAGUACGUAAUAUUUUUCGCAUAACCAGCAUCGAGGGUUUUAGGAGGUUCCCCAUCUCCAUGAGUAGCAAGUACACCUAAUUUUUUUGGUAUUUCGUGUUCUAUAUCCAUAACUAAAGAUAAAGAACAACUAAGAACAGCAAAUAAAAAUUACUUAGUGAUAAAGCAAACAAGCACACACGAGAAUAUUCACCCCACACUAUUGCUCCCCGGCAACGGCGCCAGAAAAAGAUCUUGAUAACCCACAAGUAUAGGGGAUCACAACAGUUUUCAAUAAGUAAGAGUGUCGAACCCAACGAGGAGCUAAAGGUAGAACAAAUAUUCCCUCAAGUUCUAUCGACCACCGAUACAACUCUACGCACGCUUGACAUUCGCUUUACCUAGAACAAGUAUGAAACUAGAAGUACUUUGUAGGUGUUGUUGGAUAGGUUUGCAAGAUAAUAAAGAGUAUGUAAAUAAAAAGUAGGUGUUGUUUAGAUAAAAGAAACAAUAAAGUAAAUAUAGCGAGUGUGGAAAAGUGGUGGUAGGAGUUGCGAAAUUGCCCCUUCAGCAAUUGACUACUUUACUAGACCGAUAGCAAGUAUUAUGUGGGAGAGGCCACUACUAGCAUGUCAUCCCUUACUUGGAACUCUAUGCACUUAUGAUUGGAACUAUUAGCAAGCAUCUGCAACUACUAAUGUUCAUUAAGGUAAAACCCAACCAUAGCAUUAAGAUAUAUUGGUCCACCUUCAAUCCCGUAUGUAUCAAUUUCUAUGCUAGGUUGAAGCUUCUGUCACUCUUGCCCUCCAAUACAUAGUCCUAUCAACAUACAAACUAACCCUAGGGUGUGAUCCAUGCGCGCAAUCAUAUGAUGGGCACCAAAGGACAGCAACAUAACCACAAGCAAAUUAAAUCAAUCAUAGCAAUUCAUCAACCACCGAUAGGACAACGAAAAUCUACUCAGACAUCAUAGGAUGGCAACACAUCAUUGGAUAAUAAUAUGAAGCAUAAAGCACCAUGUUCAAGUAGAGGGUACAGCGGGUUGCGGGAGAGUGGACCGCUGUAGAUAGAGGGGGGAAGGUGAUGGAGAUGUUGGUGAAGAUGGCGGAGGUGUUGGUGUAGAUCGCGGUGAUGAUGAUGGCCCCUGGUGGCACUCCGGUGCCACCGGAAGCGAGGGGGAGAGAGCCCCCCUCCUUCUUCUUCUUCCUUGACCUCCUCCCUAGAUGGGAGAAGGGUUUCCCCUCUGGUCCAUGGCCUCCAUGGCAAGGGAAGGGCGAGAUCGCCUCCGAGAUUGGAUCUGUCUCUCUAUCUCUCUCUGUUUCUGCAUUCUGUUCUGGCUCUGUUUCACCGUUUCGUAUAUAUAUGGAGAUCCGUAACUCCGAUUGACCUGAAACCUUUGCCAUGAUUUUUUUCUGAAUAUUAGCUUUCUUGCGGCAAAUGAAGAGCGUCAACCGCCUUACCGUGGCUCACGAGGGUUGGGGGCGCGCCCUAGGGGGGGCGCCCCCCUGCCUCGUGACCACCUCGGGCACUGGUUCGCGUUGAUUUUCCUUCCGGAAUUUCCAUUUUUUCCAAAAAUAAGCUCCGCCCAUUUUUAUCCCGUUUGGACUCCGUUUGAUAUGGAUAUUCUGCGAAACCAAAAACAUGCAACAGACAAGAACUAGCACUGGGCACUGGAUCAAUAUGUUAGUCCCAAAAAUAAUAUAAAAAGUUGCCAAAAAGUAUAUAAAAGUUGAAUAAUAUUGGCAUGGAACAAUCAAAAAUUAUAGAUACGACGGAGACGUAUCAGACCCGAUGCACUAGGUAUGACACCUAGAUCGGAUAUGAACUCCUUCAUCCAGACUCCUUCAUUUGCUGCUUCCGAAGCAGCUAUGUACUCCGCUUCACAUGUAGAUCCCGCCACGACGCUUUGUUUAGAACUGCACCAACUGACAGCUCCACCAUUCAGUAUAAACAUGUAUCCAGUUUGCGAUUUAGAAUCGUCCGGAUCAGUGUCAAAGCUUGCAUCAACGUAACCAUUUACGAUGAGCUCUUUGUCACCUCCAUAUACGAGAAACAUAUCCUUAGUCCUUUUCAGGUACUUCAGGAUGUUCUUGACCGCUGUCCAGUGACCCACUCCUGGAUUACUUUGGUACCUCCCUGCUAGACUUAUAGCAAGGCACACAUCAGGUCUGGUACACAGCAUUGCAUACAUGAUAGAGCCUAUGGCUGAAGCAUAGGGAACACCUUUCAUUUUCUCUCUAUCUUCUGCGGUGGUCGGACAUUGAGUCUUACUCAACUUCACACCUUGUAACAUAGGCAAGAACCCUUUCUUUGCUUGAUCCAUUUUGAACUUCUUCAAAACUUUGUCAAGGUAUGUGCUUUGUGAAAGUCCAAUUAAGCGUCUUGAUCUAUCUCUAUAGAUCUUAAUGCCCAAUAUGUAAGCAGCUUCGCCGAGGUCUUUCAUUGAAAAACUCUUAUUCAAGUAUCCCUUUAUGCUAUCUAGAAAUUCUAUAUCAUUUCCAAUCAGUAAUAUGUCAUCCACAUAUAAUAUCAGAAAUUCUACAGAGCUCCCACUCACUUUCUUGUAAAUACAGGCUUCUCCAAAAGUCUAUACAAAACCAAAUGCUUUGAUCACACUAUCAAAGCGUUUAUUCCAACUCCGAGAGGCUUGCACCAGUCCAUAAAUGGAUCGCUGGAGCUUGCACACUUUGUUAGCUCCCUUUGGAUCGACAAAACCUUCUGGUUGCAUCAUAUACAACUCUUCUUCCAGAAAUCCAUUCAGGAAUGCACUUUUGACAUCCAUCUGCCAAAUUUCAUAAUCAUAAAAUGCGGCAAUUGCUAACAUGAUUCGGACAGACUUAAGCAUCACUACGGGUGAGAAGGUCUCAUCAUAGUCAAUCUCUUGAACUUGUCGAAAACCUUUCGCAACAAGUCGAGCUUUGUAGACAGUAACAUUACCGUCAGCGUCAGUCUUCUUCUUGAAGAUCCAUUUAUUCUCAAUUGCUUGCCGAUCAACGAGCAAGUCAACCAAAGUUCACACUUUGUUCUCAUACAUGGAUCCCAUCUCAGAUUUCAUGGCUUCUAGCCACUUUGCGGAAUCUGGGCUCACCAUCGCUUCUUCAUAGUUCGUAGGUUCAUCAUGAUCUAGUAGCAUGACUUCCAGAACAGGAUUACCGUACCAUUCUGGUGCGGAUCUUUCUCUGGUUGAUCUACGAGGUUCGGUAGUAACUUGAUCUGAAGUUUCAUGAUCAUUAUCAUUAGCUUCCUCACUAAUUGUUAUAGGUGUCACAGAAACCGGUUUCUGUGAUGUACUACUUUCCAAUAAGGGAGCAGGUACAGUUACCUCAUCAAGUUCUACUUUUCUCCCACUCACUUCUUUCGAGAGAAACUCCUUCUCUAGAAAGGAUCCAUUCUUAGCAAUGAAUGUCUUGCCUUCGGAUCUGUGAUAGAAGGUGUACCCAACAGUCUCCUUUGGGUAUCCUAUGAAGACACAUUUCUAAGAUUUGGGUUCGAGCUUAUCAGGUUGAAGCUUUUUCACAUAAGCAUCGCAGCCCCUUUAGAAACGACAACUUUGGUUUCUUGCCAAACCACAGUUCAUAAGGCGUCGUUUCAACGGAUUUCGAUGGUGCCCUAUUUAACGUGAAUGCAGCCGUCUCUAAAGCAUAACCCCAAAACAAUAGCGGUAAAUCAGUAAGAGACAUCAUAGAUCGCACCAUAUCUAAUAAAGUACGAUUACGACGUUCGGACACACCAUUACGCUGUGGUGUUCUGGGUGGCGUGUGUUGCGAAACUAUUCCGCAUUGUUUCAAAUGUAGACCAAACUCGUAACUCAAAUAUUCUCCUCCAUGAUCAGAUCGUAGAAACUUUAUUUUCUUGUUAUGAUGAUUUUCAACUUCACUCUGAAAUUCUUUGAACUUUUCAAAUGUCUCAGACUUUUGCUUCAUUAAGUAGAUAUACCCAUAUCUGCAUAAAUCAUCUGUGAAGGUGAGAAAAUAACGAUAUCCGCCACGAGCCUAAACAUUCAUCGGACCACAUACAUUUGUAUGUAUGAUUUCCAACAAAUCUGUUGCUCUCUCCAUAGUACCGGAGAACGGCGUUUUAGUCAUCUUGCCCAUGAGGCACGGUUCGCAAGUACCAAGUGAUUCAUAAUCAAGUGAUUCCAAAAGUCCAUCAGUAUGGAGUUUCUUCAUGCGCUUUACACCGAUAUGACCUAAAACGGCAGUGCCACAAAUAAGUUGCACUAUCAUUAUCAACUCUGCAUCUUUUGGCUUCAACAUCAUGAAUAUGUGUAUCACUACUAUCGAGGUUCAUCAAAAAUAGACCACUCUUCAAGGGUGCAUGAUCAUAAAAGAUAUUACUCAUAUAAAUAGAACAACCAUUAUUUUCUGAUUUAAAUGAAUAACCGUCUCACAUCAAACAAGAUCCAGAUAUAAUGUUCAUGCUCAAUGCUGGCACCAAAUAACAAUUAUUUAGGUCUAAUACUAAUCCCAAAGGUAGAUGUAGAUGUAGUGUGCCGACUGCAAUCACAUCGACUUUGGAACCAUUUCCCACGCGCAUCGUCACCUCGUCCUUCGCCAGUGUUCGCUUAAUCUGUAGUCCCUGUUUCGAGUUGCAAAUACUAGCAACAGAACCAGUAUAAAAUACCCAGGUGCUACUGCGAGCUCUAGUAAGGUACACAUCAAUAACAUGUAUAUCACAUAUACAUUUGUUCACCUUGCCAUCCUUCUUAUCCGCCAAAUACUUGGGAUAGUUCCGCUUCUAGUGUCUAGUCUGCUUGCAGUAGAAGCACUCAGUUUCAGGCUGAGGUCCAGAUUUGGGUUUCUGUGAUGUACUACUUUCCAAUAAGGGAGCAGGUACAGUUACCUCAUCAAGUUCUACUUUCCUCCCACUCACUUCUUUCGAGAGAAACUCCUUCUCUAGAAAGGAUCCAUUCUUAGCAACGAAUGUCUUGCCUUCGGAUCUGUGAUAGAAGGUGUACCCAACAGUCUCCUUUGGGUAUCCUAUGAAGACACAUUUCUCCGAUUUGGGUUCGAGUUUAUCAGGUUGAAGCUUUUUCACAUAAGCAUCGCAGCCCCAAACUUUUAGAAACGACAACUUUGGUUUCUUGCCAAACCACAGUUCAUAAGGCGUCGUUUCAACAGAUUUUGAUGGUGCCCUAUUUAACGUGAAUGCAUCCGUCUCUAAAGCAUAACCCCAAAAUGAUAGCGGUAAAUCAGUAAGAGACAUCAUAGAUCGCACCAUAUCUAAUAAAGUACGAUUACAACGUUUGGACACACCAUUACGCUGUGGUGUUCCGGGUGGCAUGAGUUGCGAAACUAUUCCGCAUUGUUUCAAAUGUAGACCAAACUCAUAACUCAAAUAUUCUCCUCCUCGAUCAGAUCGUAGAAACUUUAUUUUCUUAUUACGAUGAUUUUCAACUUCACUCUGAAAUUCUUUGAACUUUUUAAAUGUUUCAGACUUAUGCUUCAUUAAGUAGAUAUACCCAUAUCUACUUAAAUCAUCUGUGAAGGUGAUAAAAUAACGAUAUCCACCACGAGCCUCAACAUUCAUCGGACCACAUACAUCUGUAUGUAUGAUUUCCAACAAAUCUGUUGCUCUCUCCAUAGUACCGGAGAACGGCUUUUUAGUCAUCUUUCCCAUGAGGCACGGUUCGCAAGUACCAAGUGAUUCAUAAUCAAGUGAUUCCAAAAGUCCAUCAGUAUGGAGUUUCUUCAUGCGCUUUACACCUAUAUGACCUAAACGGCAGUGCCACAAAUAAGUUGCACUAUCAUUAUCAACUCUGCAUCUUUUGGCUUCAACAUUAUGAAUAUGUGUAUCACUACUAUCAAGAUUCAUCAAAAAUAGACCACUCUUCAAGGGUGCAUGACCAUAAAAGAUAUUACUCAUAUAAAUAGAACAACUAUUAUUUUCUGAUUUAAAUGAAUAACUGUCUAGCAUCAAACAAGAUCCAGAUAUAAUGUUCAUGCUCAACGCUGGCACCAAAUAACAAUUAUUUAGGUCUAAUACUAAUCCCGAAGGUAGAUGUAGACGUAGUGUGCCGACUGCAAUCACAUCGACUUUGGAACCAUUUCCCACAUGCAUUGUCACCUCGUCCUUCGCAAGUGUUCGCUUAAUCCGUAGUCCCUGUUUUGAGUUGAAAAUACUAGCAACAGAACCAGUAUAAAAUACCCAGGUGCUACUGCGAGCUCUAGUAAGGUACACAUCAAUAACAUGUAUAUCACAAUACCUUUGUUCACCUUGCCAUCCUUCUUAUCCGCCAAAUACUUGGGGUAGUUCCGCUUCCAGUGUCUAGUCUUCUUGCAGUAGAAGCACUCAGUUUCAGGCUGAGGUCCAGAUUUGGGUUUCUUCUCCUGGGCAGCAACUUGCUUGUUGUUCUUCUUGAAGUUCCCCUUCUUCUUCCCUUUGCCCUUUUUCUUGAACUGGCGGUCUUGUUGACCAUCAACACUUGAUGCUCCUUCUUGAUUUCUACCUCUGCAGCCUUUAGCAUUGCGAAGAGCUCGGGAAUUGUCUUAUCCAUCCCUUGCAUGUUAUAGUUCAUCACGAAGAUCUUGUAGCUUGGUGGCAGUGAUUGAAGAACUCUGUCAAUGACACUAUCAACAGGAAGAUUAACUCCCAGUUGAGUCAAGUGAUUAUGAUACCCAGACAUUUUGAGUAUAUGUUCACUGACAGAACUAUUCUCCUCCAUCUUGCAGCUAUAGAAAUUACUGGAAACUUCAUAUCUCUCAAUCCGGGCAUUUGCUUGAAAUAUUAACUUCAACUCCUGGAACAUCUCAUAUGCUCCAUGACGUUCAAAACGUCGUUGAAGUCCUGAUUCUAAGCCGUAAAGCAUGGCACACCGAACUAUCGAGUAGUCAUCAGCUUUGCUCUGCCAGACGUUCAUAACAUCUGGUGUUGCUCCAGCAGCAGGCCUGGCACCCAGCGGUGCUUCCAGGACGUAAUUCUUCUGUGCAGCAAUGAGGAUAAUCCUCAAGUUACGGACCUAGUCCGUGUAAUUGCUACCAUCAUCUUUCAACUUUGCUUUCUCAAGGAACGCAUUAAAAUUCAACGGAACAACAGCACGGGCCAUCUAUCUAAAACAUAGACAAGCAAGAUACUAUCACGUACUAAGUUCAUGAUAAUUUUAAGCUCAAUUGAUCAUAUUACUUAAGAACUCCCACUUAGAAAGACAUCCCUCUAAUCUUCUAAGUGAUCACGUGAUCCAAAUCAACUAAACCAUAAACGAUCAUCACGUGAAAUGGAGUAGCUUUCAAUGGUGAACAUCAAUAUGUUGAUCAUAUCUACUAUAUGAUUCACGCUCGACCUUUCGGUCUCAGUGUUCCGAGGCCAUAUCUGCAUAUGCUAGGCUCGUCAAGUUUAACCUGAGUAUUCUACGUGUGCAAAACUGGCUUGCACCCGUUGUAGAUGGACGUAGAGCUUAUCGCACCCGAUCAUCACGUGGUAUCUGGGCACAACGAACUUUGGCAACGGUGCAUACUCAUGGAGAACACUUUUAUCUUGAAAUUUAGUGAGAGAUCAUCUUAUAAUGUUGCCAUCAAUCAAAGCAAGAUAAGAUGCAUAAAAGAUAAACAUCACAUGCAAUCAAUAUAAGUGAUAUGAUAUGGCCAUCAUCAUCUUGUACUUGUGAUCUCCAUCUCCGAAGUACCGUCAUGAUCACCAUCGUCACCGGCGCGACACCUGGAUCUCCAUCGUAGCAUCGUUGUCGUCUCGCCAAUCUUAUGCUUCAACGACUAUCGCUACCGCUUAGUGAUAAAGUAAAGCAUUACAGGGCGAUUGCAUUGCAUACAAUAAAGCGACAACCAUAUGGCUCCUGCUAGUUGCCAAUAACUCGGUUACAAAACAUGAUCAUCUCAUACAAUAAAAUAUAGCAUCAUGUCUUGACCAUAUCACAUCACAACAUGCCCUGCAAAAACAAGUUAGAUGUCCCCUACUUUGUUGUUGCAAGUUUUACGUGGCUGCUAUGGGCUUAGCAAGAACCGUUCUUACCUACGCAUCAAAACCACAACGAUAGUUUGUCAAGUUGGUGUUGUUUUAACCUUCGCAAGGACCGGGCGUAGCCACACUCGGUUCAACUAAAGUUGGAGAAACUGACACCCGCCAGCCACCUGUGUGCAAAGCACGGCGGUGAAACCAGUCUCGCGAAGCGUACGCGUAAUGUCGGUCCGGGCCGCUUCAUCCAACAAUACCGCCGAACCAAAGUAUGACAUGCUAGUAAGCAGUAUGACUUAUAUCGCCCACAACUCACUUGUGCUCUACUCAUGCAUAACAUCAACGCAUAAAACCUGGCUCGGAUGCCACUGUUGGGGAACGUAGUAAUUUCAAAAAAAUUCCUACGCACACGCAAGAUCAUGGUGAUGCAUAGCAACGAGAGGGGAGAGUGUUGUCUACGUACCCUUGUAGACCGGCAACGGAAGCGUUGACACAACGUAGAGGAAGUAGUCGUACGUCUUCCCGAUCCGACCGAUCCAAGUACCGAACGUACGGCACCUCUGAGUUCUGCACACGUUCAACUCGAUGACGUCCCUCGAGCUCCGAUCCAACUGAGUGUUGAGGGAGAUUUUCAUCAACACGACGGCGUGAUGACGGUGAUGAUGUUCUACCAACGCAGGGCUUCGCCUAAGUACCACUACGAUAUGACCGAGGUGGAAUAUGGUGGAAGGGGGCACCGCACACGGCUAAGGAACGAUCAUGAAGAUCAACUUGUGUGUCAUGGGGUGCCCCCUUGCCCCUGUAUAUAAAGGAGGGAGAGGGGAGGUGCGUCCGGCCCCUAGGGGUGCACCUGGAGGAGUCCUACUCCCACCGGGAGUAGGACUCCCCCUUCUUGCCUUGUUGGAGAAGGAAAGGGGAAGGGGGAAAGAGGAAAGGGGGGCGCCCCCCCCCUUCCUUGUCCUAUUCGGACUAGGGGGGAGGGGGCGCGCGACCUGCCUUGGCCGGCCCUCCUCUUCUCCCUUAGGGCCCAUGAAGGCCCAUUAACUCCCGGGGGGUUCCGGUAACCCCCCGGUACUCCGGUAAAAUCCCGAUUUCACCCGAAACGAUUCCGAUAUCCAAAUAUAGGCUUCCAAUAUAUCAAUCUUUAUGUCUCGACCAUUUCGAGACUCCUCGUCAUGUCCGUGAUCACAUCCGGGACUCCGAAAAACCUUCGGUACAUCAAAACACAAAAACCCUAAUUAUGAUCGUCACCGAACUUUAAGCGUGCGGACCCUAGGGGUUCGAGAACUAUGUAGACAUGACCGAGACACGUCUCCGGUCAAUAACCAAUAGCGGAACCUGGAUGCUCAUAUUGGUUCCUACAUAUUCUACGAAGAUCUUUAUCGGUCAAACCGCAUAACAAUAUAUGUUGUUCCCUUUGUCAUUGGUAUGUUACUUGCCCAAGAUUCGAUCGUCGGUAUUCCAAUACCUAGUUCAAUCUCGUUACAGGCAAGUCUCUUUACUCAUUCCGUAAUACAUCAUUCUGCAACUAACUCAUUAGUUGCAAUGCUUGCAAGACUUAAGUGAUGUGCAUUACCGAGUGGGCCCAGAGAUAACUCUCUGACAAUCGUAGUGACAAAUCCUAAUCUCGAAAUACGCCAACCCAACAAGUACCUUCGGAGGCACCUGUAGAGCACCUUUAUAAUCACCCAGUUACGUUGUGACGUUUGGUAGCACACAAAGUGUUCCUCCGGUAAAUGGGAUUUGCAUAAUCUCAUAGUCAUAGGAACAUGUAUAAGUUAUGAAAAAAGCAAUAGGAACAAACUAAACGAUCAAGUGCUAAGCUAACAUAAUGGGUCAAGUCAAUCACAUCAUUCUCCUAAUGAUGUGAUCCCGUUAAUCAAAUGACAACUCAUGUCUAUGGUUAGGAAACAUAACCAUCUUUGAUCAACGAGCUAGUCAAGUAGAGGCAUACUAGUGACACUCUGUUUUGUCUAUGUAUUCACACAUGUAUUAUGUUUCCGGUUAAUACAAUUCUAGCAUGAAUAAUAAACAUUUAUCAUGAUAUAAGGAAAUAAAUAAUAGCUUUUAUUAUUGCCUCUAGGGCAUAUUUCCUCCAGUCUCCCACUUGCACUAGAGUCAAUAAUCUAGAUUACACAGUAAUGAUUCUAACACCCAUGGAGCCUUGGUGCUGAUCAUGUUUUGCUCGUGGAAGAGGCUUAGUCAGCGGGUCUGCAACAUUCAGAUCCGUAUGUAUCUUGCAAAUUUCUAUGAUCCCACUUGGACUAAAUCCCUAAUGGAAUUGAAGCGUCUCUUGAUGUGCUUGGUUCUCUUGUGAAAUCUGGAUUCCUUCGCCAAGGCAAUUGCACCAGUAUUGUCACAAAAGAUUUUCAUUGGACCCGAUGCACUAGGUAUGACACCUAGAUCGGAUAUGAACUCCUUCGUCCAGACUCCUUCAUUUGCUGCUUCCGAAACAGCUAUGUACUCCGCUUCACAUGUAGAUCCCGCCACGACGCUUUGUUUAGAACUGCACCAACUGACAGCUCCACCGUUCAGUAUAAACACGUAUCCAGUUUGCGAUUUAGAAUCGUCCGGAUCAGUGUCAAAGCUUGCAUCAACAUAACCAUUUACGAUGAGCUCUUUGUCACCUCCAUAUACGAGAAACAUAUCCUUAGUCCUUUUCAGGUACUUCAGGAUGUUCUUGACCGUUGUCCAGUGAUCCACUCCUGGAUUACUUUGGUACCUCCCUGCUAGACUUAUAGCAAGGCACACAUCAGGUCUGGUACACAGCAUUGCAUACAUGAUAGAGCCUAUGGCUGAAGCAUAGGGAACAUCUUUCAUUUUCUCUCUAUCUUCUGCGGUGGUCAGACAUUGAGUCUUACUCAACUUCACACCUUGUAACACAGGCAAGAACCCUUUCUUUGCUUGAUCCAUUUUGAACUUCUUCAAAACUUUGUCAAGGUAUGUGCUUUGUGAAAUUCCAAUUAAGCGUCUUGAUCUAUCUCUAUAGAUCUUAAUGCCCAAUAUGUAAGCAGCUUCACCGAGGUCUUUCAUUGAAAAACUCUUAUUCAAGUAUCCCUUUAUGCUAUCUAGAAAUUCUAUAUCAUUUCCAAUCAGUAAUAUGGCAUCCACAUAUAAUAUCAGAAAUGCUACAGAGCUCCCACUCACUUUCUUGUAAAUACAGGUUUCUCCAAAAGUUGUACAAAACCAAAUGCUUUGAUCACACUAUCAAAGCGUUUAUUCCAACUCCGAGAGGCUUGCACCAGUCCAUAAAUGGAUCGCUGGAGCUUGCACACUUUGUUAGCUCCCUUUGGAUUGACAAAACCUUCUGGUUGCAUCAUAUACAACUCUUCUUCCAGAAAUCCAUUCAGGAAUGCACUUUUGACAUCCAUCUGCCAAAUUUUAUAAUCAUAAAAUGCGGAAAUUGCUAACACCGUUCGGACAGACUUAAGCAUCGCUACAGGUGAGAAGGUCUCAUCGUAGUCAAUCCCUUGAACUUGUAGAAAACCUUUCGCAACAAGUCAAGCUUUGUAGACAGUAACAUUACCGUCAGCGUCAGUCUUCUUCUUGAAGAUCCAUUUAUUCUCAAUUGCUUGCCAAUCAACGGGCAAGUCAACCAAAGUCCACACUUUGUUCUCAUACAUGGACCCCGUCUCAGAUUUCAUGGCUUCUAGCCAUGUUGCAGAAUCUGGGCUCACCAUCGCUUCUUCAUAGUUCGUAGGUUCAUCAUGAUCUAUUAGCAUGACUUCCAGAACAUGAUUACCAUACCACUCUGGUGCGGAUCUUACUCUGGUUGAUCUACGAGGUUCGGUAGUAACUUGAUCUGAAGUUUCAUGAUCAUUAUCAUUAGCUUCCUCACUAAUUGGUAUAGGUGUCACAGAAACCGGUUUCUGUGAUGUACUACUUUCCAAUAAGGGAGAAGGUACAGUUACCUCAUCAAGUUCUACUUUCCUCCCACUCACUUCUUUCGAGAGAAACUCCUUCUCUAGAAAGGAUCCAUUCUUAGCAACGAAUGUCUUGCCUUCGGAUCUGUGAUAGAAGGUGUACCCAACAGUCUCCUUUGGGUAUCCUAUGAAGACACAUUUCUCCGAUUUGGGUUCGAGUUCAUCAGGUUGAAGCUUUUUCACAUAAGCAUCGCAGCCCCAAACUUUUAGAAACGACAACUUUGGUUUCUUGCCAAACCACAGUUCAUAAGGCGUCGUUUCAACGGAUUUCGAUGGUGCCCUAUUUAACGUGAAUGCAUCCGUCUCUAAAGCAUAACCCCAAAACGAUAGCGGUAAAUCAGUAAGAGACAUCAUAGAUCGCACCAUAUCUAAUAAAGUACGAUUACGACGUUUGGACACACCAUUACGCUGUGGUGUUCCGGGUGGCAUGAGUUGCGAAACUAUUCCGCAUUGUUUCAAAUGUAGACCAAACUCAUAACUCAAAUAUUCUCCUCCUCGAUCAGAUCGUAGAAACUUUAUUUUCUUAUUACGAUGAUUUUCAACUUCACUCCGAAAUUCUUUGAACUUUUUAAAUGUUUCAGACUUAUGCUUCAUUAAGUAGAUAUACCCAUAUCUACUUAAAUCAUCUGUGAAGGUGAGAAAAUAACGAUAUCCACCACGAGCCUCAACAUUCAUCGGACCACAUACAUCUGUAUGUAUGAUUUCCAACAAAUCUGUUGCUCUCUCCAUAGUACCGGAGAACGGCUUUUUAGUCAUCUUUCCCAUGAGGCACGGUUCGCAAGUACCAAGUGAUUCAUAAUCAAGUGAUUCCAAAAGUCCAUCAGUAUGGAGUUUCUUCAUGCGCUUUACACCUAUAUGACCUAAACGGCAGUGCCACAAAUAAGUUGCACUAUCAUUAUCAACUCUGCAUCUUUUGGCUUCAACAUUAUGAAUAUGUGUAUCACUACUAUCAAGAUUCAUCAAAAAUAGACCACUCUUCAAGGGUGCAUGACCAUAAAAGAUAUUACUCAUAUAAAUAGAACAACUAUUAUUUUCUGAUUUAAAUGAAUAACUGUCUAGCAUCAAACAAGAUCCAGAUAUAAUGUUCAUGCUCAACGCUGGCACCAAAUAACAAUUAUUUAGGUCUAAUACUAAUCCCGAAGGUAGAUGUAGACGUAGUGUGCCGACUGCAAUACAAUCGACUUUGGAACCAUUUCCCACAUGCAUUGUCACCUCGUCCUUCGCCAGUGUUCGCUUAAUCCGUAGUCCCUGUUUUGAGUUGAAAAUACUAGCAACAGAACCAGUAUAAAAUACCCAGGUGCUACUGCGAGCUCUAGUAAGGUACACAUCAAUAACAUGUAUAUCACAAUACCUUUGUUCACCUUUCCAUCCUUCUUAUCCGCCAAAUACUUGGGGUAGUUCCGCUUCCAGUGUCUAGUCUGCUUGCAGUAGAAGCACUCAGUUUCAGGCUGAGGUCCAGAUUUGGGUUUCUUCUCCUGAGCAGCAACUUGCUUGCUGUUCUUCUUGAAGUUCCCCUUCUUCUUCCCUUUGCCCUUUUUCUUGAAAGUGGCGGUCUUUUUGACCAUCAACACUUGAUGCUCCUUCUUGAUUUCUACCUCCACAGACUUUAGCAUUGCGAAGAGCUCGGGAAUUGUCUUAUCCAUCCCUUGCAUGUUAUAGUUCAUCACGAAGAUCUUGUAGCUUGGUGGCAGUGAUUGAAGAACUCUGUCAAUGACACUAUCAACAGGAAGAUUAACUCCCAGUUGAGUCAAGUGAUUAUGAUACCCAGACAUUUUGAGUAUAUGUUCACUGACAGAACUAUUCUCCUCCAUCUUGCAGCUAUAGAACUUAUUGGAGACAUCAUAUCUCUCAAUCCGGGCAUUUGCUUGAAAUAUUAACUUCAACUUCUGGAACAUCUCAUAUGCUCCAUGACGUUCAAAACGUCGUUGAAGUCCUGAUUCUAAGUCGUAAAGCAUGGCACACCGAACUAUCGAGUAGUCAUCAGCUUUGCUCUGCCAGACGUUCAUAACAUCUGGUGUUGCUCCAGCAACAGGCCUGGCACCCAGCGGUGCUUCCAGGACGUAAUUCUUCUGUGUAGCAAUGAGGAUAAUCCUCAAGUUACGGACCUAGUCCGUGUAAUUGCUACCAUCAUCUUUCAACUUUGCUUUCUCAAGGAACGCAUUAAAAUUCAACGGAACAACAGCAUGGGCCAUCUAUCUAAAACAUAGACAAGCAAGAUACUAUCAGGUACUAAGUUCAUGAUAAUUUUAAGUUCAAUUAAUCAUAUUACUUAAGAACUCCCACUUAGAAAGACAUCCCUCUAAUCUUCUAAGUGAUCACGUGAUCCAAAUCAACUAAACCAUAACCGAUCAUCACGUGAAAUGGAGUAGCUUUCAAUGGUGAACAUCAAUAUGUUGAUCAUAUCUACUAUAUGAUUCAUGCUCGACCUUUCGGUCUCAGUGUUCCGAGGCCAUAUCUGCAUAUGCUAGGCUCGUCAAGCUUAACCUGAGUAUUCUACGUGUGCAAAACUGGCUUGCACCCGUUGUAGAUGGACGUAGAGCUUAUCGCACCCGAUCAUCACGUGGUAUCUGGGCACGACGAACCAUAUGGCUCCUGCCAGUUGCCGAUAACUCGGUUACAAAACAUGAUCAUCUCAUACAAUAAAAUAUAGCAUCAUGUCUUGACCAUAUCACAUCACAACAUGCCCUGCAAAAACAAGUUAGGUCUCCCCUACUUUGUUGUUGCAAGUUUUACGUGGCUGCUACGGGCUUAGCAAGAACCAUUCUUACCUACGCAUCAAAACCACAAUGAUAGUUUGUCAAGUUGGUGUUGUUUUAACCUUCGCAAGGACCGGGCGUAGCCACACUCGGUUCAACUGAAGUUGGAGAAACUGACACCCGCCAGCCACCUGUGUGCAAAGCACGGCGGUGAAACCAGUCUCGCGUAAGCAUACGCGUAGUGUCGGUCCGGGCCGCUUCAUCCAACAAUACCACCGAACCAAAGUAUGACAUGCUGGUAAGCAGUAUGACUUAUAUCACCCACAACUCACUUGUGUUCUACUCGUGCAUAACAUCAACGCAUAAAACCUGGCUCGGAUGCCACUGUUGGGGAACGUAUUAAUUUCAAAAAAAAUCCUACGCACAUGCAAGAUCAUGAUGAUGCAUAGCAACGAGAGGGGAGAGUGUUGUCUACGUACCCUCGUAGACCGGCAACGGAAGCGUUGACACAACAUAGAGGAAGUAGUCGUACGUCUUCCCGAUCCGACCGAUCCAAGUACCGAACGUACGGCACCUCCGAGUUCUGCACACGUUCAACUCGAUGACGUCCCUCGAGCUCCGAUCUAGCCGAGUGUUGAGGGAGAGUUUUGUCAGCACGACGGCGUGAUGACGGUGAUGAUGUUCUACCGACGCAGGGCUUCGCCUAAGUACCGCUACGAUAUGACCGAGGUGGAAUAUGGCGGAAGGGGGCACCGCACACGGCUAAGUAACGAUCACGAAGAUCAACUUGUGUGUCAUGGGGUGCCCCAUUGCCCCCGUAUAUAAAGGAGGGAGAGGGGAGGUGUGGCCGGCCCCUAGGGGUGCACCUGGAGGAGUCCUACUCCCACCGGGAGUAGGACUCCCCCUUCUUGCCUUGUUGGAGAAGGAAAGGGGAAGGGGGAAAGAGGAAAGGGGGGCACCGCCGCCCCCCUUCCUUGUCCUAUUCAGACUAGGGGGGAGGGGGCGCGCGGCCUGCCUUGGCCGGCCCUCCUCUUCUCCCUUAGGGCCCAUGUAGGCCCAUUAACCCGCGGGGGGUUCCAGUAACCCCCCGGUACUCCGGUAAAAUCCCGAUUUCACCCGGAACGAUUCCGAUAUCCAAAUAUAGGCUUCCAAUAUAUCAAUCUUUAUGCCUCGACCAUUUCGAGACUCCUCGUCAUGUCCAUGAUCACAUCGGGGACUCCGAACAACAUUUGGUACAUCAAAACACAAAAACCCUAAUUAUGAUCGUCACCGAACUUUAAGCGUGCGGACCCUACGGGUUCAAGAACUAUGUAGACAUGACCGAGACACGUCUCCGAUCAAUAACCAAUAGCGGAAACUGGAUGCUCAUAUUGGUUCCUACAUAUUCUACGAAGAUCUUUACCGGUCAAACCGCAUAACAAUAUACGUUGUUCCCUUUGUCAUCGAUAUGUUACUUGCCCGAGAUUCGAUCGUCGGUAUUCCAAUACCUAGUUCAAUCUUGUUACAGGCAAGUCUCUUUACUCGUUCCGUAAUACAUCAUUCUGCAACUAACUCAUUAGUUGCAAUGCUUGCAAGACUUAAGUGAUGUGCAUUACCGAGUGGGCCCAGAGAUACCUCUCCGACAAUCGUAGUGAAAAAUCCUAAUCUCGAAAUACGCCAACCCAACAAGUACCCUCUGAGGCACCUGUAGAGCACCUUUAUAAUCACCUAGUUACGUUGUGACGUUUGGUAGCACACAAAGUGUUCCUCCGGUAAACGGGAGUUGCAUAAUCUCAUAGUCAUAGGAACAUGUAUAAGUUAUGAAGAAAGCAAUAGCAACAAACUAAACGAUCAAGUGCUAAGCUAACGGAAUGGGUCAAGUCAAUCACAUCAUUCUCCUAAUGAUGUGAUCCCGUUAAUCAAAUGACAACUCAUGUCUAUGGUUAGGAAACAUAACCAUCUUUGAUCAACGAGCUAGUCAAGUAGAGGCAUACUAGUGACACUCUGUUUUGUCUAUGUAUUCACACAUGUAUUAUGUUUCCGGUUAAUACAAUUCUAGCAUGAAUAAUAAACAUUUAUCAUGAUAUAAGGAAAUAAAUAAUAACUUUUAUUAUGGCCUCUAUGGCAUAUUUCCUUCAUAUGGAGCAUAGCCAGACUAUAUGAUUUUGUAGGGAUAACUUUCUUUGGCCAUGUUAUUUUGAGAAGGCAUGAUUGCUUUGUUAGUAUGCUUGAAGUAUUAUUAUUUUUAUGUCAAUAUUAAACUUUUGUCUUGAAUCUUUCGGAUCUGAAUAUUCAUGCCAUAAUUAAGAAGAAUUACACUAAAAUUAUGCCAAGUAGCACUCCGCAUCAAAAAUUCUAUUUUUAUCAUUUACCUACUCGAGGACGAGUAGGAAUUAAGCUUGGGGAUGCUUGAUACGUCUCCAAUGUAAUUAUAAUUUUUGAUUGCUCCAUGCUAUGUUAUCUACUGUUUUGGGCAAUAUUGGGCUUUAUUAUCCACUUUUAUAUUAUUUUUGGGACUAACCUAUUAACCGGAGGCCCAGCCCAGAUUUGUGUUUUUUUGCCUAUUUCAGUGUUUCGAAGAAAAGGAAUAUCAAACGGAGUCGAAACGGAACGAAAUCAACUGGAGAAGUUUUUUUGGAAGGAAAGCUACCGGAAAAGCUUGGAGUGCACGUCAGGAAAGAAGGGAGGUGCCCACGAGGGUGGGGGCGCGCCCACCCCCCUAGGGCGCGCCCCCCUGCCUCGUGCCCCCCCCCUUCGGUCCAGCGACGUGCUUCUUUCACCCAUAUAUACCUAUGUAUCCUAAAACUUCCAGAACAGACGAUAGAUCGGGAGUUCCGCUGCCAGAAGCCUCCGUAGCCAUCGAAAACCAAUCUAGACCCGUUCUGGCACCCUGCCGGAGGGGGCAAUCCUUCUCCGGUGGCCAUCUUCAUCAUCCUGGUGCUCUCCAUGACGAGGAGGGAAUAGUUCUCCCUCGGGGCUGAGGGUAUGUUCCAAUAGAUAUGUGUUUGAUCUCUCUCUCUCUCUCUCUCUCUCUCUCUCUCUCGUGUUCUUGAGAUGAUAUGAUCUUGAUGUAUCGAGAGCUUUGCUAUUAUAGUUGGAUCCUAUGAUGUUUUCUCCCCCCUCUACUCUCUUGUAAUCAAUUGAGUUUUCCCCUUGAAGUAAUCUUAUCGGAUUGAGUCUAUAGAUUUGAGAACACUUGAUGUAUGUCUUGCCGUGCGUAUCUGUGGUGACAAUGGGAUACCACGUGAUUCACUUGAUGUAUGUUUUGGUGCUCAACUUGCGGGUUCCGCCCAUGAACCUAUGCAUAGGGGUUGGCACACGUUUUCGUCGUGAUUCUCCGGUAGAAACUUUGUGGCACUCUUUGAGAUCCUAUGUGUUGGUUGAAUAGAUGAAUCUGAGAUUGUGUGACGCAUAUCGUAUCAUACCCACGGAUACUUGAGGUCACAUUGGAGUAUCUAGGUGACAUUAGGGUUUUGGUUGAUUUGUGUCUUAAGGUGCUAUUCUAGUAUGAACUCUAGGGUUGUUUGUGACACUUAUAGGAAUAGCCCAACGGAAUGAUUGGAAAGAAUAACUUUGAGGUGGUUUCGUACCCUACCAUAAUAUCUUCGUUCGUUCUCCGCUAUUAGGGACUUUGGAGUGACUCUUUGUUGCAUGUUGAGGGAUAGUUAUAUGAUCCAAUUAUGUUAUUAUUGUUGAGGGAACUUACACUAGCGAAAGUAUGAACCCCUAGGCCUUGUUUCCUAGCAUUGCAAUACCGUUUACGCUCACUUUUAUCACUUGCUACCUUGCUGUUUUUAUAAUUUCAGAUUACGAAUACCUUUAUCUACUAUCCAUAUACCACUUGUUUCACCAUCUCUUCGCCGAACUAGUGCACCUAUACAAUUUACCAUUGUAUUGGGUGUGUUGGGGACACAAGAGACUCUGUGUUCUUUGGUUGUAGGGUUUCUUGAGAGAGACCAUCUUCAUCCUAUGCCUCCCAUGGAUUGAUAACCUUAGGUCAUCCACUUGAGGGAAAUUUGCUACUGUCCUACAAACCUCUGCACUUGGAGGCCCAACAACGUCUACAAGAAGAAGGUUGUGUAGUAGACAUCAAGCCUCUAAACACCUUGCGUCCCAACACAAGGCCCAGCCUCUCAAGACGACAUAUGCACAUGUUAAAUUCUUAGUUAAUCUUUUUAUCGUAUUUGUAAGGUCUAAUGUUCAUGUCUUUAACGAGCUUAACAAGCUAAACGAGCCAGCUCGUGAGUUAUACGAGUCGAGCCAAUCUUGGAUUUGAGCUUGUUAUAGUAACGAGUCGAGUCGAGCUAGCUCGUUAAUGAAAUGAGCUUUAGCGAGUCGAGUCGAGCUGGCUCGACUCGGCUCGAAUUCCACCCCUAUUAGGAACAACAGUGAUACCUCCUGUCUUAGGGACACAAUGAACAUGACUUAGCCAUCUACUAUCAACUAUAGGAUAGAUUAUAUCUGCUUCUAGAAGUUUCAAUAUUUCCGUUCUUACCACUUCAUUCAUCUUCGGAUUUAACCGACGUUGGUGAUCAACAAAGGGUUUAGCAUCAGGCUCCAUAUUAAUCUUGUGCUGACAUAGAUUGGGACUAAUGCCCUUUAAAUCAUCAAGAGUAUAUCCAAUAGCAGCUCAGUGCUUCCUUAGAACUUUCAAUAAUCUUUCUUCUUCUGUUCUGAAAGGUUAACACUAAUAAUAAUAGGAUAUGUCUUCUUUUCAUCAAGAUAAGCAUAUUUCAAAGUGGCUGGCAGUUGUUUUAAUUCAAACAUAGGAUCACCUUUAGGUGGAGGAGGACCUCCUAGAGUUUCAGUAGGAAAAUUGUGUUUAACCAGAGGACGUUGUUCAAAGAAAAAUCUUAUCUAUUUCAUUUCUUUCAUGCAUAUGCAAAUCAUUUUCAUUGUCUAGCAGAUAUUGUUCUAGAGGAUCGGUAGGAGGCACAACAAUAGAAGCAAGACCAAUUAUUUCAUCCUUACUAGGCAAUUAUUUUUCAUGAAGCUUUCUACUAAACUUGGAAAAAUUAAAGUCAUGAGACUCAUCACCAAAGCUAACACCGACAAUUUGUUUCUUGCAAUCAAUUUUAGCAUUAACGGUGUUCAAGAAAGGUCUACCAAAGAUAUUGGGACAAAAAUCAUCUUGUGGGGAACCAAGAAGAAGAAAAUCAGUAGGGUAUUUUAUUUUCCCACACAAGACUUCAACAUCUCUAACAAUCCCAAUCGGUGAUAUAGUAUCUCUAUUAGCAAGUUUAAUAGUACCAUCAAUGUCUUCUAUCUCUGCGGGUGCUAUGUCACUCAUAAUUUUUUGAUAUAAGGUAUAGGGAAUAGCACUCAUGCUAGCACCUAUGUCACAUAAGCCAUGAUAAUAGUAAUCUCCUAUUUUAACUGAGACAAUGGGCAUGCCGACAACGGGUCUAUGAUUAUCCUUUCUAUCCGGUUUGACAAUUCUAGUAGCUUCAUUACAGAAGUAAAUGACAUGCCCAUCUACAUUUUCUUCCAAGAGAUCCUUAACCAUAGCAAUACUAGGUUCUACUUCGAUUUGUUCAUUAGGUUUGGGUGUUCUAAUAUAACUUUUGUUAACCAUAGUUGAAACUUUAGCAUGUUCCUUUAUCCUAACAGGGAAAGGUGGUUUUUCAAUAUAAGCAGUAGGAACAACUGGAUCAACAUUAUAAAGUGUAGUUUCUUAUUUAGCUAGCUCUGGUUCUUUAAUUUCUUCUUUAAUAGGUGGGUGAUAUUUGAACCACUUUUCUUUAGGGAGAUCAACAUGAGUGGCAAAAGAUUCAUAAAAAGAAGCUACUAUCUCAGAGUCAAGUCCAUAUUUAGUGCUAAACUUUUGGAAAGCAUCGGUACUCAUAAAAGAUUAAACACAAUCGUACUUAAGCUUAAUACCUGACUCUUUACCUUCAUCGAGUUCCCAAUCUUCAGAGUUGUGUUUAAUUCUUUCCAAAAGAUCCCGCCAGAAUUCAAUAGUCUUCUUCAUAAAAGAACCAGUACAAGAAGUAUCAAGCAUGGAUCGAUCAUCACGAGAAAGCCGAGCAUAAAAAUUCUGAAUAAUAAUUUCUCUUGAGAGCUCAUGAUUGGGGCAUGAAUAUAACAUUGACUUAAGCCUCCCCCAAGCUAGAGCGAUGCUUUAUCCUUCACGAGGCCAAAAAUUAUAUAUGUAAUUCCGAUCACGAUGAACUAUAUGCAUAGGAUAAUUUUUGGUGGAAUUCCAAUUCCAAGAUACAAUAUCAUCGCAUAGCCUAUACCAUGCCAAUGUUUUUCCAUUCAAAGAUAAAGGGAAAACCUUCUUUUUAACUUCAUCUCCGGGUAAAGAUGCAAGCAUAAACAAUCCACAAUUUUUUCCACAUAUAUCAAGUGCAUAUCAGGAUGUUCGGUUCCAUCUCCUGCAUAAGGAUUAGCUAGCAGUUGUUCUAUCAUACCCGAAGGAAUUUCAUAACCAAUAUUUUCAGUAGGUGCAGUAGGUUGAGGGGUAGCUAAUUGUGGUUUCGGUCGAGGUGAAGAUACCCCGAACAAACCCCUCAAGGGAUUGUUUUCCAUAGUAACAAGUGACAAUAAAUUUCAGCACACUAAAUAAAUGUUUCCUUACCAAAGGCGCUUCACUACCCGGCAAUGGCGCCAGAAAAUAGCCUUGAUGACCCACAAGUACUAGGGGAUCAAUUGUAGCUCUUUUCGAUAAGUAAGAGUGUCGAACCCAAUGAGGAGCAGAAGGAAAUGACAAGUGGUUUUCGCCAAGGUAAUGGCUGCAAGUGCUGAAAUUGUAAGUAACAGAGUAGUUUGAUAGCAAGAUAUUUUGUAACGAGCAAGUAAUGACAAUAGUAACAAAAGUGCAGCAAGGUAGCCCAAUCCUUUUGAGGCAAAGGUGAUACGUCUAUUUUGCAUCAUGUUUUAUUACUGUUAUUUAUAUUUUUUUUCAUCCAUAAUAAUGCUUUUUGGAGUAAUUCUAAUGCCUUUUCUCUCAUAAUUUGUAAGGUACACACCAAGAGGGAGAAUUCCGACAGCUGGAAAUCUGGACCUGGAAAAGCUACGCCAGGCCACCUAUUCUGCACAACUCCAAACAAGCUGAAACUUCACGGAGAUUUUUAUGGAAUAUAUAAGAAUUAUUGGAGCAAAUAACUACCAGAGGGGGCCCACCAGGUGGGCACAACCCACCUGGGCGCGCCAGGGAGCCCAGGCACGACCUGGUUGGUUGUGCCCUCCUCUGCCCACCUCCGGUGCCCAUCUUUUGGUAUAUAAGUCAUUUUGACCUAGAAAAAAUAAGGACAGGACUUUCGGGAUGAAGCGCCACCGCCUCGAGGCGGAACUUGGGCAGGAGCACUUUUGCCCUCCGGCGGAGCGAUUCUGCCAGGGGAACUUCCCUCCCGGAGGGGAAAUCAUCGUCAUCAUCAUCACCAACAAUUCUCCCAUCUUGGGGAGGGCAAUCUCCAUCAACAUCUUCAACAACACCAUCUCCUCUCAAACCCUAGUUCAUCUCUUGUGUUCAAUCUUGUUACCGGAACUAUAGAUUGGUACUUGUGGGUGACUAGUAGUGUUGAUUACAUCUUGUAGUUGAUUACUACAUGGUUUAUUUGGUGGAAGAUUAUAUGUUCAGAUCCAAUAUGCUAUUUAAUACCCCUCUGAUCAUGAGCAUGUUUACCAUUUGUGAGUAGUUACCUUUGUUGUUGAGGUCACAGGAGAAAUCAUGUUGCAAGUAAUCAUGUGAUAUGUGUUCGAUAUUUUGAUAGUAUGUAUGUUGUGAUUCCCUUAGUGGUUUCAUGUGAACGUUGACUACAUGACAUUUCACCAUAUUUGGGCCUAAGGGAAUGCAUUGUGGAGUAGCAAUUAUAUGAUGGGUUGCGAGGGUGACAGAAGCUUAAACCCAGUUUAUGCGCUAUUCCGCAAGGGAACGAUUGAAUCCAAAAGUUUAAUGCUACGGUUAGAAUUUAUUCUUAAUAAUUUUCUCGUAGUUGCGGAUGCUUGCGGGAGGGUUAAUCAUAAGUAGGAGGUUUGUUCAAGUAAGAACAGCAACUAAGCACCGGUCCACCCACAUAUCAAAUUAUCAAAGUAGCGAACACGAAUUAAACCAACAUGAUGAAAGUGACUAGAUGAAAUUCCCAUGUACCCUCAAGAAUGCUUUGCUUAUCAUAAGAGACUAUUUUAUCCUGUCCUUUACCUGAAAAGGAUUGGGCUACCUUGCUGCAGUUUUGUUACUACUAUUGUUACUUGCUCGUUACAAAUUAUCUUGCUAUCAAACUACUCCGCUACUUACAAUUUCAGCACUUGCAGACAUUACCUUACUGAAAACUACUUGUCAUUUCCUUCUACUCCUUGUUGGGUUCGACACUCUUACUUAUCGAAAAGAGCUACAAUUGACCCCCUAUACUUGUGGGUCAUCAAAAGGACAGGCCAAAACGGUCUCUUAUAAUAAGCAAAGCGUUCUUGAGGGUACACGGGAAUUUCAUCUAGUCACUUUCAUCAUGUUGAUUCGAUUCGUGUUCGCUACUUUGAUAAUUUGAUAUGUGGGUGGGCUAGUGCUUAGGUGUUGUUCUUACUUGAACAAACAUCCUACUUAUGAUUAACCCCCUCGCAAGCAUCCGCAACUAUGAGAAAAGUAUUAAGGAUACAUCCUAACCAUAGCAUUAAACUUUUGGAUCCAAUCUGUCCCUUACGGAAUAGCGCAUAAACUAGGGUUUAAGCUUCUGUCACUCUCGCAACGCAUCAUCUAAUAACUACUACACAAUGCAUUCCCUUAGGCCCAAAUAUGGUUAAGUGUCAUGUAGUCGAUGUUCACAUGAUACCACUAAGGGAAUCACAACAUACAUACUAUCAAAAUAUCGAACACAUCAAGUUCACAUGAUUACUUGCAAAAUGAUUUCUCAUGUGACCUCAAGAACAAAAGUAACUACUCACAAGUGAUAAACAUGCUCAAGAUCAGAGGGGUAUUAAAUAGCAUAAUGGAUCUGAACAUAUAAUCUUCCACCAAAUAAACCAUAUAGUAAUCAACUACAAGAUGUAAUCAACACUACUAGUCACCCACAAGCACCAAUCUACAGUUCCAGUAACAAGAUUGAACACAAGAGAUGAACUAGGGUUUGAGAUGAGAUGGUGCCAUUGAAGAUGUUGAUGGAGAUUGCCCUCCCCAAGAUGGGAGAGUUGUUGGUGGUGAUGAUGAUGAUGAUUUCCCCCUCCGGGAGGGAAGUUCCCCCAGCGGAAUCGCUCCGCCGAAGGGCAAAAAUGCUCCUGCCCAAGUUCCGCCUCGAGACGGCGGUGCUCCAUACUGAAAGUCCUCUCAUUAUUUUUUUCUAAGCCAAAAUGACUUAUAUACCAGAAGAUGGGCACCGGAGGUGGGCCUGGGUAAGCACAACCCACCAGGGCACGCCUAGGUGGGUUGUGCCCACCUGGUGGGCCCCCUCUAGUACUUAUUGGCUCCAAUAUUCCUCAUAUAUUCCAUAAAAAAUAUCCAUAAAGUUUCAGCUUGUUUGGAGUUGUGCAGAAUAGGUAGCUUGACGUAGCUUUUCCAGGUCCAGAUUUCCAGCUGCCGGAAUUCUCCCUCUUUGUGUGUACCUUGCAUAUUAUUGGAGAAAAGGCAUUAUAAUUACUCCAAAAAGCAUUAUUAUGCAUAAAAACAUCUUAAACAACAGUAGGAAAACAUGAUGCAAAAUGGACGUAUCGGCAAACCACACUCCAUUUAGCCAAUCGAUAUUUCUUUAUCUCGCUAUAUCCUUGCCAAAAGAAGCUUGAUCGGAAAUAAUCCAAUCUAUGUAAAAUUCCUUUCGGCAACUGGAAGAUGGAAAUCAUAUAUAGUACCAUGUUACUUAGUAUUGAAUUUACGAGGACCAAUCUUUCACCCAGAGACAAGAGUUUACCUUUCCAGCUGCUAAGUCUUUUGCAGUCUCUUCUUGAUGUGUUUCCAUUCAACAUUUGUGAGUCUCUGAUAAUGUAACGGGUAUCCCCAAAUAUGUGAUCAGAAAAUGGCCCAACCCGCAUUUGAACAGUUCAACGUACAGGUGGGCCUCGUCUCGAGCCUCGCCGAAACAAAACAAUUCACUUUUAUGAAACUUGAUCUUAAGACAUGAGAGUUGCUCGAAUGCUAAUAAAAUUAAUUUCAGAUUUCUUGCUUUCUCGAGGUCAUGAUCCAUGAAGAGAAUCGUAUCAUUGGCAUAUUGAAGUAUAGACAGGUCACCAUCAACUAGAUGACUUACUACCCCAUCAACUUGGUCAUCAAUCUUGGCAAACUCAAUCAUGACCGCUAGCAUAUCUAUCACUAUAUUGAAUAGCAUGGGCGACAACGAGUCACCUUGUCACAAUCCCUUCUUUGUUUGGAAAUAGUGUUCAAUGUCAUCAUUGACCUUGAUGGCAACACUACCUCUAGAAAUGAAGCUAGGGAUCAUGGCGCGUCACUCUGCAGAAAAUCCUUUUAUUCUGAGAGACUGUUGAAGAAAUGGCCAUUUGACUUUUUCAUAAGCUUUUUCAAAGUCUAUUUUGAGAACCACCCCAUUCAACUUUUUCCUAAUGGACUAUUUCAUGAAGGAUAACAACUCCAUAUAGGAUGUGUCUGCCUUACAUAAAAGCAGUUUGUGAAGGACGAACCACGUGUUCAGCAACUGAAUUUAGCCUAAUAGUUGCAACCUUCUUGAAUAUUUAAAAACUAACAUUAAGGAGGCAAAUAGGUAUAUAUUGUUGUAUCCUUUCAGCCUCAUUAACAUUAGGUAAUAAAAUAAUCUCGCCAAAGUUUAAGCGAAACAAUUCUAGUUGGCAACAUGUAGGGCGCUAAAUAAAAGUAGGAGAUCUGAUUUGAUGACUUUCCAGAAGUUCUGAUAGAACGCAAUGGGAAAACCAUCUGGACCCGGAGCUUUGUUGUGCUCCAUUAGUAAAACUCUCAUUCUAACUUCCUCCUCAGAGUAUGGGGCUAUUAGAAGGUUGUUUCCCUCAUCAGAGACCUAGGGGAUGUCAUAUGUUCGGAACUCAUCCAUCGAGAAGUUUCCUUCCUGUGGGGCUCCGAACAGAUUUUUUAUAAUAAUUAGUGAUAUAAGAUUUAAGUUGCUCAUGCCCCUCAAUCUUGCCCUCAUCCUGUUGGAGAGAAUGAAUGAUUUUUUCCGGUGUCUUCCAUUGGCCCAUGGAAAUAUCUAGUAUUUGAAUCACCUUUCAGGAUAAAUUGAGAGUUAUAAUGUUGGUGCCAUUUAAGUUCCUUUUCACACAUCAUGCUAGCUAUUUGUGCAUUUGAAUGACUCUUGUUAUUGAUUUCAUGCUUAUAUAGAGGUCUAACCUUUGCCAAAGCUUCUAAUUCAUCAAUGAUAGAUGAAAGAUGAAGCUUCUCCUUUUGAGGAUACCCACCAUGUGCCUAGCACAACCACCAAGAUAUUUGUGUAAUGCACACAUUAUGUUAUUCCAUUUGUGAAUUGGGGCAUGCCCGGCCAUCGGUUUCUCCCACACCUCCUUGACCAUGUCAUGGAAGCCACCCGGAAGCAACCACCCAAGUUCCAAUUUGAACUUGCGUCUAUGUUGUGGUCGUGGCAAACCAGUAGUUAGGAGAAUUAGUGUGUGAUCUAUUUGGAACCUAGAAUCGUGAAAAGAGAGGGGGGAAAUGCAACGGUUUGAGGUCACGUCAUAUUGGUUUUUUUAGGCGUACGUCAUAUUGGAUUUUGCAGCAUCGGUAACAGAGUAACGAGGGUUUCUUCGAUCCACCGGAUUUUGCAACGAAACAAUAGAGAGAAAAAUGUUGAUUGUAUUAUCAUGUAUUCAUAGCAUGUUUGACACACAGGAGCAAAAUACCAACUAUAUAAUCAUAUCCUUUUGAUUUUAUAAGUUUUGAAAGCUACAAAAUUGGGGCAACGGGUUGUUUAACACAGAGAAGAAGAAACAAAGGACUUUAGUGAAAUUUAUCAAUGUUCCUCCAAAUGAGAGUAGAAAGGAAUCUAUAUGACAAAAAAUCCUAAGGAUUCCUACCAAGUUAAUCAAAUGGCUCACGCACGAAAAAAGUUUAAGGAUGGGCUACUCUAAAAUCAUGUGAAAUCCCUUCAGUUAUGUCGAAUAAGACCUAAGUAUAAGGAAUUGUCCAAUAGUUGUUUAAUAUUUUGUUGCGGUGAGUGGGAUUGAUAUGUCUCCAACGUAUCUAUAAUUUUUGAUUGCUCCAUGCUAUAUUAUCUACUGUUUUGGACAUUAUUGGGCUUUAUUAUCCACUUUUAUAUUAUUUUGGGACUAACCUAUUAACCGGAGGCCCAACCCAGAAUUGUUAUUUUUUGCCUGUUUUAGGGUUUCGAAGAAAAGGAAUAUCAAACGGAGUCCAAACGGAAUGAAACCUUCGGGAAUGUGAUUUUCUCGCCGAAUACAGCUCAGGAGACUUGGACCCUACGUCNNNNNNNNNNNNNNNNNNNNNNNNNNNNNNNNNNNNNNNNNNNNNNNNNNNNNNNNNNNNNNNNNNNNNNNNNNNNNNNNNNNNNNNNNNNNNNNNNNNNNNNNNNNNNNNNNNNNNNNNNNNNNNNNNNNNNNNNNNNNNNNNNNNNNNNNNNNNNNNNNNNNNNNNNNNNNNNNNNNNNNNNNNNNNNNNNNNNNNNNNNNNNNNNNNNNNNNNNNNNNNNNNNNNNNNNNNNNNNNNNNNNNNNNNNNNNNNNNNNNNNCUGUUGCUCCACUGACGUACUUCUUCCUCCUAUAUAUAUCCACGUACCCCCAAACAAUCAGAACAGGAGCCAAAACCCUAAUUCCACCGCCGUAACUUUCUGUAUCCACGAGAUCCCAUCUUGGGGCCUGUUCCGGAGCUCCGCCGGAGGGGGCAUCGAUCACGGAGGGCUUCUACACCAACACCAUAGCCUCUCCGAUGAAGUGUGAGUAGUUUACUUCAGACCUACGGGUCCGUAGUUAGUAGCUAGAUGGCUUCUUCUCUCUUUUUGGAUCUCAAUACAAUGUUCUCCCACUCUCUUGUGGAGAUCUAUUCGAUGUAAUCUUCUUUUUGUGGUGUGUUUGUUGAGACCGAUGAAUUGUGGGUUUACGAUCAAGUCUAUCUAUGAAUAAUAUUUGAAUCUUCUCUGAAUUCUUUUAUGUAUGAUUGGUUAUCUUUGCAAGUCUCUUCGAAUUAUCAGUUUGGUUUGGCCUAUUAGAUUGAUCUUUCUUGCAAUGGGAGAAGUGCUUAGCUUUGGGUUCAAUCUUGCGGUGUCUUUUCCCGGUGACAGUAAGGGCAGCAAGGCACUUAUUGUAUUGUUGCCAUCGAGGAUAACAAGAUGGGGUUUUCUUCAUAUUGCAUGAGUCUAUCCCUCUACAUCAUGUCAUCUUGCUUAAGGCGUUACUCUGUUUUUAACUUAAUACUCUAGAUGCAUGCUGGAUAGCGGUCGAUGAGUGGAGUAAUAGUAGUAGAUGCAGGCAGGAGUCGGUCUACUUGUCUCGGACGUGAUGCGUAUAUACAUGAUCAUACCUAGAUAUUCUCAUAACUAUGCUCAAUUCUGGCAAUUGCUCAACAGUAAUUUGUUCACCCACCGUAGAAUACUUAUGCUCUCGAGAGAAGCCACUAGUGAAACCUAUGGCCCCCGGGCCUAUCUUUAUCAUAUCAAUCUCCUACUACUUAGUUAUUUACUUUGUCUUUAUUUUACUUUGCAUCUUUAUCAUAAAAAUACCAAAAAUAUUAUCGUAUCAUAUCUAUCAGAUCUCACUCUCGUAAGUGGCCUUAUAGGGAUUGACAACCCCUAUUUGCGUUGGUUGCGAGGAUUUAUUUGUUUUGUGUAGGUACGAGGGACUCGUGCGUAGCCUCCUACUAGAUUGAUACCUUGGUUCUCAAAAACUAAGGGAAAUACUUACGCUACUUUGCUGCAUCAUCCCUUCCUCUUCGGGGAAAACCAACGCAGUGCUAAAAGAGGUAGCAAUAAGGAUUUCUGGCGCCGUUGCCGGGGAGGUCUACGCAAAAGUCAACAUACCAAGUACCCAUCACAUACCCUUAUCUCCCGCAUUACAUUAUUUGCCAUUUGCCUCUCGUUUUCCUCUACCCCCCCCCCCAAUUCACCCUUGCCGUUUUAUUCACCCUCCCUCUCUUUCCGCUUGCCUUUCUCCCGCUAUGUCUGAAUCAAAAAGGGUUGGGGGUUCUCUCUAGAGUUUUAGUACUUUGGGCAACCCCUCUAUCCUCGCUAAACUUAUAAAUAAGGAUACUAUGGAAAAACAUACCGGAGUUAUCAAUGAGAGUCUUAAUAAUUUUUAUGAAGAGGAUUCUAGAAUUUUUCGUUAUUUACUUGAUGAAUCUUUGAAAGAUGCUUGGUAUAGACUAUUAAGGAUCAGGGCUAGCUGUGUUCCUCAAUAUCAAAUUGAAGUUUACCUAAAAAGCUUUUAUAUUGCCCUUCCUUCCUCUUUUAAGCAUGUCUUAGAUUCUAUAUUUGAAAAAGGUUUCCUUGAAGGGGAUGUUGUAGACACUUAUGAAAAAAUGAAAAAUAUAUUUGGGCAUCCCAUGAAUGAGAAAAUUGAAUCUACAUCUCUUUUGCUCUCUUACCAAAAUGAAUCUAUUAAAGAGAUAACGGCUAGCCUAGAUACAAACUUCCAUAACAUACUUAAUCUUUCUUCUACCAUUAAUAGCCAUGUGCUUUAUCAAAAUAGAAGGAUUAAUUCUAUAGAUAGCAAGUUUGCUCUUUUCUUUCCUAGUACCAAAGAUGGCAAUACCUAGAUCUAUUCUUGCUUCUUAUGCCUAGCUAGGGGCGUUAAACGAUAGCGCUUGUUGGGAGGCAACCCAAUUUUAUUUUUAUUCCUUGCUUUUUGCUCCUGUUUAGUAAUAAAUAAAUUAUUUAGCCUCUGUUUUGGUUGUGUUUUUUGUGUGUUUAAUUAGUGUUUGUUCCAAGUAGAACCGUUGGGAAGACUCGGGGAAAGUCUUGUUGAACUUGCUGUAAAAAACAGAAACUUAAGCGCUCACGAGAACUGCUGUCAUUUUUAUUUGGAAAGUGCUAUUUAGUUAAUUAUUUUUGCAGAUGAUUAAUAGAUAAAUUAAUCACGCCCAUAAAUUUAUUUUAGAAUUUUUGGGGUAUCAUAUCUUGCGCUAGCUACAGAUUACUACAGACUGUUCUGUUUUUCACACAUUCUGUUUUUCGUGUGUUGUUUGCUUAUUUUGAUGAAUCUAUGGCUAGUAAAAUAGUUUAUGAACCAUAGAGAAGUUGGAAUACAUUAGGUAUAACACACAUAUAAAUAAAUAAUGAGUUCAUUACAGUACCUUAAGUGGUCAUUUGUUUUCUUUCGCUAACGGAGCUCACGAGAUUUUCUACUUUAAGUUUUGUGUUGUGAAGUUUUCAAGUUUUGGGUAAAGAUUUGAUGGAUUAUGGAACAAGGAGUGGAAAGGGCCUAAGCUUGGGGAUGCCCAUGGCACCCCAAAGAUAAUCUAAGGACACCUAAAAGCCAAAGCUUGGGGAUGCCCCGGAAGGCAUCCCCUCUUUCGUCUACUUCUAUCGGUAACUUUACUUGGAGCUAUAUUUUUAUUCGCCACAUGAUAUGUGUUUUUCUUGGAGCGUCUUGUAUUAUUUGAGUCUUUGCUUGUUAGUUUACCACAAUAAUCUUUGCUGUACACACCUUUUGAGAGAGCCAUACAUGAUUUGGAAUUUGUUAGAAUACUCUAUGUGCUUCGCUUUUAUCUUUUGAGUUAUAUAAUUUUGCUCUAGUGCUUCACUUAUAUCUUUUAGAGCACGGUCGUGGAUUUGUUUUAUAGAAACUAUUGAUCUCUCAUGCUUCACUUAGAUUAUUUUGAGAGUCUUAAUAACAUGGUAAUUUGCUUAAAAUCCUAAUAUGCUUGGUAUGCAAGAUUAAUAAUAAAACUUUCUUAUGAGUGUGUUGAAUACUAAGAGAAGUUUGAUGCUUGAUGAUUGUUUUGAGACAUGGAGGUAAUAAUAUUAAAGUCGUGCUAGUUGAGUAGUUGUGAAAUUGAGAAAUACUUGUGUUGAGGUUUGAAACUCCCGUAACAUGCAUGUAUGGUAAACAUUAUGCAACAAAUUUGACACAUGAGGUGUUAUUUGAUUGUCAUCCUUAUGAGUGGCGGUCGGGGACGAGCGAUGGUCUUUUCCUACCAAUCUAUCCCCCUAGGAGCAUGCACGUAGUACCAAGGUUUUUGAUGACUUGUAGAUUUUUGCAAUAAGUAUGUGAGUACCGGCGCUAAAGUGCCACCACGUGGCACGAGCCAGGCCCCGGGUGCGGAUAGAUCAUUAGUACCAGUUGGUAACACCAACCAGUACUAAAUGUUUGGGGGGGGGGGUUGGUUUUAUUUUUUAUUUUUCCUUUAUUUUUGUGUUUUCAAUUUAAUUUAGUGAUUGCUUUACAUUAUAAUGAGUUGUUAAAUCAUUAGGUGAAAGUAUCGCAGAUUAGUUUCGAUAGGAUGCAUGUGGAUCCUGGCAGCUAAGUGAUCAAGUAUAUGCCAUAUUGAUACGUCUCCAACGUAUCUAUAAUUUUUGAUUGUUCCAUGCUAUUAUAUUAUCAACUUUGGAUGUUUAUGGGCUUUAUUAUACACUUUUAUAUUAUUUUUGGGACUAACCUAUUAACCCAGAGCCCAGUGCCAGUUCCUAUUUUUUCCUUGUUUUAGAGUAUCACAGAAAAGGAAAAUCAAAUGGAGUCCAAUUGACCUCAAACUUCACGAAACUUAUUUUUGGAAGGAAAGCAACCCGGGAGACUUGGAGUCCACGUAAGGGAAGCAACGAGGAAGCCACGAGGCAGGGGGGCGCGCCCACCCCCCCUGGGCGCGCCCUCCACCCUCGUGGGCCCCUCAUGGCCCCCCUGACAUACUUCUUCCACCUAUAUAUCUCCAUAUACCCUAAAACGAUCGGGGAGCACAAUAGAUCGGGAGUUCCGCCGCCAGAAGCCUCCGUAGCCACCGAAAGCCAAUCUAGACCCGUUCCGGCACCCUGCCGGAGGGGGAAAUCCCUCUCCGAUGGCCAUCUUCAUCAUCCCGGUGCUCUCCAUGACGAGGAGGGAGUAGUUCUCCCUCGGGACUAAGGGUAUGUACCAGUAGCUAUGUGUUUGAUCUCUCUCUCUCUCGUGUUCUUGAGGUGGUACGAUCUUGACGUAUCGCGAGCUUUGCUAUUAUAUUUGGAUCCUAUGAUGUUUCUUCCCCCCUCUACUCUCUUGUAAUGGAUUGAGUUUUCCCUUUGAAGUUAUCUUAUCGGAUUGAGUCUUUAAAGAUUUGAGAACACUUGAUGUAUGUCUUGCCGUGUGUAUCUGUGGUGACAAUGGGAUACCACGUGAUUCACUUGAUGUAUGUUUUGGUGACCACCUUGCGGGUUCCGCCCAUGAACCUAUGCAUAGGGGUUGGCACACGUUUUCGUCGUGAUUCUCCGGUAGGAACUUUGGGGCACUCUUUGAGGUUCUAUGUGUUGGUUGAAUAGAUGAAUCUGAGAUUGUGUGAUGCAUAUCGUAUAAUCAUACCCACGGAUACUUGAGGUGACAUUGGAGUAUCUAGGUGACAUUAGGGUUUUGGUUGAUUUGUGUCCUAAGGUGUUAUUCUAGUACGAACUCUAGGGAUGUGUGACACUUAUAGGAAUAGCCCAACGGAUUGAUUGGAAAGAAUAACUUUGGGGUGGUUUCGUACCCUACCAUAAUCUCUUCGUUCGUUCUCCGCUAUUAGUGACCUUGGAGUGACUCUUUGUUGCAUGUUGAGGGAUAGUUAUGUGAUCCAAUUAUCUUAUUAUUGUUGAGAGGACUUGCACUAGUGAAAGUAUGAACCCUAGGCCUUGUUUCCUAGCAUUGCAAUAUCGUUUGUGCUCACUUUUAUCAUUAGUUACCUUGCUGUUUUUAUAUUUUCAGAUUACAAAAACCUUUAUCUACCAUCCAUAUACCACUUGUAUCACCAUCUCUUCGCCGAACUAGUGCACCUAUACAAUUUACCAUUGUAUUGGGUGUGUUGGGGACACAAGAGACUCUUUGUUAUUUGGUUGCAGGGUUGCUUGAGAGAGACCAUCUUCAUCCUACGUCUCCUAUGGAUUGAUAAACCUUAGGUCAUCCACUUGAGGGAAAUUUGCUACUGUCCUACAAACCUCUGCACUUGGAGGCCCAACAACGUCUACAAGAAGAAGGUUUUGUGGUAGACAUCAAGCUCUUUUCUGGCGCCGUUGCCGGGGAGGUUAGCGCUUGAAGGUAUAUCUUUAGAUCUUGCAAUCGAGUAUUUUAGUUUCUUGUUUUAUCACUAGUUUAGUCUAUAAAAGAAAACUAUAAAAAAUGGAAUUGAGUUUGCCUCAUACGCUUCAUAUUUUUAAUAUCUUUCGUGAGUAUGAUGGAAAUGAAAAUUGUGCCAAAGUGUUAGAAGAAGAAUGCAUUAGAAUGUUUGGCACUAAAUAUUUGAAUGAUGAGCAUGAUUGCAAUGUUGUUAGUAUGAAUUCCUUGAAUAUCUAUGAUGCUAAUGAUAUGCAAAGCCACAAGCUUGGGGAAGCUAUGUUUGAUGAAGAUGAUAUUUCGUGUUCCCCAAGCUUUGAUGAGCAAAUUUACUAUGAUGAAAGCAUGCCUCCUAUCUAUGAUGAUUAUUGUGAUGACACGUAUGCUUUAAAUAAUAAUGAUAACCAUGAAACUUGUCAUCUUGAUCUUAAUUUUCAAUCACAUGAUAGUUAUUUUGUUGAUUUUGCUCCCACUAUUAUUCAUGAGAAGAAAUUUGCUUAUGUGGAGAGUAAUAAAAAUUCUAUGCCUGUAGAUCAUUAAAAGAAUGCUUUAGGUGCUGGUUAUAUUGUUGAAUUCAUCCAUGAUGCUACUAAAAAUUAUUAUGAGGGAGGAAUUUAUGCUUGUAGGAAUUGCAAUAAUAUCAAGUUUCCUCUCUAUGUGCUUAAAGUUUUGAAGCUAUGCUUGUUUUACCUUCCUAUGCAAGUUGAUUCUUGUUCCCACAAGUUGUUUGCUCACAAAAUCCCUAUGCAUAGGAAAUGGGUUAGACUUAAAUGUUUUAGCAAUAUGCUUCAUGAUGCUCUCUUUAUGUUUCAAUUCUUAUCUUUUAUGUGAGCAUCAUUGAAAUCAUCAUGCCUAGCUAGGGGCGUUAAACGAUGGCGCUUGUUCGGAGGCAACCCAAGUUUAUUUUUGUUCCUUGAUUUUUGCUCCUGUUUAGUAAUAAAUAAUUCAUCUAGCCUCUGUGAUGAUUGAGUUUUUAUGUUUUAAUUAGUGUUUGUGCCAAGUAGAACCGUUGGGAAGACUUGGGGAAAGUCUUGUUGAUCAUGCUGUAAAAAACAGAAACUUUAGCGCUCACAAGAACUGCUGCCAUUUUUAUUUGGAAAGUGCUAUUUAGUUAAUUAUUUUUUUAGAUAAUUAAUAGAUAAAUUGCUCACGUCCAGAAAUUUAUUUUAGAAUUUUUGGGGUUCCAUAAGUUUGCAUUAGUUACAGAUUACUACAGACUGUUCUGUUUUUGACAGAUUCUGUUUUCUAUGUGUUGUUUGCUUAUUUUGAUGAAUCUAUGAGUAGUAUCAGAGGGUAUGAACCAUAGAGAAGUUGGAAUACAGUAGAUAUUACACCAAUAUAAAUAAAUAAUGAGUUCAUUACAGUACCCUGAAGUGGUGUUUUGUUUUCUUUCGCUAACGGAGCUUACGAGUUUUCUGUUAAGUUUUGUGUUGUGAAGUUUUCAAGUUUUGGGCAAAGAUUCGAUGGACUAUGGAAUAAGGAGUGGCAAGAGCCUAAGCUUGGGGAUUCCCAAGGCACCCCAAGGUAAUAUUCAAGGACAACCAAGAGUCUAAGCUUGGGGGUGCCCCAGAAGGCAUCCCCUCUUUCGUCUUCGUUCAUCGGUAACUUUACUUGGAGCUAUAUUUUUGUUCGCCACAUGAUAUGUGUUUUGCUUGGAGUGUCAUUUUAUUUUAUUUAGCUUUGCUUGCUGUUUGAAUAAAAUACCAAGAUCUGAAAUUCUUAAAUGUUAGAGAGUCUUCACAUAGUUGCAUAAUUAUUCAACUGCUCAUUGAUCUUCACUUAUAUCUUUCGGAGUAGUUUGUCAUUUGCUCUAGUGCUUCACCUAUAUACUUUUAGAGCAUGGCGGUGGUUUUAUUUUAUAGAAAUAAUUGAUCUCUCAUGCUUCACUUAUAUUAUUUUGAGAGUCCUAAACAGCAUGGUAAUUUUUUUUGGUUAUGAAUUUAGUCCUAAUAUGAUAGGCAUCAAAGAUGGAUAUAAUAAAAACUUUCAUAUGAAGUGCAUUGAAUACUAAGAGAAGUUUGAUACUUGAUAAUUGUUUUGAAACAUGGAGAUGGUGAUAUUAGAGUCAUGCUAGUUGAGUAGUUGUGAAUUUGAGAAAUACUUGUGUUGAAGUUUGUGAUUCCCGUAGCAUGCACGUAUGGUGAACCGUUAUGUGAUGAAGUCGGAGCAUGAUUUAUUUAUUGAUUUUCUUCCUUAUGAGUGGCGGUCGGGGACGAGCGAUGGUAUUUUCCUACCAAUCUAUCCCCCUAGGAGCAUGCGCGUAGUACUUUGUUUCGAUAACUAAUAGAUUUUUGCAAUAAGUAUGUGAGUUCUUUAUGACUAAUGUUGAGUCCAUGGAUUAUAUGCACUCCCACCCUUCCACCAUUGCUAGCCUCUCUAGUACCGCGCAACUUUCGCCGGUACCUUAAACACACCAUAUACCUUCCUCAAAACAGCCACCAUACCUACCUAUCAUGGCAUUUCCAUAGCCAUUUCGAGAUAUAUUGCCAUACAACUUUCCAUCGUUCUGUUUAUUAUGACAUGCUCCAUUAUUGUCAUAUUGCUAUGCAUGAUCAUGUAGUUGACAUUGUAUUUGUGGCAAAGCCACCGUUCAUAAUUCUUUCAUACAUGUCACUCAUGAGUCAUUGCACAUCACGGUACACCGCCAGAGGCAUUCAUAUAGAGUCAUAUUUUGUUCUAAGAAUUGAGUUGUAAUUCUUGAGUUGUAAGUAAAUAAAAGUGUGAUGAUCAUCAUUAUUAGAGCAUUGUCCCAGUGAGGAAAGGAUGAUGGAGACUAUGAUUCCCCCACAAGUCGGGAUGAGACUCCGGACGAAAAUAAAAAAAUAAAAGAGGCCAAAGAAGCCCAAAUCAAAAAAGAGAAAAGAGGCCAUAAAAAGGAGAAGGCCCGAAUAAAAAAAAUGAGAGAAAAAGAGAGAAGGGGCAAUGCUACUAUCCUUUUACCACACUUGUGCUUCAAAGUAGCACCGUAAUCUUCAUGAUAGAGAGUCUCCUAUGUUGUCACUUUCAUAUACUAGUGGGAAUCUUUCAUUAUAGAACUUGGCUAGUAUAUUCCAAUGAUGGGCUUCCUCAAAAUGCCCUAGGUCUUCGUGAGCAAGCGAGUUGGAUGCACACCCACUAGUUUUUUCGUUGAGCUUUCAUACACUUAUAGCUCUAGUGCAUCCAUUGCAUGGAAAUCCCUACUCACUCACAUUGAUAUAUAUUGAUGGGCAUCUCCAUAGCCCGUUGAUACGCCUAGUUGAUGUGAGACUAUCUUCUCCUUUUUGUCUUCUCCACAACCACCAUUCUAUUCCACCUAUAGUGUUAUAUACAUGGCUCACGCUCAUGUAUUGCGUGAAGAUUGAAAAAGUUUGAGAACAUCAUAAGUAUGAAACAAUUGCUUGGCUUGUCAUCGGGGUUGUGCAUGAUUUAAAUAUUUUGUGUGGUGAAGAUGGAGCAUAGCCAGACUAUAUGAUUUAGUAGGGAUAGCUUUCUUUGGCCAUGUUAUUUUGAAGAGGCAUAAUUUCUUAGUUAGUAUGCUUGAAGUAUUAUUAUUUUUAUGUCAAUAUUAAACUUUUGUCUUGAAUCUUAUGGAUCUGAAUAUUCUUGCCACAAUAAAGAGAACUACAUGGAUAAAUAUGUUAGGUAGCAUUCCACAUCAAAAAUUCUGUUUUUAUCAUUUACCUACUCGAGGACGAGCAUAAAUUAAGCUUGGGGAUGCUGAUACGUCUCCAACGUAUUUGUAAUUUUUGAUUGUUCCAUGCUAUUAUAUUAUCAACUUUGGAUGUUUAUGGGAUUUAUUAUACACUUUUAUAUUACUUUUGGGACUAACCUAUUAACCCAUAGCCCAAUGCCAGUUUUUGUUUUUUCCUUGUUUUAGAGUAUCACAGAAAAGGAAAAUCAAACGGAGUCCAAUUGACCUGAAACUUCACGGAACUUAUUUUUGGAAGGAAAGCAACCCGGGAGACUUGGAGUCCACGUAAGGGAAGCAACAAGGAAGCCACGAGGCAGGGGCGCACCCACCCCCCUGGGCGUGCCCUCCACCCUCGUGGGCCCCUCGUGGCCCCCCUGACGUACUUCUUUUGCCUAUAUAUCUCCAUAUACCCUAAAACAAUCGGGGAGCACAAUAGAUCGGGAGUUCCGCCGCCAGAAGCCUCCGUAGCCACCGAAAUCCAAUCUAGACCCAUUCCGGCACCCUGCCAGAGGGAGAAAUCCCUCUCCGGUGGCCAUAUUCAUCAUCCCGGUGCUCUCCAUGACGAGGAGGGAGUAGUUCUCCCUCGGGGCUGAGGGUAUGUACCAAUAGCUAUGUGUUUGAUCUCUCUCUCUCUCUCUCUCUCUCUCUCUCUCUCUCUCUCUCUCUCGUGUUCUUGAGGUGGUACGAUCUUGAUGUAUCGCGAGCUUUGCUAUUAUAUUUGGAUCCUAUGAUGUUUCUUACCCCCUCUACUCUCUUGUAAUGGAUUGAGUUUUCCCUUUGAAGUUAUCUAUCGGAUUGAGUCUUUAAAGAUUUGAGAACACUUGAUGUAUGUCUUGCCGUGCGUAUCUGUGGUCACAAUGGAAUACCACAUGAUUCACUUGAUGUAUGUUUUGGUGAUCAACUUGCGGGUUCCGCCCAUGAACCUAUGCAUAGGGGUUGACACAUGUUUUCGUCGUGAUUCUCCGGUAGGAACUUUGGGGCACUCUUUGAGGUUCUAUGUGUUGGUUGAAUAGAUGAAUCUGAGAUUGUGUGAUGCAUAUCGUAUAAUCAUACCCACGGAUACUUGAGGUGACAUUGGAGUAUCUAGGUGACAUUAGGGUUUUGGUUGAUUUGUGUCUUAAGGUGUUAUUCUAGUACGAACUAUAGGGCUGUUUUUGACACUUAUAGGAAUAGCCCAACGGAUUGAUUGGAAAGCAUAACUUUGAGGUGGUUUCGUACCCUACCAUAAUCUCUUCGUUCGUUCUCCACUAUUAGUGACUUUGGAGUGACUCUUUGUUGCAUGUUGAGGGAUAGUUAUGUGAUCCAAUUAUCUUAUUAUUGUUGAGAGGACUUGCACUAGUGAAAGUAUGAACCCUAGGCCUUGUUUCCUAGCAUUGCAAUACUGUUUGUGCUCACUUUUAUCAUUAGUUACCUUGCUGUUUUAUAUUUUCAGAUUACAAAAACCUUUAUCUACCAUCCAUAUACCACUUGUAUCACCAUCUCUUCGCCGAACUAGUGCACCUAUACAAUUUACCAUUGUAUUGGGUGUGUUGGGGACACAAGAGACUCUUUGUUAUUUGGUUGCAGGGUUGCUUGAGAGAGACCAUCUUCAUCCUACGCCUCCUACAGAUUGAUAAACCUUACGUCAUCCACUUGAGGGAAUUUUGCUACUGUCCUACAAACCUCUGCACUUGGAGGCCCAACAACGUCUACAAGAAGAAGGUUGUGUAGUAGACAUCACAUAUCCAUAUUACUUGGUCACUUAGGUGAUCAAGGUAAUAUGGAUAUGGCAUAUACUUGAUCACUUAGCUAGGAUCCAUCCAGUUGAAACUAAUUUGUGGUUUCUUUCAUAAAUGAUACAAUAACUCAUCAACAUCAUCAUCAUCAUCAUCAUAUUAAUAUAAAAACUCUUGCAUCAUAUCAUCACCAACAACGGUAUAUACUAGCUAGCUAAAAAUCAUCAUAGUCGUCAUUACCACUAUUUAAUCAUCAUAGUCAUUACCGCUAUCUAAUCACCACCAACACUAGCUUAAAUAAGAAACAUUCACUUGUACCAGAAGCAAAUAUAUAAUUGAGUUCAACAUGGUCAUGAUAUUAUAAGCGUUCAUAACACCACAAAAGAAAAUCACUCUUUGAUAUUAAGUUCAGGACAAAGAACACGGAUAUGAGAGGACAAGUACUAAGAGCAUGAACUAGCUAAUCACUCCUGCUGAUCUCUCUCUCAGGUAAAAUAGCAUAAAACAUGUAUAGCUCUCCUGAUUCAUCAUAUUGGAGCAUGCAGAUGAAACUGUCUCCUAAUCAUGGGAUGCGCUUCUGAUUGCUGCCCCCUAGUACUUCUCUGCGAUCUUUAACAAUUUUGCUCCAAUGUUUCACUAUUAAGCAUUCCUCGCUUUUAGAAAUCCUGGAUGCACUCAUGUGCAAUGAAGGAUGUCUUGGCCAUAAGCUAACCAUUGACAUGCGACCUUUAGUCUCGAUCCACUCAGGCACAACUGUCAUCGAGAGUCCUUGUUGAAGAACAUCAUAUAGUAAUAUACUUAGCAAUGAAAGUUUAGCUUGAAAAGUAAUGUAUGCAAAAGAUGCACUGGGGCAAAUAGUAAAAAUCAUACCAUCUUUCCUAAAUAGAUGUGACCAUAGUUCAAUACGAUCACUAUUGGUCGCACGUUUUGAGUACUAAGAUUUUCAAAUUCAGGAAAAUAAUUUCUCUUGACAGCAUCAAGAUCCUCAAGCCAUGAAACAAAUGACUUGUCUCCUCGCAUUUUAGUUCAGCCCCGGGACAGUGGACGGUCUUGUCUACCAAGCGUCGAACUUGUUUGCUUGAAUGGAAAUAAGUUGUCAAUAGAAAGUAAUUGUCAACUUAUUUUGAAUAAACAAUAUCGAAGACAUAAAUAUGGUUGAGAAACUCACAUAAUGGUAGAACUGGAGCCGUCUGCACAUCGACCCAGAUAUCUCUAUUACCUUCAAUAUCAUCUUCCGGACGAAUAUCAAAGGUGAUAACCAUAUCAGGCUCAAAUGCAUAAGCCUUGCAUAGUGCUUGCCAAGUUUUGCAUUCAAAAUAGGUGUAUGUGUCUGAAUUUUAUAAUUUGACGUUGAAGGUAUAACCAUGCUCGGUCUUCAAGUAAACUUUCUUUACCUCGAUAGUUUUGUUUGGACUGAAGCCUAUCUUAUCCAAGACAAAAAUUCUUGCAUGGCAGGGGAUACACUAGUAGAAUAAUGAAAAUUUAAAAUUAUAAGUUGAAGCAAAUGAAGCAUAAGUCAUGCUUAAUUACGAAAAAAGACUUGUCGUUGUGACUUACUAUAUCCACUUCGAAGUUCUCAUCCAACUUGAUGCUGAAGCGCCUAUCAUCAACUAGAAAAUUUCCGUCGCACAGGCCGCGCUGGUCUUCGCAGUACUCGCACAUAAUGAAAUUGUGUUCGUCGUCAGACGACAUUCCUGUGUUCAUAGGUGAAACAUUAAACACUUAUUAGUUCUAUUAAUUCAACUAAUUCAACUAGUUCUAUUAAUUCAACUACUUCAACUAAUUAAUUCAACUAAUUCAAUUAAGUACUUACUAAAAAUAUACCCAAAUAAAGUAGCUCAACUAAUUCAACUAACUAGUUCAACUAAUUAAUUCAACUAAUUCAACUAAACUAGUUCUAUUAAUUUUCUUGCUAAAAAUAAAGUAGCUAGUNNNNNNNNNNNNNNNNNNNNNNNNNNNNNNNNNNNNNNNNNNNNNNNNNNNNNNNNNNNNNNNNNNNNNNNNNNNNNNNNNNNNNNNNNNNNNNNNNNNNNNNNNNNNNNNNNNNNNNNNNNNNNNNNNNNNNNNNNNNNNNNNNNNNNNNNNNNNNNNNNNNNNNNNNNNNNNNNNNNNNNNNNNNNNNNNNNNNNNNNNNNNNNNNNNNNNNNNNNNNNNNNNNNNNNNNNNNNNNNNNNNNNNNNNNNNNNNNNNNNNNNNNNNNNNNNNNNNNNNNNNNNNNNNNNNNNNNNNNNNNNNNNNNNNNNNNNNNNNNNNNNNNNNNNNNNNNNNNNNNNNNNNNNNNNNNNNNNNNNNNNNNNNNNNNNNNNNNNNNNNNNNNNNNNNNNNNNNNNNNNNNNNNNNNNNNNNNNNNNNNNNNNNNNNNNNNNNNNNNNNNNNNNNNNNNNNNNNNNNNNNNNNNNNNNNNNNNNNNNNNNNNNNNNNNNNNNNNNNNNNNNNNNNNNNNNNNNNNNNNNNNNNNNNNNNNNNNNNNNNNNNNNNNNNNNNNNNNNNNNNNNNNNNNNNNNNNNNNNNNNNNNNNNNNNNNNNNNNNNNNNNNNNNNNNNNNNNNNNNNNNNNNNNNNNNNNNNNNNNNNNNNNNNNNNNNNNNNNNAUGGGGCGGCGGCGCGAGACGACGACGACGGGCGACGGGGGCGAGGGCGAGCGGCGGGGGCGGAGAGGGCGAGCGGCGGCGAGGGCGAGCGGCGGCGCGGGACGGGAGCGGCGGCAAUGUCGCGAAGAGGUUGGAGAUGGGGAGAUGAAACUGAAUUUUUCGCAAGUACUAUAUAUAUAGGAGGGGCCUCUAGUACCGGUUGGAGCCACCAACCGGUACUAAAGGCCAAUUUUGGCCAGGCCAAGCGGUGGGAAGCGGCCCCCUUUAGUACCGGUUCGUGGCACCACCCAGUGGCCUUUAGUACCGGUUGGAGCCACGAACCGGUACUAAAGGGGCGCGCUGUAGUGCGCAAAGUUUAGUCCCAUCUCGUCGGGCGAAGGGCAGCCGCACUGGUUUAUAAACCCAGCCGCGGCUACUCUAUCGAACUCCUCUGUAAACCAGGCUUUUGGGCCUAACUAUGGCACACUGUCCUGUGAGCCCCUUGUGGGCCUGAAUUUACAUGCCCAAGGCCUAGCAGACCCACUGGACAGCGCCCCAAUAAUUUUUUAUCUAGUUUUUUCUUUUCUGCUUUAUUUAUUUUCUUCUAUUUAUUUCUGAGUAGUUUUUUAUAUAGUUUUUUUCUUUUCUGCUUUAUUUAUUUUCUUCUAUUUAUUUCUAAGUAGUUUUUUAUAUAGUUUUUUCUUUUCUGCUUUAUUUAUAUUCUUCUAUUUAUUUCUAAGCAGUUUGAAAGAGAGUUUUCGUCCGAAACCCUGAUACUUCGAAAGAGAGUGUCCAGUUUGUGCACGAAGUGCAUCCAGUUUUUGUCGUAACCAUCUGUACUUUUUUGCACAUGUCAUGUGGGUGAAAUGAUGAUACCAUGCCAAGUUUCAACCUUUUCAGAGUUCAUUUGUAGUACUUUUCAAUUUCAGGAUCAUUUAGCUCAAAACAAAUCAGUAAAUGCAUCAAAAAUAUCAAAUUAUGUCAGAAAUGGUUGAAAGUUGACGACGUGGCUUUGAAUGGUGCAUAAUGAACACAAAAAAGUCCAGAGUUGUAAUAAGUUAUUAAAAUUUUGAAUAGCCGGUGUAACUGAUGAGUUUUCGUCCGAAACCCUGAUACUUCGAAAGAGAGUGUCCAGUUUGUACACGAAGUGCAUCCAGUUUUUGCCGUAACCAUCUCAACUUUUUUGCACCAGUUCGUAAAGAAAUAUAGAGCAUUUAGAUUACUAAAAUAGUGAUCUAAAUGCUCUUAUAUUUCUUUAUAGAGAAAUACAUCAAAAAUACAUUGAUCAUCAAUGAUAUUUUUGUGUACAAUCUGAAUUGACAAUAUGAGUCCUCACCGGUUUAGAAACCGGAGAAAACUCAUAUUGUGGCCACAAAUUCUACACAUAGAGUUCAAUGAAGACCAAAUGGUUGUGAUAGUUUGAGAAGUAACAUAUUUAAGGUGGUAAAAACCCUGUUAGCGGAGCGAGGUGGGACUAAAAAACCGCUGGAACUAAAAACCUCUAGUACCAAUUUGUGGUAAGAAUUGGUACUAAAGGUGUUGGCGGGGCCCCAUCCGGACCACGGCGUGCCACAGCCUCUUUAGUACCAGUUCGUGGCACAAACCGGUACUAUAGGUUCGCCACGAACCGGUACUAAUUUACUUUGCCCAUCUAGCCGUUCGAACCGGCGCUAAUGGCAACAUUACUGCCGGUUUUGUUACAAACCGGUACUAAUGUGCUUCACAUUAGGCUGUUUUUCUACUAGUGAUAUGAUAUGAAUGUCUAGUGCUUCACAACUUAUAUACAUAAACUAGGCAGCUUAGGGUUAUGAUGCAUGUGACCCAUUUAUAAGAUCACUGGGUCUGGUUUGGGCAUACAAAUGGGCACUACCCAUAUCCUACCCAUGACUAGUCGGAUAGGGUUCAGCCACCACCCCAUGGCACAAAAAUGUGCCCAAACCCUGCCCGUGUGGGUCGGGAACCCAUGCCCAUAGGUAAAAUUGCCACCCUUGUUUCUUGAUAAAGGAAACCUUAUUGAAAUGUAUUGCCACAUCCAUGAGAUACAAAUGGGCAUGUCAUUGUACCCAUGCCCUACCCGUGACUAGUCGGAUAGGGUUCAGGCACCACCAAUGGGCACAAAGAUGUGCCCAUACCUUGCCCGUGUGGGUCGAGUACCCAUGCUCAUGGGUAAAAUUGCCACCCUUGUUUCUUGAUAAAGGGAACUUUAUUGAAACUUAUUGCCACAUCGAGGAGAUACAAAUGCACAAGAACCCUAAUAGUUCUUCCAUAGUGGAAAACAACUCUUCAAAUUUCCAUGCCAGUUUGUUAAAGAAGGUUAUCUUUGGUCACAUCUAUUAUGUACGCAAGUAACAUUGUCACUUUUUAAAAGAUUUAUAACUUCCCAAAGUUGUAUAUUCAUGAUUGAGACAUCACUAUGCUCAAGACUCUUGUGCACCGAAUUUUGAUACCCUUAUUGGCGCAUAUGCACCGGAACUCAUUACACUCUUAAUAUAUAUUAUUGUCAAUGAGAGGUGGAAGCAACUUGUUCCACUCCACUACUUUUGCCCAACCAAAUUAUCACGUCUAAACAAAACAACUGGUGGAAAAAUGUAUACGUUUAAUAUGGUGUCAUGUUUAUUAAGGACAACAUGGAAGAUGUUUGAAUAUGAGCUCCAAGGGGAGUGUUUCCCAUCUGGUUGUCUUUGAUGUUAAAAGUACCGAAGAAUUACCGAAAAUUCACCGGGGUGCCUAGGUGUAGGAGCACGCACCUUGGUGGCCACAUGAUUGCUUCAUGAUUAGUAGACUCGUUUAUGUGAUUAUUAAUCCUUAAUUGUUGCACACGGGGGCCAUGCAUGCAAGCUUUUGGCAGCAACACCCAUGCCACCUCUCAUGUAUUUUCUUUUAACUUUCAAAUUUAAAUCUAUUAUAUCUUUUGAACCAGAAGUACUAUUUUAUUUUUCGUUAGCAUAUUUGUAUUCCCUGCGAUGAUGGCUUCGAAAGAAAACCACUUUUGAACAUGUUUUGAUACAUUUUUAAAUCUUUACCAAGUUUCAACUAUAAAAACUUGAUAGUCAUAAUAAUAAGUUUCACCAAUUUUUACCAAGUUCGGGGUUUAGGGCUUAACUUCUAAUAUUUGAAACUAGUUGAAUUUGUUAUUUAUUUUAUCAAGUUAUAAUAAUUGAGACUUGCUGGAGUUUGAAAAACUUAUCAAAACAUAUUUAAAAGUGGUCUUCUUUCAAAGCCCUCAUCACAAAUAAUACGAAUAAUCAAACGAAACAUGAAUUGGACUUUUGGUUCAAAAGAUAUAAUGGAUCCAAAUUUGAAAGUUAAAUAAAAAGCAUGCGAGGUUGGGUGGGUGGAGCUGCCAAAAACUAUGAAAUGUUGUCAUGCAAACCAGUUCUUGAAUCACGAGGCAAUCAAACAGGCCACAGUCUAAGGCCUCCUUUGGUUCAUAGGAUAGGAUUAUCAUAGGAAUAGGAAUCUUGUAGGAAAUGAGAUAACAUGUAUCUCAAAUUCUAUGAGUAGGAAUAGGAAACAAGAUGUCAUUUGGUUGACACCAAAGGAAUUUUUCCAUUGAGUCUAGGCUCUUUUUUAUUUUUCUAUGAAAUAUGGAGGAUAGGAACCAAUCAUAUGUAGGAAUAGGAAUCCAUUCCUAUGAACCAAAGGGCUCUAAAGGAAAAAAUCCAAUAAGAAUCCUAUCCUCUAGAAUUCCUAUGAAAUUCCUCUAAACCAAACCAAAGGAGGCCUAAGUGCGUCCGCCCACUGCCACAGAUCCUCUCUCAAGAAACACGGCAUUGCAUCUUCAUAAGAUCCCCAAACAUCAAAACUGUUUUUCUUUUUCUUUUGCGGGGUAUCAAAACUGUUUGUAGACAAGCAUGCGUACUGUAAACGAGUAUUGGAGACUGACAAACUGUCCUGCCCUAUCUUAUCUUAGCUCAAGCUAGGAGCAUAGCCCAUCUGGCUCUACUGUAUAAAGCUUGAGGCCCCUGCUGAUCUGCAGCGCAAAAGGGGCGUGCAUUUGUGCUCUUGCGCAUGCAGCAGGUGCACACAUGCAGCUGCUUCGAAAUAUCAAAGACUAGUCUGUUUAGAUCACCAGUAGUAGUGGAAAAGGAGCGGAUUAAGCAUGGAGCGCGUGAAGACAAGUAAACACACCAACGCAGCCGUGCAUGCAGAUGCAGCACGCCUGCUUUGCUUCUUCCCAGAAGCGCAGCGAAUCAGACGCUGGGGAUAAGUUAAGUCCCCUCUUUGCACGACACGCACGGCGCAACGCAGUAGUACUAGUAGUACGUGGGGGCAUCAGUCAAUCAGCAGCGCAAGGGGCAGGGUUAUUGUAAGCCGGACGGGAAGCAGAUCGGCGACGCCAACGACGCCGCUAUGGCCAAAGUUGAUCGGAGCGCUCUCUCCGUCUCUGCGCCGCAUGUGCCCGUGCCUGCAACUGCAUGCGCGGCCACAGACUAAACAAGGUACUAGUAGUAUUACCAGUACAGUAUCAGUGAGGGUAUAAAGAAAAGAUCAUGUAGGCAAGCCAAGCGUGCGUAGCGAAACUUCAUCCGUCCCAUCCUGAUGUGAUGAUGUGAGAUCUUUGCCGUACAAGUAGGCCGUUAAAUUGCUGCGUCUGGACUGAUCCCCUACCUGCUCAUCAUUUUCUUUAUGUUGGGAUAAUCCGUAGUGCCUGGUUGAAUGGUUGAUUAGCAUCUGGGUUGGGUUAGUCUAAUGAACCUAGGCCGUAGGGAUCAGUAGCCCAUACGGGGUAGGGGUCCCGGUCCCUAGGCACGCACAGGCAGGCUCGCGCAUGGAUCCGUCCACCUUUGGAUGCGUGUGCGUGUCUGUCUGGCUUUGCGGGCGGUGCAGCCAGCGAGGCAGCUGACAGUUGCUGCGUGUAGUACUACUACCGCCACCGAUCUGCGUCUCGUCGCCGUCUGUGCGCCACCAGCUAGAUCCUCCCUUCCUUGGGGCCCGCUCAGUUUACCGGUGAAGCUACGAGGAGAAGCCACUGUCACAGAGCCGCCCAAGACCAUCUAAGUACAUGGUCGGACUUAGAAAAUCUUAGCCCCUAAACAUGCGCGGAUGCGGCCGAUCAGGGUCCGGACGUGCUCGUUUUAAACUCUAGUCCAUUUAUGCAAUCAUACUUCACAAAAGGAAUUACUCAUAAAUCAUAUUCAUAUUCAAGAUCAGAGUCAUGUUGUGAAUUAAGGAUCUGAACAUAUAGCCUUCCAUCAAAAAAACCAACUAGCAUCAACUACAAAAUGUAAUCAACACUAUUAGAAAUCAACAAGUAUCAAUUUAAGGUUUUGAGACAAAGAUUAAAUACAAAAGAUGAACUAGGAUUUGAGAGAAGAUAGUGAUAGUGUUAAUGAAGAUUGGUCCUCCUACGAUGAGAGGAUCGUUGGUGAUGCCGAUGACUUCGAUUUCCCUCUCUCAAAGGAAAGUAUCCUGGCGGAAUCUCUUCGCCGGAGAGGAAAAGUGCUUCUGCCCAGUUUCCGUCUCGAGACGGUGGCGUUUUGUCCCGAAAGUCUUCUUUUUUUUUUCCCGGGUCAAAAGGUUGAAUAUAGUAGAAGGAGGGCACCGGAGGGCUGCUAUGGGCCCCAUAAGACAUCAGGGCGCGCCCUGUUGCCUUGUGGGCAACAAAUGGCCUUCCUCUGAUGAUUCUUUGUUUCAGUAUUUUAAUAUAUAUUCAAUAAAAAAUCUUUGUGAAAUUUCAGAUCAUUUGGAGCUUCAUAGAAUAGCUAUAUUUGUUGUAGCUCUUUUAGGUCCAGAAUUUCAGUUGCCGGUAAUUUCCUUUUUCAUAUAGAUCUUCAAAUUAAGAGAGAAAAGGCAUUAGAAUUGCAUCAUAAGGUGAAAUAAUGACCAAAAAUAUUAUAAAUAAUAGUAGAAAAACAUGAUGCAAAAUCGACGUAUCAUCUGCUGACGAGGGAGAUGUUGGAGUGUUUUCGAUGAUGCAUGCAUCAUGCCGCCUCACCGUGGCUAGCUUGAAAACUUCCGCUUGCAGAUGGUCCGUCUGCAUAUUCCAAUGUCACGUGGGCUCUGGGAGAGAGCGGUGAUGACAAUAGCGGUAGCGUGCCCUCAGCUCUUGGCGGCUUGUGUAUCUGGUCGACUCUCCGGGGACUCAAAUGCUACAUAUGUUAUAUCAUUGGUAAUACUUAACUGAUCUAGGGUGCUUUCUGCAGAAAAAACAUAAAAAAUCCAUGCUACAUAUGAUCAAAACGGAAUGAUCUGAAAAUAGAUAUCAUUGCCAUGCUAUAUAUGAUAAACCUACCGAGGUCUAAUAAAUAAAAAUGCCAUGGUAAUUUGGUAAGGCAAAAGCAGAAUUAGGGAAUUUGUUCCACAAAGAAACAUGGCAAAGUUUUUUUUUAAAUGCCAUGGGACAGAUUCUUACACUUCCAUGGGGAGACAUGUUGAAAUGCUAUGGGACCUAUGGCAAUUUCUCUCUUCCUACAAACAUUUCAAAAUGUAAAAAAGAUAAACCAAAAUCAUCAUGUCAGAAAUUUGAGAGUGAACCAAUAACUUCUAAAACUGCCAUGAUUCAUGAAUUGGUAUCAAACAAACAAAAUGCCAUGCCAAGAUAGGGAAUUUCCAUGUGUAAAAUCAGUUGUUAAGUUGCCGUGUGUAUAAGCUGAAAUUGCCAUGUGAGUGUUAGUAAACCAAAAUCUGAAAUUCCCCAUGUUUUAGAUCAGUCAGUAUCCCCUGUUGCACUGAAAAUCAAGCAACUGAUGACAAUCUCUCUAGCAAAAAGCUUCAUAAAAAAGUACUCACCGAACGGAGGAGAAAGUGAAACACCAACGGAGAUGUGGCCGGCGCUUCACUGCAACAGUAGCUCCCCGGUGUUCCCAGCCGGGCACCAUGUGAGCACCCUCGUCCAACUUCAUGCGCACCUCCGCCACCACCAUCUCAUCCUCCGCCUACUUCUCGCCAUCGGAGGCCACCACCACCACGCGACAUCAUCACUUCAGGAGGACACGUCGCCGCGGAACUCCUUGGUGGCGAGAAGGUCGACAAGGACCCCGACCCCGGCCCUGCAUUUGUUCAUGUUGUACUAUAUGUUUGCACAUCGCCCUCGCAAUCUCUAGAAAAUUAUGGAGGAUGUUCCAAAAGUGUUUUGAGAGCUACAAAUAUGGAGACUCUGCAAGAUUUGCUCUAAGGUGAUGAGCUAGCAUUUCGCGUCUUAGUAACGUAAAUUCCUAUUUGGUGCUUAAGGCGCCAACUAGAGUUGGUUCUGUAAAUAGUGCACAUGCGCGCAUCCGGAUGGUAGUUCAAUAAGUGGGCCGAUCCAUUUGGCCUUGCUUUCAUCGUUUUCGGGAACCUUUCCUCCAAUUUUUCUGGCCGGUUUUCAAUGUUUUUCCUUCUAUGUUUUUGCUGCUUUUUACACGGUUUUGUUCAAUUUUUUUUACCUUUUUAUUUUUAUUUUUUCAAAAGAGUCAUGAACACUUUCAAAAAUAUUUGAACAUUUCAAAAUUCAUGAAUAGCUAUUAAAUUCAUGAACUUUUUAAAAAUUUGCAAACAAAAUUUUCAAAUUUGUGAAACUUUUUCCAAAUUCAAAAAUAUUUAUAAUAAUUGAUUAUUAUUAUUUUUAAAAAGACAUUUUCAAAUUCAAGUUUUAAAAAAAUCUGGAACACUUUUUGAAUCCAUGUUCUUUUAAAUCCAUGAAAAUUUUAAUUACACCAAUUUAUGGGGAAAAUUGAUUCAUGUUUUUUUCCUUAGGUGAACUAGGGAUUUUAUUCAAAGUUUAGAACAUAUGGAAUACAUGCUACUGUCCCUUGCCACAGUUGACGGCCUACGGUGAGAGAAGAAGCAACCUUAGCUGAUGCGUGUGCUUCCAAAUUGCACUCCCAAUUCUCAAAGUGGAAACUGACUUCGACGAGAUCUCUGCUCCUAUGAUUGAUCUCGUUUAGCACCAUCAAGUAGGAGGUUGCAACACCCUUGUUGAUAUUUGAUAUGAUCUCAAGGAAGGUCCGAACCAAUCACCAACUUCUGAAGAUUGAGAUCCCGAGCACCUCGUUGCAAGCAUGUGCUUCUAGAUUCACUGGGUCAACAAGAUCACGAAGGAAGCUCCAAAGAAAAUGACCUGCAUAUCCUUGUAAAUAGCAGUAACCGCACCCAAAUUACCAUGGCGAGAAAUCCUGCCGUUGACGUUGAUUUUUGCGGCAUCUCCCUCUAGUGCUAACCAUCUGCAGCUUCUCUGACGUGAAGUAGGAGAAGCACUGGACCGUGUGACACAAGCAACUGCAAUCUUCAAAUCCUCUAAGUAUCAAAAGCCUGAAAGGAAAACGAGUAUGCAAGCGAAUAAGCAAGCGGCCGUGCGUGAACACUAUUGGGUCGCGGUCAGAGGAACGAGCUGUGAGCGCCGUGACUACCAUAGUAACUUUUUUGGCGCCUUAAGCGCUAAAUAGGGGAACUCCUAUCUGACGCACAUGCGUCAAAAUGUCGGCCUCCUGCACAGGAAGGGCCAGCCCAUUAUCCCUAGUUUGUUGUUCCGAAGGUUGCAUCACUUUUCGCCUUUUGCCGUAUCUGGUUUUCGAUUUUUUUUUGUUCUUAAGAAACUCUUUUCAAUCGGUUUUAUUUUCGGAAAACACAAAUAUUUAUUUACUAUUGUAUAAACUUAACAUUAUUUAAAAAAUUGGGAAUAAUUUUAAAGUUUUAACAUAUUUUUAAGAAGGGAACAUUUGUAAGGAAAGCUAACUAUUUUGAAAAAAAUAUGUUUUAAAAAUUUGAGAACAUUUUCUAAAUGCAAACAUUUCUAAAAUUCGAACACUUUAUAAAUAAAUUGUACAUUUUGUAAAAAAAACUCCAAAAAAACUGGUAUAACACAAUAGAAGGGAAGAUGAAAACAUACAUGACCAAAACCUUUUAGAAGGUUCGUAAAAAUGAAUUUGUGUAGACUACGAAAUAACGAUAAUUUGACGCAACGUGUACAUGAAUUCAGAAGCUCCCCUCAAUCCCCUCUUUCUUUCGAGCAAGUUUAGUCUCUUUGUUCAUCCUGAGCAAAUUUAGGCCUCGGUUCUGGAUUACUGAAGCUCGAUCUGUCAAAAUUCAUGUAAGCGGGAAGGGCCACAACAAAGCACUAAUUAAGUAGUACUCCUUGCAAAGGUCACUCCCGUGUUUCAGGUUGCGGCAAGUGGCGCAUAUGCAGUGUGCCUUGUAACCCGGGAGUUUUUUUUCCCGUAGAUUCGUUUAUUCAAUGCGCUUUAUCUCUCAAACCGUGCGUUCAAAUAUCAAACCGUUUUCAUCAUUGGAAUGAAUCCUCGUGUCGAGAUCUUCAAAACUAGAUCGUGUUGAUAGGUUUCUGUAAACUUUUUUUUUCACAAAAAAACCCGAUCCAAGAACACAUUUUUCCUUUCUGAGAGGCACGGUUGUGCCUCUUGCGGAAGGAAAACACCGCGUUUUUCGCCUCUUGCGUAAGCAAAUUCGUGCCUCUCACGAAAGAGAAAAAAAUAUGUUUUUUUUCUUUUUUUCGAGAGGCACAGUCAUGCCUCUUGCGGAAGUAAAUUCGUGUCUCUAGGAGAAGUAAAUACGUGCCUCCACGGGAAGCAAAUCCGUGCCUCAACAAGAAGUAAAUUUGUGCCUCUUGCAUACGAAACGAACAGCAGAAGAUGUCCAUUUAUGUUUCACUCAUUUUCACUUGCCUUCAAUACAUGCAAAUUGCAACAUCUUCAAAACAAGUCACAAACAUUGCAGACAUAGAACAUCGGCACAAUAUAUCCAAGUUAGAAAACAAAUCAGACACCAAACCGAACAUAGCUUGUUUUCAGAACUAAAGCUGAGCCAUAGUGCCUUCCUUCUGGGAAUCCAACCAUGCGGCGGAUACCUUCUUCAAAUUUCAAAGGCUUUCAGUGGGUCCUUGGGGUCAAUUUCAUGGAAGAGAGGGAGAUCGGACCGGAGACUGUGCUGGCUGAAACCAACACUUUCCAGUGUCUUCAGCACCUCGUCGAACAAAACUUUGUUCCCGAACGGGGUGAAAUGUAGCCCGUCACUGCAUGAUAUAACAAAGUUAUCGUACUAGUUCAGAAUGUGCUUCGGCAAAAUACUAUAUAAUCAAAACCACUAUAUACCGAACAUUAGGGCAUUAAGAGCAGAGAUGAAUAUAAUAUUCUGCUAACGUACUGGUCAAUUGAUGACCAAUUAUCAUAUUCCUGGAUGAAGAACAGGACUUGGAAAAGGUGUACAUUAGACCACUAAAGUAGUGUUCUAAACACUCUUAUAUUUCUUUACGGAGGGAGUAUUUCUGAAGUUUCAAGCUAUUUCAAGCACAUAGACUAAUGGCUAUUAGCAAAUGGUAAGAGAUCAUUCAGACAUACAAGCGUGCAGAUUAUAUACUACUGUAUCUGAGAACAUGCAAUACAAAAUCUUCUUUUUUAUAUUUUAUAGGAGAGUGGAAAAAAAUUAGCGUGCUAAAAGAAGAAGUGUUCAAUAGCUUCCAUUAGAGAAACAAAAGCGAGAGCAUAUAAUUUGCUCUAUUUACAGGUUUUUGUUUUACACUGCAGAUGUUAGAAAAUUAUUCAUGGUGUAGAAUAUUAAGUUAGAUUUAUGUGUCGCUAUAAUCAUUGUUUUUACGAUGAGAUCACAGGAUGCAGAUUAUCAACUAAUUCUUAGCUUGUUUUCUCAGUCUCGUUAUAUAACCAAGAACAUCACUUGGCAAAGUUCAAUAGCACUAUAGGUUGGCUCCACCUGAUUCGCAUAAUUGUGAUUCUUGAUUUACCUAGAAUGCCAAACAUAACAAACGUUUUGUGUGUGUGUGUGUGGCCUAAAAUUAUAGCCAACAGCCAAAAUGGUGAAUUCUGGUCUGGGGUGCACUGCACAUGAUAAACAAGUUCCUCACUUAAUUGCAUUGUUUUUGAUAGAAAAUGUUAGGCAAAUUCUGAGCAACAGUCUGCCCGAGGAUUUACACCUAUUUUUUUAACAUUCAACAGAAGUAGAAAACCAUUUUUAUCUUAUCUGGCCAUUUUCAUAACCAGCAAAGAAAGCAGCUCAUAGAAUGAAUAAUCUCGCAAUUAUUAAGCCUUUGCACCGUCAACAUUAGGUAUAAGAGUUCUUCAAACAGAUUUGCAUGAUCUACCUUUGCCUACAAUUUGGAAGGAGAUUUGUACCUUAAUGCAGACGUUUGCCAAUCAGGAAAUUGCUGUAUCUGCGUCCAGAUGUCUAUAACUGGAUGACCCAAUUCUUUAGCAACAGCUAUGCACGCCUGUGCAUAAGUGCCAGCAGCUUCAUUGGUUCUUUCAGGCUGUCUUGAAGGGUCAUUAUCUCCAUAUAUGUCUCUGCAUGGAAAGAUAUGGAAUAAGUGUGGUUUGCAUGCGAAUCUGCUUUGCCAAAAGGUACAAUUUAUAUAAUUUGCUUGGAAGAAAUCUCCAGGCCAGACCACAGGCCACCACCUGGCAACUGGAUAACAGGAUAUAUACAAAGCCCAAUAGCACACUCCACACUGUUGAAAUUGUCGCAAUUUCGAUUGAAAAUACAGGGAACACACAAGGAACUAAACCUAAUGAACUUGUUAAAUAGAUGCACAUAGGCCGAAUACUAAACACACACUGUGUACACUUAGUAAGUUCAGCCCAAUUUCUUAACAUUGUGGUUGAGAUAAACAGUUUUGAUUGACAUAAAUCACUGCAAACACAAGUGACUGCCCGCAUCCACAAUGGUAUAUGGAAUAUAGAAAAAGGAAACCCACAAGGGAAUACAGCAAAGGUAAACCCAUAAGCCACAAGGGAAUCAACAUAAGGAAACCCAUAAGGAUAUCCAGUGGAUCCUGGUUGACCUGACCACCAAUAAAGCAGUAAAAGUAUGAUAUCGGCAAGGUGAGGGGGCUAUCAGUUACCGAAUCCUCGCCGGCUCGUGGAUCGGCGGAGGGGUGAUGAGUAUGACGGCGGCGGAGGGCCACUUAUUCUGCAAAACCAAACCACAGAUGAGUAGCUGAAGAAGCAAAUCAGCUUGAGCAGCAUUCCUGUUCCAGGACCGCAACCUUGAAGUACGCAGAGAUGGCGCGUAGGUUGUCCUUGUACUCCCCGAGCGGCACGUGCUGGUGCGCCUGCACCUGGUCGGGCAGGGUGGCGUCGUUGGCGCCGAAGAAGACCGUCACCGCCGCCGGGUCCGCGCCUCCGUCGGCCGCCCCCUCCAUGGCUCUGUCCAGCACCUUCAGCGCCCAGCGCGUGUUGUACCCGCUGAGGCCGCGCAGCACCACAUCCGCCUAAUCAUCAGCAAAAACCCGACGUCACGCGUAGCGGCGGCGGCGGCGCGACCGGCGAGGGGGAGGGGCGCUGCGGACGUACCUGCCUCGCGAACUGCUCCGCGAGGGCGGCGCCCCAGCCGCCGGGGGCAAAGGACUGCUCGGUGAUCGAGUCGCCGAAGAGCACCAGCCGCGGCCGCAUCUUGUCCCCUCCUCCCUCCAACACGGAUCACGGAUCGGCCGCUGGACUGGGCUUGCUGGCUGGUGGCUACCCCGGAUGUCACGUCGCCUUCACGAGCGCCUCGCUUCUGCAGUGGAGUAUUAUACGGCCAUGGCCAUGUGGUAGGUUGUUGGGUGGCCUCCAGGGAGAGGUGGAAUAUUAUUAGGUGAGCUCGUCGCGACUUUGAUCGGCAAGCGGCGAGGAUUCUUCGGUACUUCCGAGUCCCGACGAGCGAGCAGGUUCCGGCCAGCCGUCUUCCCCCCUUUUUUUUUAGGGUCUGGCCAACCGUCUGUUGAGCUCUCCCGGUGUGUCGUUGGGCCGAUGACUGGCUGACCGGACGAAAAGCCCAGAAUUUGAGGCCCGUGAACAUAGAAUGGAUUUGAGCAAAUAUCGUCCUCCCACCGAUGGCUAAACAGCCUCAAAAAGAAAAAGAAAAAGAUGGCUAAACAGCCAUGUCGGAUGUCGCCACGCGCGUGUGAUAUGGAGAGUUCGCUGAAAGAAAAAUGAAUGGAUCAAGAGAGAGAGAGAGCAGUUUUAAGGUUAAAUUAUCAAAAUACAGGACGCGGACGCGGCCUAUCUCAGCUUGAGCUCAUAUGAGCUCGGAUGAAAAGUAAAAUCCAAAAAAUAAAAUAAAAUAAAUCUUAUUUUAUUUUGGCAAACAUUGAUGAAUAUUCAAAUGCUUGCAGAGCUUCAUCAUGGAAUAACAUAUGUGGAAGUCGUGCCUUGCGGAAAAUAAAUUUAAAAACAAUAAAAAUUUUGAGGUAACAAUAAUCACUGACAUGAUACUUACCACUCCGAGUCAAACAUAACAGGUAGACUGUACGUGCAUGUGAAUUCUUUUUUUUUCUUGAGGGACAUGUGAAUUCUCUCUGUGACACUCCCCCGCAGAAAAAAAAAGGGUGACACUGACACAGGGUACUACUCCUGAUAAACAUCUAAAUUUCUAGCAGAGUAUAUAUGUGGACCACAUGUACAUAAAAGUAGAAGUCAACACAAACUUAGUAGCAUCAGCGUCCAGCCAUCUAUUACCUCCGUAUUUAGCCUACAAGAACGUCUUAUAUUUUGGUAUGGAGGUAGUAAUUGUACAAUUUGCUGAAUCCAGCUGCGAGUUCCCUUCAGACGUGCACGACCUGCUUCCUGCCCCCCAUUUGCCAAACUUGUUCAGCUGCAGGACAUCACAUCAGAGGUUUGUACCAACCCAAAACAUCUCGACUUAUCUUCAGGAGCAUCCAACUCAAUUUGUCCUUGAUCUUAUGCUUGUAGUCAAUAAACUGCACCAACAACCUCGCUAGUUCUGAAAGUAGGAUUUUCUAGGUCAGAGCAGAUUAGCAUGUGGUAGGCAAACUGGUAACAUCAGGUGGAUGUAGGGUGGGGCGGCGGUGUUGUACAUUACCAAUGAGUAUCCUCAGAUGGAGAUAGCUGAUGCUUGUUUUGACUCGCAACGAUAGACGGUUGAUUGCACCUAUAUUAGAGAAAUCAGAAUAUCGGACUAACUAGGAUCUCCCCGCAAACAAAAAAAGACUAACUAGGAUGUUGGCAAGAGCCAAUGGCUCAACCAGUUUUGAUAAGCAUGGAAAGUUGACUGAGACAUACCAGACUCCAAUCUGGACUGUUCCUCAUGGCCAUAUAUGGCACACUUUGCAUAAGCAAGAAGUCGAACAUGACGUGGGGCCCCUAGAUUCCCUAAAAUGGACCUCAAUAGUCCACUGAAUUGAGAUCACAAAUAACAUUACAAACAACAAAAAUGAGUGAGAAAAUAGUAGCAAGGUUAUGUGCUCUACAAAGAUUUUCCUUACUCUGUUCGAAGUAUGACCAGAAAGUCAGGCGGCAAGGAUUCCAUAAAUGAAGAUAUAUCAUCCAUUCCAAGAGAGCUCAAGUCUUGCUUUAUACGUGUCUUCUCUUCACCAGAUACUUGUGUUCCAAGAGCUGAUUUGCUGGUGAGCAUUACAACAGUUAGACAUGAAAGGCUGUUUAAUAAGUAACUUGUUGCACGUCACUGCCUAGCCCAUAAAGUAAAACUGUAAGAACUGAGCUUAAUACAAUAAAUAUGUUUAAGCGAUGAGAUUCUAGCACUUAAAUUGACUCUCUUGGAAAGGUUAGACUUUACUACUUAGCCCACACCUGCAAGUGGGACUCACCAUGAGAGAACCGAAGCUAUUAGCUAAACUUUGCUGUCCCUGUGGUCAUUGGUGGCUCGCACAUCAAGAUUAUCCAGUCAGCAACUGUAUUGUGCCUAAAAUAAGCAUGUCACGAGGGUUCUCCUGACUCUAGUUAUUACUAUGGUAAUCAUUGAACUUUAGAAUUGAUGUAAAGCAGAACAUGGAUAUGUAUUAAAAUUUACGGUAUAGAAUAGAUACCAAGCUUGGUUUGUUCCUCGGGGCGAUCAAAUCCAGCGCAAUGCAUUGGGUUAUGAGAAGUGGAAAGCAGUUGCCACUGCUCUUGCCCAAUGGUUAGCUAGGGCCUUUUUCUGGUUCUCUCUCACCCACUUGGGAUGGCACAUUACUUUCUUCCAGCUCUACCAAUAUAAUGAGGCGCCACAUUUUUUGCAUUUUCUCGAGAAAUGAGAAACACCAAGCUGGCUUUACUCAAUGCAUGGCUGAUGUACUAAGCGUAUGUAACAAAAUCAUGGCUGAAGUCUAGCAAUACGAACUAAUGCAUGGCAGAAGUACUAAGAAAAUAUGAAACCAAUGCAUGGCUGACGUAAAUAAAUAAAAAGCCUGGUGUUCAUUUUUAAGUUGUCUAUUCUAGGUUGCCAUAAAAAAAACUUAAUGUCUUUGUAUGAGCUACCUGAUCAGAAAUAAUUUCCUAACUUUUCGAGUGUGGACUUAUAUGCAUCCGUUGCUUAAGAAAAUUAGUGUAUUAUAAGAAUUUCCCUAUUAACGUUGAACAUGACUUUUCUCAUGUUUUUUGCCCCAUAAUGAAAAGUCCACAGAACAUUGCAAUAUUUGAGCAUUGUGGUGGAAGUGAAAAAAGGUUUACCUGUAUAUAGUCCUUCCAGUGAAUAUUAAAGGGAAGUACUUUGCAUAUUUUCCGACACCAAACUGUUCACCUAACUCCAGAAUUUUUGGCACAUCCAGCGAUAUCAAUGCUUUCCACAGCUUACAAUAGUCCAGUCUAAACUUUGGGUCCAAUUCUUUAUAAAUGCCAUGAUCCAACAAAACUGUAAAAGUAUGCACCAUUUUACCAAUUAAAAGCAAUACAAGUUCAUUCUGUCAAAUAGGAAGAGCUGAAUAAACCCAGCCAUUAUGAUAUAAUGAAUAUAGACAAGCAGAAAAUAUCAUGUCACAAAACAAAAGGAGCACCUAAUGAAAAUCUCCCUUGGCCUCGAGGAGAAACCAAUAUGUUUCCAGGAUGAGGAUCACCAUGAACAAAACCAUGUAUAAAUAUCAUUUCACCAAACAGUUCGAUUAAUGCUUUAGCUACCUGGAAGGUACAUAUAGAGGUAAGAGAACACACACGUACAAAAUAGCAGGUCAGUGAGAAAAAUUCAUAUCAUGCACAACAUCAAAUAAAUGAACAUGAAGGGGUGAGCAAAAUAGAUUAGAAGAACCAUUUUUUGCAUCCUUUAGGAAAUAUAAUCUUGUUUAUAUAAUUCCUUGUUAGUGAAUUUUAUAACCAAUAAUAAGUGUCAACUAUACAGGGGUACAAGAAUGGCAUACAAAGCAUAGUAAACAAAAAUGAUGAUACAUGAGAACUAUCGAACUCGAGGCACACUUUUUGUUGGUGGUGUGUGUGUGUGUGUCUGAAGUUUGCUUCUAUGUGUGUCUGAAGUUUGCUUCUAGUUAUUGUCAAAGCAUGUGCGCAAAAAAAAAAUUACUUGGACAAUAGAUACAUCCAUUUUAGGUGUGAGUCUUAAGAAAACCUUUGUUGGGCUGAUAUCUGCCUUCCUUAGGAAGUCCAAGUCAUCAACCUGUCACAACAGUAACACAAGAGGUUAUGUGAAUGUACUCCUCCAUUAUUAGCCACUUCAGAUAUUCCAUUAACUAGAGAUAAUGCUCUCCUCCUCUCUCUUAUGUUUGGAUGAAUCCCCCAUUUUUCUUCCCAGUAUCUUCCAUUUAGUUCAAGGAUUAUUCACAAACAAUAGACGUUAUCCAAUGAUUUGUAAAUUAAGCCCCAAAACAGCCUGUAAGAUUCAGCCAAGGAGUAAUCAUUUACCUUGUCCUUUAAAAAAAACAUUUACCUUGUGGCCGGUACAAAAUUCCAUUGUUAAGACCUCCUUGGUUGUCAGUUCCUGCAACAGCUUCAACUAGUCACAAACUGCUAUACACAAACCUAAACAGUUAACAUCUUAUGCACCAGCAAACUCAAAUAAAAGAAGUAACAGUGAGGCACCUAAACUAUCAGCAUGAGGUUCAACUGUCAAAUACAACCUUACUUCAGUCAGUAUAUGUUUUGACCAUGUAAUGUGGAGAAUUGAACGAAUUAAUGAUUUUGCUAGUUAUUUUAUUUUAUUUUUAUUUUCAAGAGAAGACAAAAGCUUUGCAUGUCGAUGCAUUGAUAGAUAGAAAAGGCAUUUAAAAGGACGCAGCUAAAAAAUUAUAACAACCCACACCACACCUUUAGGCGCUAAGCUCUGCGGGCAGUUACGCUUGCAGGCCUAUCGCUCUUGCUCUAUCCCACAACCUUAUCUCCGCCUGUAUAUAUCUUUCUAAAUAAAGCUAACAAUGGUUUGAAGUUCAAAUAUCGAAUGCUAAAUUAGUAAAUACUGAAAACUAGUUGUUAUCUAAAAAAAAGGGCAACCUGGUGCAUGUAGCUCCCGCUUGCGCAGGGUCCAGGGAAGGGUCCGACCACUUUGGAUCUAUAGUACGCAGCCUUUCCCUACAUUUCUGUAAGAGGCUGUUUCCAGGACUUGAACCCAUGACCUCAUGGUCACAAGGCAGCAGCUUUACCACUGCGCCAAAUUUCAAUCUCAUAAUGGGGAUUGAGGCCGUACCCUAUAAGUGCACCCUUUCCUAAUUGCAUUUCUCCUCAAAAUGUUGUUCAGAUGGACAUGAAAGAAUUGACCUUUAUCUAAUUAGUAGUGGUCACCGGUCAUGAUAUAAUCAAGCAUCUUGUAAAGUUCAACUGAAACUCGACUCAUGUUAGGGGAAACAAGUUCGGUGAAAUUAGCAUUAUUUCAAUUUUUAUCAUUUAUUUUCUUUUCAACCGAAUUCGUCCAUUUUGUUGCUCGAAGUGUAUGCAAUUGAAAAUUAGAUUAGAUUCUGUCCAUGCUAUUCAAUCUUUUUUUGUUUUUCAGGACCAUCUUUCGCACCAUAUGCACAAGAGAAUCUGAUACCACUUACCCUAGAACUUGCCCUUGCAAAUGGAAGUAUUUUUUAUAACAAUGCAAGUUUGUUGGCCUCAUCCAUGCACUAAAAAAGAGCUCGGCAGGCCAGAUCAUGCUUUAGUAAUAGGCUGAUAGUGCGGGGGUCAACACAUCACAUUGGCAUUAACAAAACAUUCAAUAUCUAUGCUUAUCGUGCUGGAGUAACCAAACUACCAUAUGAGCGCACAAGCAUUUUAGUUGUGUUAGGUUUCACACUGAAACCUUGAUGUGCAACACUUUCUAGAGAGGGGCUACCAGCUUAAGUAACACUGGCUGGGCUUUGUGUCAAGAACAGACUACAGUCUACUUGCAUAAGGUUUGUUUUUUGUUCCUCGGCUUAUAGUUGAUGUAAUAAAACAGUUAAACAGUAAGGAUCACAGUUGGAUGCUUAAUACCCAAAACACAUGAGGUAUUUUGACAACAUCAUUUUUCCUGAAGCAUCUUGCAGUUCUCUCGGAAUUCUUAGCUUCUUGGGUAAAAUCUGCAAAGCAUCAAUGCACGUGGUAUAAUUUCUGUAAGGUCCAAAGUCCCAGAUGAGCCAAAGCUAGAUGCAUGUGAACAGUACAAGGAACUUCGUGGGGGAUGAGGAAUAGGAUGCAUCUUAACGUUCCAACUUUUAAACUAUCACGCCGCAGUUAAAGAAUUGGAAGGAUAACUUGCAAUGCAGUUAACCUAGGUAACUCAUAUGUUAUAUACCAUGAAUAUUUCCUUUUUAACUGAUGUUACAUACCAUGAAAUUUUCCUUUUGAUGUGUGUAGGCCCACUUAUGGAUACACUAGACUAUUGUUCUUUUGAUUCAAUGAGGAGUCGAGAACUGAUGGAUAGACAACAGUAGCCAUCUUUAAUGAAUGCAAUAUUUGAUGGUUCUAGAAUAAUGCCUCCACAGAACUGCGAGAGAGGACAAAUGUUCAACCACUUACCCAGUUCCAUUGACAUGGUUCUCUCAAAUUCAAGUAAUAUUUUCUCAAACCUAUAAUCAGGAAAGAUCUGCCAAAAGAAAAGCUCAAUUUAGACUUCACAAAUGAGACACUAAUAAAGUAUUUCAAGGAAGUUCGAACACAUUGUUCUAACUCAAGAUUUAAUUUAAAUACAUGACAAAACAGACAAGCAUGAUAAAAUUAAAUCCGAUCAUAAUGUAGCACCGACAAGAGUCAUUCAACCCUUUCCUUAUUAAGUUGUCCAGUUAUGGCGAACCACCAACUGUUCACUGCUGCCUAAUGCAUACUAACGGCAUGCUACAAGGUAAAAGCAAUGACUUGCUUUAGAUUGAAGGAUAUGUUUGACUUCUUUUUUUCAUCAAUGAUGCCACAAAAGAAACUGACCCAUACAUCCCUCCUUAAAACAUGCAGCGGAACAAGUCAAGCCUAAAACAUGCAGCUGCACAUGUCUUUUUUCAUCAAUGAGCUUUUAUGUUGUCCAAUUGUGGCAACUACCCUCUGAAACAUUUAAUGAAGUACUCCCUCUGUAAACAAAUGUAAGAUGUUUUGGCAGUUUAAUUUAAACUGCCAAAAUGUCUUACAUUUAUUUACAGAGGGAGUACUAGCAUAAAGCUAGUCAGCGAAAAUCAAGGACUUCAACUAUGUUAGUCUCUUUUCCACUACACAAAUUUUGCUGCACGGAGCAGUACUUCAAGUAAAGUUGCUUUUUAACAACAAUCAUGAUCGUUAACAAACCCAGUAGUUGAAUUAAUAUUCUGGAUGAAAUGUAUCCAGCGGCAGAGCCCAAAGCCUUUUUAACAUUAUUAGGUACAAACGAAGUGAAUAAACUAAGCCAGUCAAAUAUUUUGGGCAGCAAGUAGGAAAUAUUAUCUUUGCCAUAAUAAACUGAAAGCCCAAAGUUGAUAUGCGUUACAUACCAAAGAGACAUAUUUUGACAAGAGAGACAUAUGCGUUACAUACCAAAGAGACAUAUUUUGACAAGAGAGACAUAGUCAUUAUGUCUAGCUUCAUUCGCCGCUCCAACCCAGGAUACUGAACCUAAAUGUCAAAAUUAGGAUGAAAUUCCUCAAACAUACUGAUACACGUGGAAUCAACAAGGAUAACUUUUCAGGUCAAUGCAGGCUUUACAGCUGCUACAGGGCAAGUUUGAAAUCAACUAAAAAUGGCAUAUGGUAAUAGCAGGAUAUGUCUAACAAACGGAGGACAAAUAUUUAAUUCAGCAUAUUUUGUUAUUCCAUUACAAAACUAGGUUAUGUUGUUAUACUUGCUGCCUUACUAAAACAACAACAUAAAAACUCCUUUUUUUGCCAAGAACCCAGCAUACCACACUUAUCUUUUGACUCGAAAAGAACUGUGACAACUAACAAAUAUUCAUGUUUAUACCGUUGGAUGGCCCUUAGCUACUUCCUUUAAAAAUCAGCUCAUAAAAGUUUCACAGGGGUAAGGUUAGAGAUUAUGACCUUAUGUAACAAUUAUAGCCUUGAGUUGACCCAUCUGACCACCUUUGUUACACUUUUAAAUGUGAGAAAUGUGAAGACGUGAAUUUAAGCUUAUAUAAACGUUGGAUAAAUGACUACAAUAUGAAAACUGCAACUACCUGAUAAAAGUGAGAAGCUAUUAAUUAUUUAGCUGUCCUCGCAGCAAUUUGAUGUUCAGAGUUUCGUACAGGUCCACACGCCUAAAUAUGGUAGAUGCCUCACCAAGAAAGAAAUCCUACUGGCGGACAAAAACGUGGCAGGUUCAUGCACAAGCUAGAACUCUGGAUGGUGGAUAUCUUGCCCAAAUGCUAUGUCUCUACUUAUUUACUAUUGGAACCAUGAGAAUUACAGUGUGAUGAUGUCUUUCUGGACAUACUUCACCUAUUUACAUAAAUGUUAUUUCAUGUGGACGACAGGGCAUUACACUGAACUUCUUUUGGAAGGAAAAUACACCAAUUUUAGGACCUAAAAUAAACUACACAUUUCAAACAAACAAAAAAAAGAACAGGAAAGAGGUGCAGUGUUAACAGUAAUCUAACCUUUACAGCUACUUCCUGAUUAUUAUUCAACCGACCUCGAUGAACCUGAGCAAUUGAUGCAGCAGCGAUCGGAUGUUCAUCAAAUUCCAGGAAUCUGGUACUCACAUAUUAAUAUUUAAACAUUUUUUGUAAAAGAUUAAGUGACAAAUAAACAGAACAUGUCAGUCAAACAUGAGCUAGAGCUAGUAAAACUGACGCAAGCUCUCGGUUAUCAUUGUAAGCCCAGGGGAUAUCUAGAUUAUACAAAUACACAAGCUUAUCCUCCGUAUGGACGGUUCGCUAAAAUCAACAUCACUAGUUUGAACACGACCAAAUUGGCCGACUGCACUAUAUAAAUUCAGUGCAUUUUGUAGUCAUCAAAUAAUGCAAAUGGCACGAAGAUGAUGCUAACAGUAAACUAAUGUUAACACUAGGCAAACUCAUCACUGUCUAAGCAUCUAAAUUAUGAUUGUACACAAGUUAGAAACAAGCACUUAACACAGGCUGGACAAAAGAUAGUAAGUGAACUGUAGAGCUCACAGCAUGGCCAGAUUCAAAAGAAGCAAAUCACACAGUGGCAAAUACAAGCACAUUCUAUCCUGAUUACAGAGACCCACAACAGAGUAGCCAACUAGUCAUCCCAUGUUACAUUGAAAGGAUGUGAAACCCUUUCCGCUCAAGUGCGUUUUCAGCUAUGCAUAAUGCAUAUAUAAGUUCUUGAGCCUGCAUAAUCAUUCUAAAUAGACGACUGAAUUACAAUGUGAGCAAAUACAACAUUUUUUCUUCUGAAAUAGAACAGAUUACAACGCACUUUCCAAUGAUCACAGCACUGAUGAUUAAAAAAGCAUGAAAUUUCAAUACUUACAUGUCAUGUAAAUCCUUGCCAAAAUUUUGUUCAAUCACUAUUUUGAUAUCUUGAUAUUUGCAUGGAGUUGCCUGAGUUAUUAUAAAAAUGAAAAUGUAAAAGUGAAUAUUUCUGUAUAUAUAUAUGACCUUACACCAACAGCAGGGUAGGUAGAAGUUAUAGCAAACCUGAUCCUGCAGGCAGGAGAGAGUAGAUAUGUACUCCUUUGGUACUUGUCUUAGUGAUGAAACAAACUGACCAGCUUUUACAUAAAAUCCUCUGUUCACUUUACAUAGUCUAAGUAGCUUUUUUGCUGACCUCAAGUGAACCUACAACAGGCAAGGAAAAUACAGUACAGCAUGUAACUCUGAUCUGACAAAACUCGAGUUCUAGAAUACAUGGUCUACUCAUAUAGGGCAUCAGAGCAUCAUAUUGUGCAAAUUGAUUUCCAAAAAAUGAGUGAAAAAGGGAAGAGGUCUACACAUCUAGCAAAAUACUGGAUGUAAUUACACGUUUGCAUAAGAGAACACUAAAAUUAUGUCAUGAUAGCUCAUCCAAAACCAAGGGAAAAUAGGCCAUGACAUUUGAAAUGACCCAUAGCCACUCAUGAUGUCGUCUCAAAUAGGUAAGGAGUGCAUCCAAAUUCAUUAGAUGCGGGUAUCUAGCACAAUUAAGCGGCAACAUAUACUUUGCCCACAAAACCAUCUUAAGUCACCCCCCUCUCCCAACCAAGAGUAACAUUCAUAUGGCGAAUUGCUAGUCCAAAGUAUUAUGUCGUAUCAAAAUGAAACGGAGUCCUGUUCUGAACAAUACAACCAGAAAUCUCUGGCCGGGCCGCUGUAACCUACAGUACCAUCUAGCGCAAACUUGCCAAUCCUGAAUCACUUUCUUAGUUUCUUUUGCUAAGAACAUCACAGCACGAGAACCAACAAACGAAAUUGCACAUGCCCUUCGCCUGUAAGGCUGUAACAAGCUUGCACGCAAGCGGCACACCACCAUCCCGUGCAGAAUACAUACCUCGGAGAGCUUACCCCGGUAAUCUGCCGACCCAGGAACCAGCCCCCGCAGCGAGUAUUUGUAGUCCAGGACCACGAAGCCAAUCUGAAGCAACCAGUCAAUCGGCAAAAGUGAGCAUGGGCAGCCACUGUCAGUUCCAGAGCAGACGUGGCAUUUCGCAAACCGUGUAAAUGGCGCGGGAGGAGCGGGCGACGCCGUGGAGCGUGGAGGGAGCGCCGAGGCCGUCGGUGGAAGGGGAGGCGGUGGACGUGGCCGCCAGCGCCGCGCCCGCCGCGGCCGCGAGGAGGAGCGGGGCGCGGCGGCGGCGGAGCAUUUGGGCGUGCAGUAGGGGGUUAUUAUGGGUUUGCCCCUUUGGGCGGGUAGCUUGGAUUCGAGGACGUUGGAAAAGGAGGAGACCCAGGUCAGGGGCAUCCGGAGCGUUUUGGAUCCAAUUCCAAGCUGCUCUGGUGAGGUCAGAGCAGCUCAGAAUCGGCACAUCCGUGUAUAUACUCGGUAGAACGUGGGUCUUCAAAAUUUGACGUCGUAGGUUCAAAUCCCACAGAGCAAAUUGAUUAUACGACACAUUUUUCCUCGGACUUUGAUCUGAUGACACAUCUUUCUUUUAAUUUGAUUAGAUGGCACACCUUUGAUUGAGAGCUAGAUUAAAGGCAGGUGAUACCCGUAGCCAUCCGAUUGGUGCAUGGAUAACCGUUCGAUGCAGCUGCUGUUUCAGUCAACGCACGCCCCUAUGACGGAUUCUGCAUCUAGUCGCUCGAUUCCGCAUCUCGUUGGCCGCACGCGCUUGCCGGUCGCCAUGGUCACCAGUCGUCCUGGUUGCCGGUCGCCACACCCGUCGCCUGUAUUUGCGGCUGACUCAACGCAUGCAACAGCUGCGGUUUGCGGUUGCAGCUCCGGUGGCGACGGCCGCAGCUCGCCGGCGUGCUCGCCGGCGUGCUCGCCGUCGUCCGCUUGGUCCGAUCCAGACCGUUUAGGCCUUAUCUUCUUCCCCCAGCGAAAACGAUUCUCCCAGCGAAGCUUUCCUUCCCACGCACAUGGAAGCACAGCAAAAAGAGUGGAGGUUGUGGUUGUACGUGAUCCGUCAUCAUCGCUGUUGUAGGAAGCACCGUCCAGCAGCUCCACCUUCCAAAAAAAUGUUUGCAGCUCCACCUCCAAUGACGAGCCAACGUCAGAGCAAACGUCAACGCCGGUGAUAGAAAAAGACGACGAUGGAUGCAACAAAAAUGUUGUCGCCAUCGCAGCUCAGGGCGUCGUCAUCACUCAUGAAUGGUUGCAGCAAAACUUCACGUCGAUCAUAGCAAAAAGGACGAUGGAUGCAGCAAAACUUCGUCACCGUCGCCGGGGGUCGCAGCUAAGUCAUAAAAAAUGGAUGUAGCAAAUUUGCUUGCCGGUUGUCGCACUAUUGGUCGCCGGUCGUAGCACAUUUGGGCAUCGCUGGGCCAUGGCCGGGGAGUGGUCGCUGGUUCUAGCAAAACUCGAAAAGCCGGUUAUAGCAAAACUAAGCGCUGGUUCCAGCAAAACUCAAAUACAGUGGUAGCAGAAAUGUGUUGGUUCCAACAAAAACAGAAAAACGAUGGUAACAAGAAUGGAUACUAGUUCCAGCAAAAAAUCAACCCGGUGGUAGCCAAAAAAAAUGUUGUUUCCAGCAACAACAAAAGAUCCACGGCCAGGGGAGCGGCCUCCUGUCACAGGCUCACAACACCGUAGUAUUGCGCGUUGCCGGCCAUGGAUGCAGCUCCGACCAUGGAAGCAACUUCGCCGGCCCUGGAUGCAGCUCCGACCAUGGACGCAACUUCGUCGUCCAUGCCCGUUGUAGCUCCGGGCACCACGGAGCAAAUAGGAAAUGCAGUUGAUAGCGGGGAAAUCGAGUGGAGGACACUGGCUCGGGGGUCGGCUUCGGGGGUGCUCACCAGAGAAGAAGAGGGGGGCUCGCUGGAGGAGAUCGCCGGGUCAGACUUCCAUGGCAGCUGGGGGAGGUUAGGAGAAAAGAAAAGGGAUCCAGGAAAAGGGAAGGAGAAGGACGCAGGGGACGGGGAAAGAGAUAACGUGGUGGGCCCUCCCUAUUUGAUUAGUUGUAACCAGCACGCAUGGAUGAGACCGGCCGAAGCGUUCGGCCGGCUCAUUGUACUCAAGCGUUUCCCUAGAUUAAAUGACACAAAUCAUGUUUUCUCUCCUUUUCUAGGUAUGGGCCCCUACAUCAUAUUUUAUAGGACGAUUUCACCCCUAGCCGUCUCACCUGGCUCGAUAGCUGGUUGGAUCGAUCGUUCCUGGAAGAGCCCAAACACGCCACGAUCAGUACAUGCAUGCAGGCGUACAUAUAGGGCGUGUUUGUUUGCCGUGCGCUACAGUACUCGCAUUGCAUACACUUCUCCACCCAACUUGACUAUGCAAAUCCAGCUUCAAAUGCACCAUCUGCAUGUUGUUUGGUUGCCUGCAUGGACAGAACCACACUGCCUGGUGUUUGGUUGCCUGCAUGUUGGUGGACAAACCCAAAGCAUGGUGUUUGGUUGUAUGCAACGCCUGAUGUGUGGUAACCUCUUGGCUAGUUGGUGAGGUUACCACCACACUUCGGCAGCACACAUCAUAAGCACAACAGAGUAUAAACAGAGCAUCAACUAGCAUAAUUCAGAUAUAAGCAGUACCACACUUCAUAACAAUUCAACUCAUAAACCAUAAACAUGUUCAAAGCAGACUCGAUAGUACGCUGGAAAGAGGUGGCCCGGCCCUACUCCUUGGCGGCGAAGGCUUCGUCGUGCUUCCCGCACUUGUUGACGACCUCAAAGCCAUCCUCGUCGAAGAUGAUGACCUUGAGGGUGUCGGGAGUCAGGAGCUUGAACGUCACCAUGUAGCCGAUCUUGAUCUGAUGAACGGCUUCGUAGGUGGCCCAACCCUGAUCCAGGGUCACCCUGUCAUUCAUCAACUUGACCGUCACCUUCCAGGAGCAGUCGGUGUUGUUCCUAAGCUUGAACUCCGUCGGCACUGCGACGAAGUGCUUGGUGAAGUCCAGGGGCAUGGGGAUGCACUCAAGUUUCGGUGCAAGGAUAACCUUGCAGAAGUGAGUUGGGCCAUCCUCCUGAUGAUAGUGCUCGUAGUUGCGGCUCUUGUUGCUGGGGGCUCCUCCAUGCCCUCGUCGUCGCCACCCUCAGGUGUCUUCGGGUCUUCCUCGGCGGUGGGCGGCAGCACAACCUCGUCUGGCAUUGGGUGAAGGGGCUGCUUGCCCUUGUUGUCAAGGGUUGGGAGCACCUCUGUUCCAUCUCAUUACUCUCCUCGAUCUGCACACAAUUCAUGGAGUCAAGCACAGCACGAAGUUCAUGGCUAAUUGAAGAGCAUGUAGUUAAAACAGCAUGACUGUCACUCUUCUCCUCCUCUGCACCCCCCUAUAUUUACUCGCCCUGCCCACCACUACUUACCCACCCCCUGUCUUCUCUCACUGUUGAUACGUCUCCAAUGUAUCUAUAAUUUUUGAUUAUUCCAUGCUAUUAUAUCAUCAACCUUGGAUGUUUUAUAUGCAUUUAUAUGCUAUUUUAUAUGAUUUUUUGGACUAACCUAAUAACCUAGAGCCCAGUGUCGGUUUCUGUUUUUUCCUUGUUUUUGAGUUUUACAGGAAAGGAAAAUCAAACGGAGUCCAAUUGACCUGAAACUUCACGGAACUUAUUUUUGGACUAGAAGAAGGCCAUGGAGUAAAAGAGUUGGGCCAGAAGAGUUCCAGGCUGCCCACGAGGGUGGGGGCGCGCCCACCCCCUGGGCGCGCCUCCCUACCUCGUGGACAGUCUGGAGACCCCCUGACUUGUUCUCGACGCCAAAACCUCUUAUAUAUACUAAAACCUCCAGAACAUAACCUAGAUCGGGAGUUCCACCGCCGCAAGCCUCUUUAGCCACCAAAAACCAAUCUAGACCCGUUCUGGCACCCUGCCGGAGGGGCAAAUCCCUCUCCGGUGGCCAUCUUCAUCAUCCCGGCGCUCUCCAUGACGAGGAGGGAGUAUUUCUCCCUCGGGGCUGAGGGUAUGUACCAGUAGCUAUGUGCUUGAUCUCUCUCUCUCUCUCUCUCUCGUGUUCUUGAUUCAGAAUGAUCUUGAUGUAUCACGAGCUUUGCUAUUAUAGUUGGAUCUUAUGAUGUUUCUCCCCCUCUACUAUCUUGUGAUGAAUUGAGUUUUCCCUUUGAAGUUAUCUUAUCGGAUUGAGUCUUUAAGGAUUUGAGAACACUUGAUGUAUGUCUUGCAUGUGCUUAUCUGUGGUGACAAUGGGAUAUCACGCGAUCCACCUGAUGUAUGUUUUGGUGAUCAACUUGCGAGUUCUGUGACCUCGUGAACUUAUGCAUAGGGGUUGGCACACGUUUUCGUCUUGACUCUUUGGUAGAAACUUUGGGGCACUCUUUGAAGUACUUUGUGUUGGUUUGAAUAGAUGAAUCUGAGAUUGUGUGAUGCAUAUCGUAUAAUCAUACCCACGGAUACUUGAGAUGACAUUGGAGUAUCUAGGUGACAUUAGGGUUUUGGUUGAUUUGUGUCUUAAGGUGUUAUUCUAGUAUGAACUUUAUGAUAGAUUGAACGGAAAGAAUAGCUUCGUGUUAUUUUACUACGGACUCUUGAAUAGAUCGACCAGAAAGGAUAACUUUGAGGUGGUUUCGUACCCUACAAUAAUCUCUUCGUUUGUUCUCCGGUAUUAGUGACUUUGGAGUGACUCUUUGUUGCAUGCUGAGGGAUAGUUAUAUGAUCCAAAUAUGUUAUUAUUGUUUAGAGAAUUUGCACUAGUGAAAGUAUGAACCUUAGGCCUUGUUUCCUAGCAUCGCAAUACCGUCUGUGCUCACUUUUACCACUUGCUACCUUGUUGCUUUUAUAUUUUCAGAUUACAAAAACCUUUAUCUACCACCCAUAUUGCACUUGUAUCACCAUCUUUUAGAGAGUCUUCACAUAGUUGCAUAAUUAUUCAACUACUCAUUGUGCUUCGCUUAUAUCUUUCAGAGUAGUUUGUCGUUUGCUCUAGUGCUUCACUUAUAUCUUCUUAGAGCACGGCGGUAGUUUUAUUUUGAAGAAAUUGUUGAACUCUCAUGCUUCACUUAUAUUAUUUUGAGAGUAUUUUAGAACAGCAUGGUAGUUAGCUUUGGUUAUGAAACUAGUCCUAAUAUGAUGGGCAUCCAAGAUGGGUAUAAUAAAAACUUUCAUAUAGAGUGCAUUGAAUACUAUGAGAAGUUUGAUACUUGAUAAUUGUUUUGAGAUAUAAAGAUGGUGAUAUUAGAGUUGUGCUAGUUGAGUAAUUGUGAAAUUAAGAAAUACUUGUGUUGAGGUUUGCAAGUCCCGUAUCAUGCACGUAUGUUAACCGUUGUGUGACAAAUUUGAAGCAUGAGGUGUUUUUUGAUUGCCUUCCUUAUGAGUGGCGGCCGGGGACGAGCGAUGGUCUUUUCCUACCAAUCUAUCCCCCUAGGAGCAUGCGCGUAAUGUUUGGUUUUUGAUGACUUGUAGAUUUUUGCAAUAAGUAUGUGAGUUCUUUAUGACUAAUGUCGAGUUCAUGGAUUAUACGCACUCUCAUCCUUCCAUCAUUGCUAGCCUCUUCGGUACCAUGCAUUGCCUUUCUCACCUCGAGAGUUGGUGCAAACUCCGCCGGUGUAUCCAAACCCCGUGAUAUGAUACACUCUGUCACACAUAAAUCUCCUUAUAUCUUCCUCAAAACAGUCACCAUACCUACCUAUUAUGGCAUUUCCAUAGUCAUUUCGAGAUAUAUUGCCAUGCAACUUUCCACCGUCCCGUUCAUCAUGACACACAUCAUCAUUGUCAUAUUACCUUGCAUGAUCAUGUAGUUGACAUCGUAUUUGUGGAAAAGACACCAUGCAUAAUUUGUCAUACAUGUCACUCUUGAUUCAUAGCCCAUCCUGGUACACCGUCGGAGGCAUUCAUAUAGAGUCAUAUUUUGUUCUAGUAUCGAGUUGUAAUCUUUGAGUUGUAAAUAAAUAGAAGUGUGAUGAUCAUCAUUAAUAGAGCAUUGUCCGAAAAAAAGAAAAAAAGGAAAGGCCAAAUAAAAAAAGGCCAAAAAAGGGGGGCCAAAUAAAAAAAGAAAUAAGAAGGGACAAUGCUACUAUCCUUUUUCCACACUUGUGCUUCAAAAUAGCACCAUGAUCUUCAUGAUAGAGAGUCUCUUGUUUUGUCACUUUCAUUUUUCAUUAUAGAACUUGGCUUGUAUAUUCCAACAAAGGGCUUCCUCAAAUGCCCCAGGUCUUCGUGAACAAGCAAGUUGGAUGCACACCCACUUAAUUUCUUUUGUUGAGCUUUCAUACAUUUAUAGCUCUAGUGCAUCUGUUGCAUGGCAAUCCCUACUCCUCGCAUUGACAUCAAUUAAUGGGCAUCUCCAUAGCCCGUUGAUUAGCCGCGUCAAUGUGAGACUUUCUCCUUUUUUGUCUUCUCCACAUAACCUCCAUCAUCAUAUUCUAUUCCACCCAUAGUGCUAUAUCCAUGGCUCACGCUCAUGUAUUGCGUGAAAGUUGAAAAAAGUUUGAGAUUACUAAAGUAUGAAACAAUUGCUUGGCUUGUCAUCGGGGUUGUGCAUGAUGAGAGCAUUUUUGUGUGACGAAAGUGAAGCAUAGCCAAACUAUAUGAUUUUGUAGGGAUAAGCUUUCUUUGGCCAUGUUAUUUUGAGAAGACAUAAUUGCUUAGUUAGUAUGCUUGAAGUAUUAUUAUUUUUAUGUCAAUAUUAAACUUUUAUCUUGAAUCUUAGGAAUCUGAAUAUUCUUGCCACAAUAAAUAAGAUUACAUUGAUAAAUAUGUUAGGUAGUAUUCCACAUCAAAAAUUCUGUUUUUAUCAUUUACCUACUCGAGGACGAGCAGGAAUUAAGCUUGGGGAUGCUUAAUACGUCUCCAACGUAUCUAUAAUUUUUGAUUGUUCUAUGCUAUUAUAUUAUCAACCUUGGAUGUUUUAUAUGCAUUUAUAUGCUAUUUUAUAUGAUUUUUGGGACUAGCCUAUUAACCUAGAGCCCAGUACCAGUUUCUGUUUUUUCCUUGUUUUUGAGUUUUACAGAAAAGGAAAAUCAAACGGAGUCCAAUUGACCUGAAACUUCACGGAACUUAUUUUUGGACUAGAAGAAGUCCAUGGAGUAAAAGAGUUGGGCCAGAAGAGUCCCGGGCUAACCACGAGGGUGGGGGUCGCGCCUCCCUACCUCGUGGACAGCCCGGAGACCCCCUGACUUGUUCGCGAUGCCAAAACCUCUUAUAUAUACUGAAACCUCCAAAACAUAACCUAGAUCGGGAGUUCUACCACCGCAAACCUCUGUAGCCACCUAAAACCAAUCUAGACCUGUUCCGGCACCCUGUCAGAGGGGGGAAUCCCUCUCCAGUGGCCAUCUUCAUCAUCCCAGCGCUCUCCAUGACGAGGAGGGAGUAGUUCUCCCUCGGGGCUGAGGGUAUGUAUGAUACGUCUCCAACGUAUCUGUCGGGGAUAUACCCCGUGAUAUGACCUGGCCGGAAGUAUGACCCGGCCGGACUUGGCGAUUCACUAGAGACCCACCCUGACUUGGCGACUCACUAAGUGACCCGUCCGGUUCGUCUCUCCACUCACUGAUGACCCGGCUGGGCCAGGUGACUCAUUGGUGACCCGGACGGUGGAGCAAAGGAGCAACAAGACCCGGUGGCCAAAGAAGACGGUUCAUGGAAGGCCGGCUCGUAUUAUGGUGGGCUGACUUAAGAGGAAAGCAUAAGGAAUAUUCCCUUACAAAGGAAGCAAGACUAGGACUCCACUUGUAAUAGAGUAAUCCUAAUUCUAAUAGGACUAGUCAUGUAAACCGCCCCUUCAACAUAUAUAAGGAGGGGCAGGGCACCCCAAGAGGGACAAGAUUCACUAGUUCCACGAGUUGGACAAGUUAGGUUUAGACAGACAAAUCAAUAGCUCUUGAGAUAGAGCACCCUUGUAACCGUGAUCAUCAAUAUCAAUGAAGCAGGAUGUAGGCUUUUACCUCCACCGCGAGGGGCCGAACCUGGGUAAAACCUUGCGUCUCUCGAUUCCGACCAACCCCUUCAAGCUACUACAUAGAUGCGUUGGCCUCACGACCAAGUCCUCACACUAGGACAUCUGCCGUGACAAUUCCACGACAGUUGGCGUCCACCGUGGGGUUCGCGCACGGUGGUGAUGAGUUCUUGAAGGGAUCUCUCCUAGGGUUUGAGAAACUCGCGAUUUCGUUGGAUGAGGAAAAGCCAACAAGUUCGUUGUUUUGUGAUUUGAGACAUGAUUAACUUUGGAGCCAGGGGAUACAAGAUUGAGAUCAAAGAAAUUAGGGGUGUAUCUUGUGCACCGCCACAAGUCGUCAGAUCAAUUUUGUAAACCGCCGCAAGCCGCCUUCUCAAGGCCUGCAAGAAUUUCUGCUAUAAGUUUCGAGGCUUACAGUAGCCGUGUCCGACUGCUAUUGUUUCUGAGGUAUAAUGGAUCAAAUUUGGAGCCGGCCGACCGUGGCGCACUGGAAAACGCGGGUUUCCUAGUAAUAUUUUAUGUGGUCUUGGACAGCCGGCCGGCGGCAAUUGCUGCAGGACUAUCCAAACGUAACUGCAUGCAGUAGUGCCCAAGUCUCAAUCUAUGUCAGGAUCAAUCACAUGGUGUGUUAAUACUACAGUACGAGCGAGAGAAAGAGAGCCAGGAUUUCUGUGGAGAUACGGAUCGAGGAGACGAUCAUUACAAAAAAGGAAAUAUGAGUAUAUACAGAAAGGGAUUACGUCCUAAAGCAGGAAACCUGGUUGGUCAAACCUGACUGAUGGAAAUAAACUGCUACUCCUUCCGUUCCAAAUUACUUGUCUUGGAUUUGUCUAGAUACGGAUGUAUCUAGACUAAUUUUAGUGCUAGAUACCUCCGUAUCUAGACAAAUCUAAAACAAGGAAUUCAGAACGGAGGGAGUACAACCGAAAGAAGGACGGGGACUCGGAUUUUGACAUCUCCACAUUCUCCGCCCCUCUGCAGACUGCACCUCGACCCGCCCGGUUCGCCUUGCCGUCAACCCGCCGAUGAGUCCUUACGACCCGCCGUUCGCUGCCGGGUGAACCGCCAGGCUGCCGUGCCUCGCCUGAUGAGCCACCCCACUGCACCUGAGCGUUUCCUCGACUCGCCAUAUCAGUUUGCCUUGUUGAGCCGCCUGACGCUUUGCGCCUUUGCCGCCGUCUUAUCCAUGCAAUGGGCCGCCCACCGCUGCGGGCCUGAUUCUCCCACCGCUACCGAGUCGCCUUCGGGUCUCGCCGCUGCUUAGUAGCCAUCGCGCUCGCCCCCUUAAGAGUCGCCGUCAAUGUUGCCGAGGCAUCUCUUAUCCGAGCAGCCGCGCUUCAAAAUGCUACUGGUCUCCUUGACACGCCAGAGCCCUGCGCUUGGCCUGCCGGCAUGCGCCUGCAAGCCGGCCUGCUUGCCUUGCCCUUAGGUCGCCACCAUGGCCUCUCAAUUAUUACCACUGCAGUCUCGUGCCGUCCGAGCCGUAUAUACUUCAGAUAAGACUCCCUUUGUGGACUCGCGCCUCUCCGUGUCGUGUUCCACGCUGCGCUAAGUCACCGGCCUCACCAGUCGCCUCCGCCUUAUGUGAGUCGCCGCUCCAGCCGUGCGACCCGCCACUUGCAAAGCCGCGUCUACCGCGGGAUCGCUCCGGGUCACUACCUCCACUGGUCUGAGCCGUCGUGCUCCCCGCUGGUUCUCCUCGACAAACCCCCGCCAGCUGUCAUCCGUGCGGUAACCCGGUCUCCCAAAUCACCGUUUUUCCAAGUCGGUCGCCGCCGAGCCUUGAGCCGCCUGUUGGUCUCUCGAGCCUCAAGAGACCCGCCCCCACGGACCUGCCAAGUCGCCAGUUUCCAAGGUGUUACCACGAUCACGCGACGAGUCGCCCGAACCACAGUAACUCGCUUCCGAGCGCCUCUCGGCUUGAUUCCGCUCCAAACCGCCUCGCUCAUUCUGCGGGCUGUGCCACAGCGGGUUGGUUGCCUGCCGUCGAUCUUCACCCGCUGUUUGCCGGCUCACUCCGACUGAGCCCUACCUCCACCGAUCAGCCGUCAUGGAUUGGCCUUGCCAUAUGUGCUGGUGCUCUGUUCCAGCCGCUGCGGUUUACUUUUGCCUUGGGCUUGCUCCAAUCGCCACCACGACGCGCCGCUAGUUCACCGCUAUUGUUGGGUCUGUAUGUGCCGGCCACCGCUGGGUCUGCUCCGCUCUGGCGCUCUUCCAUGGACUCCGACCUGCUGUCGGUUUACUGCGCCUGCAUACCCGUCUCUUAAGCAUAUAUGUCAGACAAGCAAAGCAAUAUGCUCAUCAAUACACACAAACAGAUUCAGCCAGAGUGCUAAUGGGUUCAAGCAAUCACAGCCCACGGCCGCUUCGAGUUGCUGCGGUCCACGAUCACUUUGAGCCGCCGCGCUGAGUAGCCGUCUCUACUUCACUUCUGAGCCGCUAGACGCUCCGAGCUGCCCCGAGUCUCAGCGGUCUCUGCACUUCGAGCCGCCUACUAUCACGGCCGGAGCUAAGUCACCGCCGUCCGUCUGCUUAAAGAGCCGCCGGUGUGGCUUUUCUUCGCCAAGUUAGCUACAUUUCUCAGCUGACUUUUUAGUUUUGGUUCAGUCGAAUUACUAGUCAUUGGAUUUUGCUUUGAGAUUUGUGCCUUGUUUUUCUUUUUCCUGUGUUAGCUGGUCCAGCUGGUGUUGGGGAACGUAGUAAUUUCAAAAAAAUUCCUACGCACACGCAAGAUCAUGGUGAUGCAUAGCAACUAGAGGGGAGAGUGUUGUCUACGUACCCUCGUAGACCGUUCGCGGAAGCGUUAUAUCAACGCGGUUGAUGUAGUCGUACGUCUUCACGAUCCGACCGAUCCAAGUACCGAAAGCACGGCACCUCUGAGUUCUGCACAUGUUCGGCUCGGUGACGUCCUCGCCUUCUCGAUCCAGCAAGAGAGGCGAAGUAGUAGAUGAGUUCCAGCAGCACGACGGCGUGGUGACGGUGUUGGUGAAGAACAAUCUCCGCAGGGCUUCGCCUAAGCACUACGAAAACUAUGACGGAGGAUAAACUAGAGGGGACGGGGUUGCCGGCACACGGCUUGGUGUUUCUUGAUGUGUCUUUGAUGCUAGCCCUACCCCUCUAUUUAUAUGUUGAGCCCUGGGGUCGAAACUUGGAGUAAAAGCCUCCUCAAAGUCGGUUUCACCCGAAAGGCAAGAGUCCUUCUCGGACUCCAGGGCUAGACGCCAGGGUUCCCGGCGUCUACCCCCUAGACGCCAGGGUUCCUGGCGUCUAGCCUCUGGUCUGCGCAAAACUUCCUUUUGCACUUUCCAAAAGCCUCGCGGGCUUUCCCCUUUGGCCCAGAUAAAGUGUUCUCGUGCCCAAACAUUUCAGGAAACAUCUGGAACCCCUUCCGGUGAAUUCCAAAACCCUUCCGGAGGUCAAACACUACUAUCCCAUAUAUCAAACUUUAUCUCCGGACCAUUCCGGAGUUCCUCGUCAUGUCUAUGAUCUCAUCUCGGACUCCGAACAACAUUCGGUCAUCAACAUACAUAACUCAUAUAGUACUAUAUCAUCAACGAACGUUAAGCGUGCGGACCCUACGGGUUCGAGAACUAUGUAGACAUGACCGAGACACCUCUCUGGUCAAUAACCAAUAGCAUGACCUGGAUGCCCAUAUUGGCUCCUACAUAUUCUACGAAGAUCUUUAUCGGUCAGACCGCAUAACAACAUACGUUGUUCCCUUUGUCAUCGGUAUGUUACUUGCCCGAGAUUCGAUCGUCGGUAUCUCAAUACCUAGUUCAAUCUCGUUACUGGCAAGUCUCUUUACUCGUUCCGUAAUACAUCAUCCCGCAACUAACUCAUUAGUUGCAAUGCUUGCAAGGCUUAUAGUGAUGUGCAUUACCGAGUGGGCCCAGAGAUACCUCUCCGAUAAUCGGAAUGACAAAUCCUAAUCUCGAAAUACGCCAACCCAACAAGUACCUUUGGAGACACCUGUAGAGCACCUUUAUAAUCACCCAGUUACGUUGUGACGUUUGGUGGCACACAAAGUGUUCCUCCGGUAAACGGGAGUUGCAUAAUCUCAUAGUCAUAGGAACAUGUAUAAGUCAUGAAGAAAGCAAUAGCAACAAACUAAACGAUCAAGUGUUAUGCUAACAGAAUGGGUCAAGUCAAUCACAUCAUUCUCCUAAUGAUGUGAACCCGUUAAUCAAAUGACAACUCAUGUCUAUGGUUAGGAAACAUAACCAUCUUUGAUCAACGAGUUAGUCAAAUAGAGGCAUACUAGUGACACUCUGUUUGUCUAUGUAUUCACACAUGUAUUAUGUUUCUGGUUAAUACAAUUCUAGCAUGAAUAAUAAACAUUUAUCAUGAUAUAAGGAAAUAAAUAAUAACUUUAUUAUUGCCUCUAGGGCAUAUUUCCUUCAGCUGGGCUGCGUCGAAAUCGACUGACGCUUUGUUGUGGUUCAGUCGAUUCUGUGUUCGGGCUCGUUCUGCUUUCGGGUGCCCGUUUUCUGAUGGUUCGGCUCCCGUUAACAGGCUGCCAGCCUAGCCUGUUGCAGUGGAUAUCAAGCGUCGGCCAUUCUCAUCUCUUAUCUCCUCGCUUCUAGUAUCCUGUCUGUCACUUUCCCCUCUCAGUUUCAGUCUCUCUUCUCCUCCAUGUGUCGUCUCCUCUUCCUAUGCAGAGCUAGGUGUCGGUGUCAAAACCGGCGGAUCUCGGGUAGGGGGUCCCGAACUAUGCGUCUAGGCCGGAUGGUAACAGGAGGCAGGGGACUCGAUGUUUUACCCAGGUUCGGGCCCUCUUGAUGGAGGUAAAACCCUACGUCCUGCUUGAUUAAUAUUGAUGAUAUGGGUAGUACAAGAGUAGAUCUACCACGAGAUCAAGGAGGCUAAACCCUAGAAGCUAGCCUAUGGUAUGAUUGUUGUCUGUCCUACGAACAAAAACCCUCCGGUUUAUAUAGACAACGGAGAGGGCUAGGGUUACACAGAGUCGGUUACAAUGGUAGGAGAUCUACAUAUCGCAUCGCCAAACUUGCCUUCCACGCCAAGGAAAGUCCCUUCCGGACACGGGUCGAAGUCUUCAAUCUUGUAUCUUCAUAGUCCAGGAGUCCGGCCGAAGGUAUAGUCCGGCUAUCCGGACACCCCCUAAUCCAGGACUCCCUCAGUAGCCCCUGAACCAGGCUUCAAUGACGACGAGUCCGGCACGCAGAUUGUCUUCGGCAUUGCAAGGCGGGUUCCUCCUCCAAGUACUUCAUAGAAGAUUUUGAACACAAAGGUAGUGUCCGGCCUGCAAAAUAAGUUUCCACAUGUUGCCAUAGAGAGAAUAAUAUUUACACAAAUCUAAUCUGCUGACGUAUUCCAUAGCGUGGCAUCACACCACGUCCAAGUCCUUAUUUGAAUCGUUUUACUGUUCCACCUCAGCGCAUUUAGCGAGGCGGUUUCCUUGGCACGUCUUGUCAAAUCAGAGAUCAUGUCCCCUUAUUCCGGAAUUCUCAUCAAUACGGGCGUGGGUAACCCAACCGCGCCAUUGAUUACGGCGCCCAGGAGAUAAGCGAGUUUUACCAGGCUGGUGGGGACGCAUAGUCGCGUCCAUUCAUAUAAGGGGAUAAGGAUCCACCUUUUCAUCCACGCCUUCUUCCUCCUUUGCCUAUCCAUUUCCGCGCACUCGAGCUCUAGCACCCAAGUCCGCACACCCCACCUCAACCUUCUCCAGCCAUGUCCGGAGCGGGAGGCAAGUGGAUGGUCUCCUCCGUCACGGAGGGACACAUCAAAAGACUGAGGAAGGCCGGAUACUUGUCUAACGACAUUGCGCACCGGCUUCCCGAAGUAAGGGGCAGCUCAUCCCCACCCCUAGGACCCAUGAGAGGGUGGUGUUCCUCCCCCAUUUCCUCCGCGGACUGGGCUUCCCUCUCCACCCAUUUGUCCGGGGGCUCAUGUUCUACUAUGGCCUGGAUUUCCACGAUCUAGCCCCGAACUUUGUCCUCAACAUCUCGGCAUUUAUCGUCGUGUGCGAGGCCUUCCUUCGCAUCCGCCCCCAUUUCGGCCUAUGGCUCAAGACUUUCAAUGUCAAGCCGAAGGUGGUGCUCGGCACCCAGGCGGAGUGCGGAGGCGCCAUGGUGGGCAAGAUGCCCAACGUCCUAUGGCUCGAGGGCUCCUUCGUGGAGACCCUAAAGGGGUGGCAAUCGGGAUGGUUUUACAUCACCGAGCCGCGCGACCCUGAAUGGGUCGCAGCCCCUGAGUUCCGAUCCGAACCCCCUACGCGGCUCACCUCCUGGAAAGAGACGGGCCUGUCGUGGAGUAAAAAAAGAGAACUGACCGGACUCCAAACAUGCGUCCAAACCCUGGUGGAUAAGAAGCUCAAACUUGUCAACGUAGUCCAGGUUAUGCUCAUCCAUCGGAUCCUCCCGUGUCAACAACGGGCUUUCAACCUGUGGGAGUUCGACCCAGCGCAGCACCGAACUCUGAGAAGGAUCUUCGACACGACGUACGAAGAUGCCUGGAAGGUGCUUUUCAAGGGCGCCGAGGCCCCCGCAUCUGCUACCGAGGAUCACGGAUUCAGUACGCAGCGUCACACUAGUGCGGUAAGCUGUUUUCACCUUUUAUAGGGUAUUAGUUUUUCAUAGUUUGACUCCAUGCGGGAUCUAAGCUCCCUUACCUUUGAUAGGAUUGGCAGAAGACGUCCGGACAGAUCAACUGUCCGGCUCCUUUGCCCGAAGGCCCAGCGGACGCUCGCUUGGCGAAACUGCUGGUUCCGGCACCCUAUGUGGUGUCGGAGAAGAAGGCCAAGAAGAAGGCCACGGGGGCUCGAAAGAGUGCCCAGUGCUUGGGGGUGUCGGAUUCAUCAUCCGACGACUCCAAGACGCACUCCUCUCGUGAAGACAAGGAGGAGGAAGAAGAAACCUCUCCCCCUCCAGCAGGGGGAGAGAAGAAAAGGAAGGCCGCCCCAACUGGGGAGACCGAAGGGUCCAAGAAGGGGAAAACCCUUCCUCCGGACGGCUCCACCAACGCCGACGACGGCGAAGAGGAGUGGCCGUACAGGGCCAAGCCCCUGGCGAGAUCGUAAGUAUCCGGAUACCAGAGUGAUUCAUAGUAUUCCUCCAUUGCACAACUUUUCCUUAUGUCGAACAUGUUUAUGCAGUCCACCCAAAGAACGGCUCGACGUGUCGUCGAGCGGUUCCCUGGAUUCAUUGGAUGUGAAUUCUCUUCCGACGGCUACCUCCCCCACCCUACGGACGAUGCUGAGGUGCUGUCCCAACAGGUUCCAAGCCAGGAGGAGGUGGUCCUGGAGGCACCGCAAGGCGACCUUCCGGACUCCAGGUGCGAAGGGGAUAAAACCCCCAAGGGCUCCGAGUCUGGCCUUGAGCCGGACACCGCGCUAGAACCUUCAACGGUUCCAGACUUCGGUAGGCAGCCUCCUUCCAAGAGGAGCAAGCCUACCGAGCCGGUGACCUCCGUUCAACCGAAGGCACCAUACAAUUUGUUGGAGGUGCUUAACAGCGCCUCCAUCGACGAGGAGCACCACACUAUUAUGAGUGCGGUGAUCCAGAAGGUUCAGUCCGCCAAGAGCGGACUGACUGAAGCCUGUGCCAGCCUUCUAACAGGCUUUGAGGUAAGUAAAGAAUAUGUAAAAAUAUUACCGCAUAGACAGUAGCCCCUGAUGCUCUGUUCGGCGUUCGGAAAGAAAAGCCGAUUAGAGGAUCUAAUAACAUUCGCAGGAGUCUAACAUAAUCAAGUCAAUACGCGUAUGCAGGCUUCGCUGCUGGCCUCCGCCGCACUGACUGCGGAGGUGGAUACGCUGAAGCAAAACCUCACGCAGUCCGAGAACGAGCUCGGCGAUGCCAAGAGGCAACUCGAAGAGAAGGAAGCUAAGUAAUACCUUGCGCAAGUAUAUAGAGAAGAUGUGGUUGCAAAAAAUGACAGGAUCAACGUGCUAUUAUAGGGGCCACGACCAAGGUGGCAACCCUUAAGCAAGCGCUGUCCGAGGCUGAAAACAGAGCGGUCAUGGAGCGCACAGAGAGAGGGAAGCAGGAGGCGCGGGUGGAGGAGGUGCAGAAAGAGCUUCAGGCUCUCGUGAAAAAACACGAGAGUUUGGAGCUUGACUCAAAGACGCAAGCGUCCGAGCUUGCGGCAGCCCUCAAAAGCGCGAAGUCUGCCAAGGCCGAAGCCCAGAAAGCCCUCCAAGAAAUUGAAGCAAUGAAGAAGAUAGCGGCGGGUAAGGCAUUCAUUAUGCAAAGCAAGCACGUGAAAGUGAAUUACUUGUUACUUACCCGAGUCUGGAGCUCUCCAGGGGCAUUCGCAGAUUUGCCCCGUAGUGCGUCUGAUGUCGCCGCCUACUACCGAGCCGAGGAGGGGAGCUCGAUGGAGAAGGUGUUCUGGUCUCAGUAUGCUGAGGUCGGACACCUGGUGCCUUUGAGCGACCAGCUGAAGCAAAUGGUCGAGCUCCACAAGGUGGCCGAACAGGCCAUAAAGGGCCUCAUAGUUCGGCUUUGACCUAGAGAGGCUCUGCCUGGGAGCUACUUCGGGCUGGUGAGGCGGCUGGUGGAUGCCUGUCCACGGCUUGAAGUAAUCAAGCGCUCCGUCUGCAUCGAAGGUGCCCGUAGGGCGCUUGCCCGUGCUAAAGUGCACUGGGGCAAGAUGGAUGCGGAGAAGCUGGUGAAGGACGGGGGGCCGCCGGGCAAGGAGCAUCACGUCCCGGAAGCGUAUUAUGAGGGCGUCCUGAAGGGUGACCACCUUAUAGCGGAUGAAUGCUCCAAAGAUGUAAUUUUUGAGUAAACUCACAUUUGUGAUCAUGUACGCUGAAAACUUGUUCAUAUGCGCUAAGGAACGCUUUUGAAUUUAAAAUAUUACCUUCUCUGCGGCCGUUUAUCAAAUUUGAGAGAUGGCGAGUCGUCGGCUUCUGCCCCCGUGCCACGAGUGCUGGGGUGUUCGGGAUAAACAUGAGUGCUCUUUUUCCCAUUCUUGGGUCCUUCGAGGGAGGCACUCAACACAACGAACAAGGCAAUCGGACUAUAAUGCUUGAACACUCUCACUUAGCCAUAGAAUUCUAUAAUUUUAAAUUUCGGCGAAGCCCCUAGUGUUCGGAAGACCGAGUUCGGGGCGCUAUCCACGCCUAGGCCGGACAAAGCUGACUCCUCGCUCUAAGCGGCAUAAGUCUUUAGGGACUCGAAAACCUCUCGAACAGCGGCCAGCUCUCGCCUCAUCAUGACGGUCAGUUUUAGCCUUCUCUGCUGAGGUGCUUAGCCGAGCUCAACUGGGGCACAAUCGCAGUAGUUCUCCUAGUGCUACCUUAGCCGAUAUAAUGGAACGUAAGGCACCAAAACAUAGGAGCCGGGCAAACCCAACUAUUGACCCAAGACAUGAUUCGGAGCCGAUGCAUAUAAUGCUAUAAGUUCGUGGUGCCGCACUUGUGAAAGUGUUCGGACUUCUCACACCGUAUUGUGGGGUACUUAAGCCCCUGGCGUAUUGGCCGUACCAAAGUGUACGGGUGCAACAUGUCAUUAAUGAAUAUAUAUUCGUAAAAAACAGUAAUGCAAUAAUAGACGGAAGCUAUGCAUUGUUUAUUUAAAAAGGCUGCGAUCAAAGCAGAACGAUACAAAUAGUGUAAUAAGCAAAAGAUGGGACUAUUUAACAUGUCCUUUCCAGGGACGAGCUAUGGAAUGUUAUGUGAAACAGGUAUACUGCUCGUUAUAGAGACCACCUUAGAGUUCCAUAGUGCGGCGUAGCUUUCUGCUUCCCUGGUUGUAUCGUUUGUGCGACAAUUGUACUACCGGACAAGCCUUCCGAAGAAUGGAGUCCUGAAAAUAAGAGAAAAUUAAAAAAUCGGCAACCCCUAGUGCGGUUUAAGCCGCGUUUAGGGCGUGCCGUGAUGGUGCCCCUCCCCCUAUGCCCAUGGUAUUUCUAGAGCGUAGUUAUGUACGCGCAACACUGGUUUCGCAAGUUCGCGAGCGCUGGGGUUGGGGCCGCAUUGCUACGCUUUCUCGGAACGUGCCAGGCAGUCUUGUUGUAGGUUACUCCGGGCGCGCUUGACGGUGUCCAGACGUUUAAUGGCCAGACUGGAAAAUUGCCUUGAGAGACUGCUUUGCACUUCCCAUGCGAUAGCCGCCGUAUGCUCCUCCGUUCGGAGAGAGCAUUCGGUGUUUCCAUUGACCGUGAUGACUCCUCGAGGGUCUGGCAUCUUGAGCUUGAGGUAUGCAUAGUGCGACACCGCAUUGAACUUGGCAAAUGCGGUUCGCCCGAGUAGUGCGUGAUAGCCACUGCGGAACGGGACUAUGUCGAAGAUUAACUCCUCGCUUCGGAAAUUAUCCGGAGAUCCGAAGACCACUUCAAGUGUAACUGAGCCUGUACAGUUGGCCUCUACACCUGGUAUGACGCCUUUAAAGGUUGUUUUAGUGGGUUUUAUCCUCGAGGGAUCGAUGCCCAUUUUCCGCACUAUAUCCUAGUAAAGCAGGUUCAGGCUGCUGCCGCCGUCCAUAAGGACUCUAGUGAGGUGAAAUCCGUCAAUAAUUGGGUCUAGAACCAAUGCGGCGAAUUCGCCAUGACGGAUGCUAGUGGGGUGGUCCCUUCGAUCAAAAGUGAUCGGGCAGGAAGACCAUGGGUUGAACUUUGGGGCAACUGGCUCCAUCGCGUAUACGUCCCUUAGCGCACGCUUCCGCUCCCUUUUAGGGACAUGGGUUGCGUACAUCAUGUUCACCGUCCACACUUGUGGGGGAAAACCUUUCUGUCCACUAUUGUUUGGCGGGCGGGGCUCCUCCUCAUCAUCGCUAUGCAGCCCCUUGUCUCUGCUUUCGGCAUUGAACUUGCCUGCCUGCUUGAACACCCAACAAUCCCUGUUGGUGUGAUUGGCUGGUUUUUCGGGGGUGCCAUGUAUCUGGCAUGAGCAGUCGAGUAUUCGGUCCAAACUGGACGGGCCCGGAGUAUUUCUUUUGAAUGGCUUUUUCCGCUGACCGGGUUUAGAGCCUCUGAAUCCGGCAUUAACCGCCAUAUCCUCAGCAUUGUCGCCGUUAAUGCGACGCUUUUGCUUGUUGCGGCGCGACCUGCCAUUGCUGUCCUUGGUAUCCGAAUUACCAGGGCUCUUGGUCAUAUUAUUGUUGCGAGCUAGCCAGCUGUCUUCUCCCACGCAAAAGCGGGUCAUAAGUGUCGUGAGGGCUGCCAUAGAUUUCGGCUUUUCCUGUCCUAGGUGCCGUGCGAGCCACUCGUCGCGGAUGUUAUGCUUGAAGGCUGCUAGGGCCUCUGCGUCCGGACAGUCGACGAUUUGAUUUUUCUUGGUUAGGAACCGUGUCCAGAAUUGUCUGGCCAAUUCCUCUGGCUGCUGAAUUAUGUGGCUAAGGUCAUCAGCAUCUGGUGGUCGCACAUAAGUGCCCUGGAAAUUGUCGAGGAAUGUCGUUUCCAGGUCCUCCCAACAACCAAUUGAUUCUGCUGGCAAGCUGUUAAGCCAAUGCCGAGCUGGUCCUUUAAGCUUGAGUGGGAGGUAUUUGAUGGCGUGUAGGUCAUCACCGCGGGCCAUGUGGAUAUGAAGGAGAUAGUCCUCGAUCCAUACCGCAGGAUCUGUUGUGCCAUCGUAUGAUUCGAUGUUCACGGGUUUGAAACCCUCGGGGAUUUGAUGAUCCAUUACUUCAUCUGUGAAGCAUAGUGGGUGUGCGGCGCCUCUAUAUUGGGCUAUAUCACGACGCAACUCAAACGAGCUUUGUCUACUGUGUUCGGCCCGGCCGGAUUUACUGUAUCCGGCAUGACGAGUACCGUCUCGUGCCGUGGGGCGCCUACGUGAUCCGUAGAUCGAUCUUUCUUGCCUUGCCUUGUCCUCCAAUAUAUCUCGCAGGUCUGGCGCAUUUUCCCAUGCCUUGGUAUUUUUUGAGCGGCGCCGGGGUGCGGCUUGAGUGGAGGGCCGAGAGGCCUCUCUGUCGCAGCCACGGGGUGGCCGGUCGGCCGCAUCAUGCGCUGGUGAUGUAGGUUUAGGUGCUUCCUCCUCUAAUUGGGGGUAGCAACCUGCGCUUUGGGUAGCUCUUGGAGGGGCGUUCGAGUUCAUACUCUUCGGCCGCAAGGACUUCAGUCCAUCUGUCGGCUAGAAAAUCUUGAUCAGCUCUAAGCUGUUGCUGUUUUUUCUUGAGGCUGCUCACCGUGGCCAUAAGCAUGCGUUUGAAACGCUCUUGUUCGACGGGAUCCUCUGGCACGACAAAUUCGUCGUCGUCGAGGCUUGCCUCAUCUUCGGAGGGAGGCAUAUAAUUAUCGUCCUCGACCUCUCUGUCUGCCGCUCUCUCAUGAGGGCUGACUUCUCCAUCCUCCUGUGCUGAAUCUUGCUGGAGUUGGUUGUCUUCGGCACUGUCCGGGGUGUUAUUAUCUCCUGUGCCGGAAUCAUCGUUUUUGCUUUGGCGGGAUCUAGAGCGGCGCCGCUGACGCCGACGCUUAGGCUGCUUCUUGGAGGGGUCAUCCUCCGCUGUUCCGUCGCCAUUGCCUUCUUUUGGGGUGUCCACCAUGUAUAUAUCAUAUGACGAGGUGGCUUUCCAGUGCCCUAUAGGCGCUGGUUCUUGAUCGUCUCCUGCAUCGGCGUCCAUACCGUUGAUGUCUUCGGAGUCGAAGUCGAGCAUGUCGGUUAAAUCAUCGACAGUGGCUACGAAGUGGGUGGUGGGUGGGCUUUGAAUUUCUUCAUCAUCCGCAUCCUAACCUUGCUAACCAUAGUCCGACUAGGGCUCUCCUGAUAAAGAGAGAGACUUUAGUGAAUUCAGGAUAUCGCUGAAGGGCGAGUGCUGAAAGAUGUCCGCGACGGUGAACUCCAUGAUCGGCGCCCAAUCGGGUUCGAUCGGUAAGGGCGCGGAGGGCUCGGAGUCAGGAGAGGAGUCCGACUCCUUGGAGUCACGGGCUUCACAGAGCAUAGGGCUGGUGUUCGGCUCGAUCGUCAUAGAGAUUGCAGCCCCCGAGGCAGUGUCUAACCACCCAUCCUUGAUUGGUGUGAUCGGCUCUGAGCUAGCGGUCGGAGCGGACACAGGUGCGGCCUCCAGGGCACUGUUCGGUGGCAGAGCUAGAUCAUGCCCAUCGUGACAGUGCGGCGCGCUCGGGUGUGGCUCGAAUCCGUCGAAGAUCAAGUCUCCGCGGAUGUCGGCCGUGUAGUUCAAACUUCCAAAUCUGACCUGAUGGGCAGGGGCUUAGCUUUCGAUCUGCUCCAGAUGAGCAAGCGAAUUGGCCCGCAGUGCAAAGCCGCCGAAUACAAAGAUCUAUCCGGGGAGAAAAGUCUCACCUUGGAUCGCAUCGCUGUUGAUGAUCGGAGAAGCCAUCGGGCCUAAAAGUGACGACACAGAGGAACUCUCAAUGAAAGCACCAAUGUCGGUGUCAAAACCGGCGGAUCUCGGGUAGGGGGUCCCGAACUGUGCGUCUAGGCCGGAUGGUAACAGGAGGCAGGGGACUCGAUGUUUUACCCAGGUUCGGGCCCUCUUGAUGGAGGUAAAACCCUACGUCCUGCUUGAUUAAUAUUGAUGAUAUGGGUAGUACAAGAGUAGAUCUACCACGAGAUCAAGGAGGCUAAACCCUAGAAGCUAGCCUAUGGUAUGAUUGUUGUCUGUACUACGAACUAAAACCCUCCGGUUUAUAUAGACACCGGAGAGAGCUAGGGUUACACAGAGUCGGUUACAAUGGUAGGAGAUCUACAUAUCGUAUCGCCAAACUUGCCUUCCACGCCAAGGAAAGUCCCUUCCGGACACGGGACGAAGUCUUCAAUCUUGUAUCUUCAUAGUCCAGGAGUCCGGCCGAAGGUAUAGUCUGGCUAUCCGGGCACCCCCUAAUCCAAGACUCCCUCACUAGGGUUCGUCGAGUUCGUCCUCUCCUCUUCCUAUCUAGUUCUGCUUUAGUUUCUGAAGAGACUAAGAUCUUGCUGUUAAAUUUUGCAGGAUUUGCAUCUCGACGUUGUUCUUGGUUUAGGAGAUCUCCUUUGCUGCUUCUGCUCUUUUCCAGGUAUAUUUUUUUGUCUUGAAUCUUCUUUCCGUGUAGUUUUUGGUCAGGGUUUCUUGUUUAGCAUGCUAUCUUGUGUAGCAUGCUUUCUCUAUUGAUUCUGUUUUCUUCAGAUUUGUUCCAAUGUCUGCCAUGUUAGGGUUCUUUUGUUGUUGGGGUAGUACAAGUAGAUCUUUAUGGUUCUUGUCUAUCAUGUUUCAGUUAGGGUAUCUGUUUUUUUUAGAUUUGAUCUAUUUUAUUAGGGUUUCUACAGAUAUGUGUUUAUGGUGGUAGUACGAGUAGUAUGGUUAUGGUUCUUUGUUUAUCAUGCUUAGAUUAGGAUUUUCGUUGUGUUUAUAUUUUGCUCUGACUGUUGGCAUGUUAAGUUUACUUUUGAGAUUUGAUCUGAUUUUUAUUUAGUAAGGUUUUUUCGUUAAUCUUAGAUAUGUAUGUCUUGAAAGGUCAAAUCCUUUUUGUUUAUAUUGUUAAUCUAAUGCUAUUCAUAGGUCGUCUCACUAUUGGCUGUAUUUGAUUUCGUGAGUUUUUGUAUGCAGUGUGUGUAUGCUCUAUGUUAUGUCAAAUCCUUAAAGUUUUUUAACUAUCUUUUUGUUCUUAUAUUUUUUAUUAUGCUGAUGUUUUUAUUUUUAGUUCCUGUAUUUGUAAUAUUUCUGUACAUAGCUUUUUUAGUAUACUGGUGCUUGUAGUUUUUGGUCCCUGCACUUAUAAUAUGCUUGUUCCUAGCUGGUAUAGCAUGGCUGUAUUUGUAUUUGUAUUUUUGUAAAGCAAUUUGCUUGUAUUGGAUUUCUGCAAAUUUUAAAGGGCGCAUGUGUAGUUUAGGUAGAUUUAAACUAUCCUGAUAACCUCUAAACAAAAGAAAUAACAUAAUCUUUCAAAAAUGAAUAAAUGCAUGUGAUCUUUUUCCUUCUGAUACUCUGUGUGCAUAUUUUAAACUAAGUAGAAUACAGUUAAGUGAUUUGCCUAAUCUUGCAUGAUUACUCUUUGCUUUUGAGCAACUUACACAAAUAUAGGUCCAUGAUCAUGCAAUAUCUUCAGUUUAUAUUCAUGAAUUUGGUUCGUUGUAUUACUUACAUCUUCACUUCUUUGAAGAUAUCUACCUAGAGUUGGAAUUCAGUUUUUGAGUUUUCUUUUUUUAUGUCCAAUUUAUCCUAUGCUUUAAUUGGAAUGUAUUUUUUUGUGUUCUAUAGUUCAUCUAGGUUCUCCGGGUUUUUUAUCCCCUAUUGGGUAAUUAGAUAAUUUUUCCUUUUUAUUUAAGUUUUAUUCUUUAUUUUCUGUAUGUAUGGUUUGCCCGUGCGCCGUGCCUGCCGUUCGAGCCACCUGGAGGAUUUCCUCAAGUGUUUGAUGUUGUCCUUGACGAGGAUUGCUUCAUGUGGAUGGUGAGUUGUAUCAAUCAUUUCUUUAUAGCUAUAUUUUCUUUGUAGACAUCAAUAUAUCCGUAUAUGUUUACUUAGUUUCUGCAUUUCUUUUGUAUAAUCAUGGCUAAUACGGAACUCGUUGAAUUAAGGGUUCGUUCCCCAUUCUUUGACUAGGUUGUCUUUGUUUGUAGUUAUAUUAAUCAUUUAUUUUAUAGAUUGUGUUAAGGGCAAUUUUCUUGUAUUGGAUUUGUGCAAUUUGUAAAAAGGAUUUUUAUAGGUUGUAUUAAGGAUUAAUGUUGUGUUUACAUUAGAAGUUUUCUUUGUCAGAAAAUAAAAAACAUACUUUCUUUAGUUUACUUGUGUACAAGUUUUAUCUGUAUAAAUUAGAGCUACCCAUGCUUCCCUUUUGAAAUACACUGAUGUAAACACAACAUCAUGAAGUUUUAGUUCUGGUAGUUUUUGGUGAAUUAACUUGUUUUAAUCAGCUUGAAACUGUACUAAUUUUUCCAUAGUUCAUCCUAUGAUUUCUUCUUUUUUGGUACCUUUGUGGAUGUGUAUUUGUAAAAAAUAUGUAUGUGUGAGUUUUAUCUGUAUAUUAAUGUUUUUUUCUAACCAUGAUGUUUUGGCUAGUAUAUCUAGUAUGUCUAGAAAUUUUUAAAGAUAGCAGUACCAUUUGUUAUUUUUUGCAGUUAUUCUUUAUGUGCAAGUUUCAUGUAAGACUAGUAUAAUAUAAUUUUUUAUUACACUAGCUUGAUAUUGUUCUUAAAUUUUCAUAGUCUACCUAUCUGUUUUUUAUAUGUUAAUUAUGUUUUUGAAUUGAUAACUACAACAUCUAUUUUGUUAACUUAUUAUAAGAGCCUAAGUAUGCAUGUAGUGUACAUUUAUAUCUCCCCAAUGUUUUUGCUGCUACAAGUUUAGUUCUCCCUACUUGCAAAUUUUACGGAGGUGUUGUGCCUUAGCCGUUUUCAAUCAGUUUGUAAUUGAACUAGGGGGUAGAUGCUACGUUUAACUUUUCUAAUUAUGUAGACAUGCUAUUUGUACUAUUUUUUUUCAUAUGUUGCUCUUAACCAACAAUUGCAAGUUUAGAUUUAUGUAUAUGCAAGUUUAGUUCGUAUGAAGAAAUUUUUUAAUCUCUGAUUUUAGGGUGGUUUUCUGCUCUACUUGUAGUUCGACAACUUGUAUUACAAACAGGCGCAAUUUUACUUCUUAUGAUUAAAUUUUCAAUUUCUGCCUUUAGGUGGGUGUUCUGCCUUUCUUGUAGUUCAACAUUUUUUGUACAAGUACAAACAUGUUAUUUUUUAGUGUAGUAUGAAUUUGUAUUGUUCAAUUCUCUGAAUUUCUGACAGCAAAUGUACAUUCAAGUGUUCACGCUAUUUUUUUCUAUUUCUGGUUACAUCAUUUUUUUGCUGGGCACUAAAGAGAUAGAAUAUAACUUUUCUAAUUAUGUGUUGUUGUUGAACAACUACUACAAGUUUAGUUCUCCCUACUUGCAAAAUUUACCGAGGUGUUCUGCCUUAGCUGUUUUCAAACAUUUUGUAAUUGAACUAGGGGGGUAGAUGUUACGUUUAACUUUUCUAAUUAUGUAGACAUGCUAUUUGCACUAUUUUUUUAUGUUGCUCUUGACCAACAAUUGCAAGUUCAGAUUUAUGUAUAUGCAAGUUUAGUUCAUAUGAAGAAAUUUUUUAAAUUCUGAUUUUAGGGUGGUGUUCUGCUCUACUUAUUCAACAACUUGUAUUACAAACAGGCGCAAUUUUACUUCUUAUGAUUAAACUUUCAAUUUCUGCCUUUAGGUGGGUGUUCUGCUUUUCUUGUAGUUCAACAUCUUUUAGUACAAGUACAAACAUGUUGUUUUUAGUCAUAAGUUAUAGUAUGAAUUUGUAUUGUUCAAUUGUUUGAAUUUCUAACAGCAAAUGUGUAUUCUGGUGUUGUCACUAUCUUUUUCUAGUUCCAGUUACAUCAUUUUUUGCUGGGCAGUAAAGAGACAUAAUAUAACUUUUCUAAUUAUUUGUUGUUGUUGAACAACUACUACAAGUUUAGUUCUCCCUACAAGAACUUUGGGCAAUCGGAGGAGAAGGACGUAGCAUGGAAGAAAUGGAGAGGAUGGAGAUCUAUCGAGACACAAGAGGGCGGAAGUAUCUGAGUUUUGUUCAGGCGUCCAUGGUGGCGCUGGUGAUGGGGGAAGGAGGGACAAGGAAGAAGACCUAGUUAUAUGUCCGUGAGCUGGAUCCAGAUCUCUGAAGGUAGUGGGUUUGGUUUCUUAGCAGGGUCAGGCCCGUUUAAUUUUGGGUUGUAUAGAUGGCAAAACAUCAAAAGGGGUUUCAGCGCUGGAUCAGUGAUGUUUUUUUUCUUUUGGGCUGAUUCGACUGACGCUUAGUUCGGGUCAGGCAAUUUUCUUUUGCUUUCCAUCAUUCUGCUCUUCUUUAGGAAUCGACUGACACAAUUGUAGAGUCAGUCGAUUGACUUGUAGCCGCUCCCUUUCUUCGCCGGCCUCAUCGCCUCGCGAAGCCCCCGCGUCAGACCUCAACUUGCUUCUGCUGACGCCAUC
rnacentral:lncRNA from 1 species